ACACUAAAAGCUAGUGAAUCAUACACUUGCAGAUGACUUAUCCAAACACAAAGAUAAGACAUGAGUUUAUUAUUAUUGCUACAAACACACGGAUUACAGCGAAAUUCAAAAACUAAAAACAAGGAAAAAAGUAGUGAUGAAAACCAAUGCCACUUUCGCGGGGAACACGAUUGCAUUCGCACAUGCAACAAGCCUUUUAAACCCAUAGGUGACCCAAAUGGGACGAGUGAAGUCUCGUGAGGGUUUCCAGAGACGUUACCCACAAACAUCAUGCAUACUGAUAAUCAACAUCUGACUUGAAAGACUGAGUAGAUAUCCACCCCUCCAGCAUCAGGUGUUUUUUGGUUGAGGCGUAAUUCGAAUCUGUUUUCAAUGAACGGCCUGGUUAAGAGGUCGCUUUGCAAGUGACGUAAUCGGCAGCGUGUGAUUAGGUUGUUGCUGUCAGGUGGUCCGACAGGCUCGACCUUGAACAAUGUGCAAGCCCAAUUGUCUUUGGUUUCAUUUCGGUCAGCAGCUGCGGCCAGGACCAAUAGCCUGUUUUGGUCCACCCUUCUCAAGUAGUUGCCGUUGUAGGAGCAUUUGAUAUGCACAUAAUUCUUGUCGGCGUAGUCCUCAUUGUUUGGCUUCUCGGUGGUGAACUUUAUGAACCUGCUGUUUUCAUUGUCCUCGGAAAACUGGACAAUCUCAUUAAGGUCGCUUUCUGCAUCAAGUUGAUAGCGCAAAUACUUGUUGUUGAUAUCUGCUUUCAGCAGAAAAGGGCUUGGUAGUACAGGUGGAGCCAUAUCGUAUAGUGUAGUUGGGAUUGGGAUGGUCUCUCUCUCUGUUGAUGAUCUAAUUUGCUUGCUGUGAAUGUGAUACUUAGUUCAAACCUGCUAUCCUAUUUAUAAGAAAUUAAGCACAAGCUAGCUCAAGUUAUGGUCUUUAAUUAAUAUUAAUUUCGACAAAUCAGUUUCCCAUCUCUUUCAUUGAUAUCAACAUGGCUGAUCUCAUUGGUGUGGCGCAAUAUUUGUUAAAUUAGCCUUUCGGGUUGAUUUCUUUGUAUAACUCUUCUGCCAAUUCUGCAACUUGUAGACUUAAUUCCCAUUACAAAAUUAAAAAAAAAAAAAUCCAAAACUAAUGUAAGAUAAAUAAAGACUUUUUACAUCAUAAAAUAAGACUUUCUAACUUGUAUACAAGACUAUAGUGACAAGAUCAAACACAUUGAUGGGUGCGCAUUUUCCAUCAACAUCUGUUCUGUGCGUUUAAACUGAGCGUGGAGUCUUUUUUAGCAAUUAAAAGUUGGGAACUUUAACGAAAAGCACCUGAUACUGUUCACUUUAACCAAAAACCACAUUUUUACACUAAAAAGUCAAUCCUGGUACUAUUCACUUUACCCUUUAUUUUGUCCUUAUCAUUAAAACUCAAAGUUUUCAAGCCCUUUUCAUUAGUUUUCCUUUAAAAGUUUUGUAUCAUGUAAUUGUCUUGGUUUGAUAAGACCUACAUCUAGAUGAGUUGCUUCUGAAGACUAAUGUAAAACUUUAUGUUGAUAUUUCUUGAGGGUGAAACAUCAUUUGAGAAACGUUUUGGGCCUCAUUACAGACCUACUAUUUUUUUUUCCUUUAAUUUUCUUGCUUUGAAUGUGAUGCUCAGUUCAGACCUACUAUCCUAUUUCUAAGAAAUUAAGCACAAGCUAUCUCAAGUUAUGGUCUUUAAUUAAUAUUAAUUUCCUCAAUCAGUUUCCCAUAUCUUUCAUUGAUAGGAACAUGGCUGAUGUCAUUGGUGUGACGCAAGAUUUGUUAAAAUAGCUGAUCGGAUUGAUUUUUUCUUUGUAUACCAUUCAAACUAAAUGUGUGGCUCAAUAAUUGGUAGAAACAUUUCCAAAUGCUUUAUAAAUGUUCUCUUAAUGCUAACGGAGAAUAUUUUGGGAAGACAAAAUAUUUGCAUUUCUCACGAAAAUGUGGGUGCUCAUUAAUUUUAGUGGGUUUUGCAAUUUUGUAUAAAAUCAUCAUUAAAUAUAGUAGUUUUCACCUUUGCCUCAUCGCUAUAUUUCUAAAAGUAAUGUAAGACUUUCAGCCUUUGUUCAUUAGUGAGGAUCUUAUCAAGAUAGAGCAGCCAUAAGAAGAAACUCUUAACUUUGGAGGAAUAUGAAGUUUCCAAAUGAGAUUCCAUCGCCAAUUAGAAAAAGCACUAGGCCUAAUGGCCCAAAAAUAAGCAGAUUUAACUGAAAAAUUACCAUCACUUAUUCCACUUCAGAUACACUUGGCAGUCAAAGCAUCAAAACUAAUUGGAAUGCUAAGAAUUUGUUCAACCACCUCUUUAGUUUAACAAGUAAUAGUGGAUCCAAACCAUUAUUGUAACAAUAAUUAGCUACAGUAGCCUUAAGCAUAUUGUCGGUGUCACACCCCGAUCCCGACAUACGUCCAGGAUCGACACAUGAUGUCACCUCCAGGAUCGACACAUGAUGUCACCAAAUACCCAUAUCUCUAACUUACCCCGCCUCCGGGAUAUGACAAAGUGAUGAGUCAAUAUUUUACCAUAUAUUUAACCCUAAUCUUAGUAUUAAUUUGUUGGUUAUUUUGGAUGAAUUUUGAUACUUUGUUAUAUAUUUCUAAUGUAGGAUAUUCGACUUUCUCUGGAGAAAAAAGUAACCAAACAGAUGAAUUUUGGAGUGAUUCCAAUUGGAGGAUGUUCGUGAGUCUUUCAAGAUGAUUGUAUCAAAAUUUCAGAUUUUGCUACCAAGUUGUUUGACCAUGGCGAUGAAAUUAAGGCCCAGCGCGCAGCUUUCCCAGAUUGACGUUUCUGGACGUUUUGGGUACUUUGAAGGUUGCGAUGUCAUAUUUUGAGGAAGAUUCCUUCUAAGGAUUUGUAUGGGACCUCUCCAGCUUUCAAAAGAGACAUUUUGGGACCAAAUCGGAGUUGAUUUGAUUGGUCAAAAGUCUGAUUUGUUGAGAACUCUGAAUUCUAGUUCAAAUAGGACACCUUUUAUUUUUUUGUUUUAUUAUUUUAUUAUGUUUCCUAGUUUUAUUCUAAGACCUUUUAGGGUUUUAUUUUGUAUUAGUAUAAAUAAGAUAUUUAGCCAUUAGGGCAAAAGUGGAAGAGAGAAUAGGAGGAGCACGCACACAGUACUUUGGAGGAUUCAAGUUUAUUUUCAAGGUGUUUUCUAUCCAUGUUCUUAAUAAUAUUUUGUUUUAUGGUUGUUAGUAACUAGUUUCGUUUGCUAGGGUGAGGCCACAAGCCUUAGUAAGAAUAUGUAGUUUCUUUUCAAUUUGCUUAUGAUAUAUAUUAUGCAUGCAAGUUUUGAAUUAUUAAUUACUGUAAUUUAAACUAUCUAAUUGUCUUCAUGAUUGGCCACCAUUUGGAUAUUUAGAAAAGUAAUUUGAUGCAAUUUUGGUGAAGGGCUGUCCCUGGAAUUGGUGCUGGCUUCUUGUGGUUAAUAUGUGUAACUUCUUAGGAUAGACGACACGUCUUAAGGGUUAUAUGGUUUUUCAAAAGGAUUUCACAAAACUUAAUGAGUCUUGCAUGUUCACAUUCGAUCUGGACACCACAUAUGGGUUGUAUAUUAGAUAUAUGUUCUAUGUUCGAGGUUCCUAGUAGGGCAUACUUUAGGAAAACCAAACCUUCAAAAUAUGCAUGUGUAAUUCAUAAGUAAUUGGAAGAACUACGUAGGAUUGUUAAGGUGACGGCGAAACCUUAGUGCUUAAAUUUAUUUUCAAAAACUAUUUUCUUUGGUUUUCUUUACUUUGCCAAUUUAUAUAAUUGUUUUCAGUUAAAUUCGUUUUUAAUAUUUUAGGUCAUAAAAUCAACCUCUUCUAAACUUUAUUUUCAAAUAAUUAACUAAGAUUUGGUUUUAACAUAAAUUAUUCAUUCAAUCCCUGUGGAAAACGACCUUACUUGAGCUGCUAUACUACGACAACCUUGUACUCUUGCAAGUAUUUUUAAGUGUUUUUAUCCCUACUUUUGCAAGUGGUAAAAUCCCUAUCACAAGGCACAACUCGAGAAUUGAAUCGCACAGUAAUUUUUCGUAUAAUUUAUGACUGCAUCUAACCUCCUCGUUAAACUGCCUACGUACCCUAAACAGAGAUCAAGCUAUUCGUAGUUCACCUCACUCAAACAUUCACCGCAUAUCUCACUACGUCUCAUCAUAAUACCACAAUUCAAGCAUGUAUCACCUCAAGGAACAUUCUACGAAGCACAAUAAUAUUCUCUAGUCAUCUUGCCAUUCACCCACACAUAUGCAUUCCAACACUAUCCAAUAAUCACACCAUUCAAUAACACAUACAAUACACCAAAAUGCAGGGCUAGAGUGACACAGUUCGACCGAAGCCUACAUCUCUGAAGCUGAAAUCGAAGCCAAGGAACCAACAUGUCAAAUGAUGCAAUUUCAGACCACUCAACGAAAUCCAUUAACAUCAGGUCCCGGACCACUCAACGGAACCAAAACACCAAGUGGGAUUCCGGACCACUUAGCAGAAUCUAUACCAAGAUAUGAUUCCGAACCACUCAACGGAAUCGCAGAGUAGAAGGGAUUCUGGACCUCUCAACGGAAUCCGAGUGGAUAUGAUUCCGGACCACUCAACAGAAUCGCGAAGUACAAUGCAUAUCCAACCACUCAAUGAAAUCUAAGCUGGAUACGAUUACAGUCAUACCUUCCGUCAAUUGUUGGUCAAUUUGUUGCAAUGACAUUGAAACUUUUUAAAGACGAGGUAUUGUUAAUGACCUAAUAAUUGAGGUAGUUUUAGGUAAUUUACCCUAUUUGUUUACUUAUUUUUUGGGUUUUUCUAUUAGAAAUACAUUUGUGGGUCAAUAAUUGGUAAAAACACUUUGAGAUGCCCUAUAAAGAUUUGCUUAAUGCUCACGAAAAAAAUUUCAUUUUCACACAAAAAACGUGGGUUAACACUCAAUAUUUUUAGGCCAUUUUGCAAUUUCGUACAGAAAUCAUUAUUAAGUCUGUUUGUUUUAACUUUCGCCUCACCACCAUGUUUUUAAAAUUAAUGUAAUGCUUUUCGUUGAUAUUUCUUGAGAGUGAAACCCCAUUUUAGCAACAUUUUAUGCCUCACAUAUAUGUUUUCAGUUGGUAGAACUACUUCCAGAUUCCUUAUAAAUAUUCCAUUAAUGUUAAAAUUUUGUAUUUUACCCUAAAAAGGUGUCACGAUUUUAAAACUUAUUUGUUUUCAACUUCGCCUCUCUAUGAUGUUUCAAAACUAAGUUACUUAAUUAUAAUUAUCUAGUUGUGAAAUUGAUAUUUUGGCAAAAAAUUAGGGGAAAGAUUUUAGGUUUGCCCAACGAAUAUAGAAGUGAUGGCUGACGAAUCGUUAUAUGUGGGUCUGACAACUUGCACCUAAUUCGUCAAGCAAAGCUGAAAAAAUUAUUUUUUUCCCUUAUGUUUUUAAUUUAAUUUCAAAUGGUAAAUCAUCGAAUUUGAUGAUCAGGACAAUUAAGUGUGUGGUUUUACUCUAAAUUACUGUUUUUCAAAACAAUUAUGAAAACCAAAGGUCCUAUAUAUAGCCUUUAAAUCUUGAUUUUUCAUUUCUAACAUGCGAAGGAUUUCUCAUUACCAAAUCUUGAAAUGUUUGUUUUGGAUGAUUUUUGGUAUAUGUGGUCUGGAGUAUAUACAAACAAGUUUGAUAGUUGGAUCGUGGAAACUAGUUUCGUAGAUUGCAAAUGCCGUCAAAACAAUAGAUUCAACAAACAUUUAGAGUUUAUUUUGUACUUGCAUUAAGUAGAACGUAAGCUUUUGAGGUAUCCAGUAGUGUAAAUAUUUCGAAGUUGAUGAUCGGGUUUGUUCCUUAUAUUCUUCUAGGAUUGAGGAAUUUAGUUUAAAAAAUUCAUCAAAAUCGGAGCUAAAUGAAUGUUAAAUUGUGAUUUCCAUUUCUAACCGUCGAUGAUUUCGUUUCAUUACCUAAUCUUCGAACGUUUACUUUUGAUGAAUUUUGGCAUCUCUAUGUCAUGUCACAUCAGAACUUAUUUUUUGGUUUAAAAAUAUUGUUGCUAUUUGAUAGACACAUAUUUAUUACAAUUGUUACCCUAUUAUUUAUAUUUGUUAGUGCCUCAUUGAAACUAUUUUUAUUAAAUUACUUUAGUUUUUGUAAUUUAUAAGGAUUAAGAUGCUUAUUGAUAAAAGUGGAAUUCAACAAGUUUUUGACACAUCUUAUAUGUUUUAGUCUUCCUAAUUACAUUGGCUUCAUCCAUUUAAUUAAAAGCAGAUAGGGUAGUAGUGGCAGGGAGGAUUUGAUUUGGUUAUUCUUCUCUAGUUUUAUUUUAUGCAAAAUUUCCUUCUUAGAAUUACUAUGAAUUCUUCGUUCAUGGGGUUCAAAAUUCUUAGCUAAGGCUAAGAGGAAGCCAUAAUUAUGAUUAUUCUAGUUAUUUGAUUGUUCAAUUUGUGAAUUCCAUAUUGAUGAUUAGUUUUCAUUCACUAGUUGGCUUGCAAUUUUGAUAUUGGGUUCUUUGUGCUUUUGACCAUAGCCUAGGAUUUUGAUAUUGAAAUUAUUUGCAUAUGAAUUUAUUUAUGACCAUUAAUUGGAUUCUAUUGAUGCUUCAUGAAUGAGAAUCAUGAACUUAUAUUUUGAUCCGACCGUAGACGAAUAUUGGUUUGUGUGGCUUCCUAGAAAAUUAGCUAUUUGUUUGACGUGACCAAGUUGAUAAGUGGUUAAUUUAUUUCUCACCAUACUUAAUUGGAUUUCUACAUGUUUGUGUAUACCGGACCAAGGAUAUAUGUAGACUACAGAAAUAGUUGAGUUUAAGCCGGACCACAGUAAAAUUCACAUCUCUUUGGGAAAUUAUUGGCAUGUGUACCUGACCACAGACAUAUGCACAGAAGUUGUUUUCAUUAAUUUGAUAAUUCAGGAGUUGACAAUUUGAUACUAGGGUAUGACAGUUAGUGGUAGAAUCAAAGCCUUAGUGUUUUCUUACAUUUGUUCUCAAUCAUAUUUCUAUUUAAGCAUUGUUAAUUUUAACUAUUCUUUGAUAAAAAUCCAAUCUUUAUUUCAAUUUGUUAAGUAAUAGUUAUAGGAUUAAAUUGUAAAAUCAACUCCGGUGGAUUUGAUCUCGUAUUUACAUAUUUCCACUACAACUGAUUCAAGCACUUAGGUGUAAAUUUGGUUUGAAUUAAUCUAUUUAUUAGGUUAGUUUAAAUUCACAUCAAGUUUUUGGCGCCGUUGCUGGGGAUUGUUUUUUCCAAUUUAAACUUUAAUUGUUGCUUAUCAUAGUUCGUUUAAAAUUUUAUUUGUUAGUAAUUUUUUUUUCUAUCCUUUUUUCCUUGUGUUCUUCUUUCUUAUGUUUUGUUUGGUUUUUUUAGGUACUGCUUAGUUUUGUUCUAUUACGGUAGAUGCAAAGACAUUGAUCACUCAAUCUAGCACUUAUUCCUAUUGAUCACGAACUUGAGCAGACUUUACAAAACCAGCAACGGAAACAUUUAUCUCAAUGAGAGGUGCUCAAAACUCCACAAAUUUUUGAAAAAGAAUCAGAGAUGGCUGAGCAAGAUCAAGAAAUUGUGCUGGUUUGAAGGUCGAUGAAGGAUUCUUUUGAUCCUUAGGAUUUGGAUCAGCCCUCGUGCAUUGCAUUCCAACCUAAUAUUGACAGAACUUGUAUGUUAUCUCCUCAGUUGCUCAAUAUGCUUCCCCACUUCAAUGGAGAAUCUCUAAAAGAAGAUCCUUAUGCACACAUUCAAGAGUUCUUCAACAUAUGUAAAACGCAGCACAUUAAGGGACUUAGUGCCGAUGAGAUUAAAUUGCUUUUAUUCCCUUUUUCUUUAAAAUGAGAUGCCAAAAAGUGAUUGCGUUCAUUACCUGCAAAUUCCAUCACUGCUUGGGGACAAUUGGCUAAAAAGCUCAUAAAGAAGGUUUUCCCUGCACACAAGAAAAAACAAUUGAAAAGAGAGAUUCAAUCCUUCGUUCAAAGAGAUGGCGACUCAUUCCAUGUGGUGUGGGAUCAAUUUAAUAAGUUGCUUGUCAAUUGUCCUAAUCAUAAUCUGCCCGGAUGAACAGGUACAAGCAUUUUAUGAGGGAUUAAAUGAUUCGAAUAAAGCCAUUGUGGAUUCCGCUUGUAAUGGUAUGUUAAUGAAGAUGAGUGACGAGGAAACGAUAGAAAUGUGUGAGGAACUUGUAGAGAACUCGCAACAAUUUAAUACAAAGGGACGUCAGGCUAAAAGAGGUGCAUAUGCAGUAAAUGCUAAUGAUGGUAUGCAAGUUGAGAUGGCUGCCAUGAACAGAAAUAUUGCAGCACUAAUCAAGACCUUAUCGCCUCAAAGUUCUCAACAAGCUCUCAAGUUUGAUGUAUGUGCAAUCUGUUCAGAAAAUGAUCAUGCUACAAAUACUUGUCCGAUAACUUCUUUUUCAAUAAAGAGCAAGUCAAUUUUGUUGGACAAGGAGGAUAUUCUUCGAAGCACAAUCCAUACUCAAAUACAUAUAAUUCGGGAUGGCAGGGUCACCCUAAUUUCAGUUAUGCAAAUCAGCGAAAUGUAUUGAAUCCUUCACAAGGGAACACACAACUUCAAGGGAUUGCUCCAGGAUUCUCUGAACUUAAGAAAACGUCUUUGGAGGAUAGCAUAGCUGUACUUGCACAAAGUCAGCUUGCGUUUCAAUAAAGUACCCAAGCUUUCCAGCAACAAACACAAGCUGCUAUUCAAACUACUCAAGCUUCGCUUUAGAAAUUGGAAAUUCAAGUGGGACAGCUUGCUAGUGCAGUAAAUGAAAGACAGAAACGCGAAUUUCCAAGUCAACCCAUAGCUAAUCCGAAAGGUGCAUAUGAGAUUAGCUCUAGUUACCCGUCGCAUGAGCAAGUCAAGUCUAUCACCAUACUCAAGAGUGGCACACAAGUAGAUAAUAAAGUUCAAAUGGCGAAUGGGGACCGAGAGACCAACCUGAAAAAGAAUGAAGCGGGUGCAUGUAAAGGGUAAAAAUGCUCAAGUAAACAGUUCAAAGUCCCUUAAUUUAUCAAAGUUUGAUCCCUUUGCAGCUUAUAAGGACAAGCCUCCUUUUCCUCAAGCUUUGAUCAGGCCAAAGAAGGAUAAUCAUUUCAGUGAGAUCAUGGAAUUGUUCAAAAAGGUCCAUAUCAAUAUUCCACUACUUGAGGCUAUCAGGCAAAUCCCUUCUGUUGGUAUAUGGUCCAGCCCAUGAUCAAUGUUCUAGAUUAUUCUAGUAAGCAAGAGAGAUGGCUGGAGCAUGCUAGACAAUUCUAGCAUGUUAUUAAGUUGAUGGAAGAAGCUAGAGAGUACUAGCUUCCUUGGUUGCAAAUGGAAAGAUCUAGAAGCCACACUUUUGUGGCUAGUCUAGAUCUUUCUAUGCUAGAGGUUUGAAGAAUACACUAGAAACUAGUAGAAUGCCAAACCCUCACCUAUAAAUAUGGGUGUGAUGUUGUAGUGAACCAACAAAUCAAGAGAAAGAGUGAGUAGCAAAGGAUCAAGUCCAAAGCUAGAGUUCCACUCCAAGAGUGAGAGUGAGAGUGUUCCACUACACAUUGUGUGAGUGAAGUUUAGAGUGAUAGAAAGUGUGUGUUUAUACUUUCUUGUAUCCAUCAAGCCUUGUCUUUGGCUUGGUAAGACUACUCUUGUUGUAUUCAUCUUUUUUCAUAUAGUGAAGAUUCCUUGUUUGGUGGACGUAGGCAUAAAUUGCCGAACCACAUAAAUUCUUGGCGUCCAUUUUCUACUUUACCUUGUGCAUUCUCUAUCUUGUAGUACCGACAUUCCUAAUAAGUGGUAUCAGAGCCCGGUUGGCUCGUACUACGAGAUGGAAGGAAGUGGCACUAUGAUCAAACUCACCAACUCCAAUUGGGUAACAUGGAAGCCAAGGAUGGAGGACAUUCUCUAUUGCAAGGAUUUGCAUGAGCCAAUUGAAGGAGAUGCCGCUAAGCCCGAGAGCAUGUCCGAUGCCGAGUGGAAGAAGAUGAAUCGCAAGGCUAUUGGCACAAUUAGACAAUGGGUGGAUGAUAGUGUUUUUCACCAUGUGUCUAAUGAAACCAAUGCUCGCGAGUUUUGGACGAAGCUUGAGUCCUUGUUCAAGAAGAAGACCCCAGCCAAGAAAGCCUUCUUGAUCAAAGAGCUCAUCAAUGUGAAGUACAAGGAUGGUUUAAGUGUAGCAGAACACUUGAACAAUUUCCAGAAUAUCAUCAACCAGUUGGCUACUAUGAAAAAUGACGAUCGAGGACGAGCUACAAGCGCUCUUGUUACUUGGAUCCUUGCCAGACAGUUGGGAGACCUUUGUGGUGAGUAUAAGUAACUCUGCUUCUAAUGGUGUUCUUACUCUUGAUAAUGUUAAAAAUAGCAUGCUCAAUGAAGAAACAAGGAGAAAGACUUCUGGCACAGAUAGCAGCCAAGUAUUUUGUCACAGAGAACCGCGGAAGAAGCAAGAGUAGAGGGCCUAGAGGUCAUGGCAGGAGUCCUAGCCGAUCCAAGUCAAGGUUCAGGGGUGCAUGCCACCAUUGUGGCAAAGAAGGCCAUAUGAAGAAAAAUUGUCGAGUUUGGAAGAGAGAGCAAAGGGAAGGAAACAAUCAGAAGAAAGAUGAUACUGGCAAUACCACUGCUGUCAUAUGUGGUGAUGUACCAGAAAUAUUGUCUGUUAGUGAAUGUCUGCAUAUGGGCAACUCUGACAGAGACAUUGAAUGGAUCUUUGACAAUGGAGCUUCCUUCCAUGCUACGUCCAAACGGGAGUUCUUCAGUACAUACAAAGAAGGUGACUUUGGCAUAGUGAAGAUGGGGAAUGAAAGCUAUUCCAAAAUUCUUGGAAUUGGUGAUAUCUGCUUAAGAACUAAUCUCGGCUGCCAAUUGAUGUUGAAAGAUGUGAGACAUAUUCCUGAUAUACGUCUCAAUCUGAUAUCCAUCGGUACCCUUGAUCGACAAGGAUAUUAUCACCAUAUUGGCGAAGGAAAAUUGAAGCUUACUAAAGGCUUAAUGGUGGUAGCAAGAGCACGACUUUGUUGUACGUUUGUACCGGUCAAAUGCCAAGGUUUUGAAAGGUGAGUUGAAUGCUGUGGAAGACUCAUCUCUAGACUUGUGGCAUAAGAGGCUAGGCCACAUGAGCGAGAAAGGCCUACAAGUUUUGGCAAAGAAGUCUCAUAUUCCCUUUGCCAAAGGUACGUCGUUAAACUCUUGUGAGCAUUGUUUAUUCGGAAAACAAAGAAGAGUUAGUUUUUCUGUUCCAUCUACAAAGAAAGGAAACUUGUUAGAUCUUGUUUAUUCAGAUGUGUGUGGUCCCAUGGAAGUCGAGUCACUUGGAAGAAAUAAAUAUUUUGUUACUUAUAUUGAUGAUGCUUCACGAAGGGUGUGGGUGUAUUUGUUGAAAUCCAAAGACCAGGUGUUUCAGACAUUCCAGGAGUUCCAUGCCAUGGUGGAGAGGGAAACUGGGAAACCUCUCAAGUGCCUUCGUAGCGACAACGGCGGCGAGUACACAUCUCACCAGUUUAGAGAGUAUUGUGUAAAACAUGGCAUACGUCAUGAGAAGACAGUUCCUGGAACUCCACAACAUAACGGUGUUGCUGAAAGAAUGAACCGAACCAUCAUGGAGAAAGUCAGGUGUAUGUUGAGGACUGCAAAGUUAUCUAAGCAGUUCUGGGGUGAAGCUGUAAGGACAGCCUGCUAUUUGAUCAACCGAUCUCCAUCAGUACCAUUAGGUCUUGAUGUUCCAGAGAGAGUAUGGACUGGUAAUGAUGUGUCUUACUCUCAUCUGAAGGUGUUUGGUUGCAAAGCUUUUGUGCAUGUGCCCAAAGAGCAGAGAUCGAAGUUAGACUACAAAGCUACACCGUGCAUCUUUCUUGGUUAUGGCGGUGAAGAUUUUGGUUACAGAUUAUGGGACCCAUACCAGAAGAAGUUUAUCCGAAGUAGAGACGUGGUCUUUUAUGAAGAUCAAACAAUUGGGGAUUCGGAUAAAGAGGCACAACCAGAUGGCGCAGUCAGAGGAGUUGAUCCAUUAGCUUCAGAUGAAGAAAGUCACGAUGACAUCCCUGAAGCAACUGCCAAUGAAGUGCCUGCAGAAUCAGAUAAUGCUGAUCAAGAGGAGCCUGAUCAAGAUGUGCCAGACCAUGAGAUUGCUGAUCAGGGGGAGCCUAGUCAAGAAGAGCAGAUUCAAGGAGAAUCCAAUCAGGGGGAGCCUCUAGCCCCGCAAGAGAAUGAAUAUCAGGUCAGAAGAUCCAGCAGAAGUCGAAGACCGUCUACCAAGUAUUCUUCAUCAGAGUAUAUCAUGUUGACUAAUUAUGGAGAGCCCGAAACUUAUGAGGAGGCCAGAGCUCAUAACGACAGUGAUAAAUGGAUGAAGGCAAUGGAGUCAGAGAUGGAUUCCUUAUUAAAGAAUAAUACCUAUGAGCUGGUGGAGCUUCCAAAGGGCAGGAAAGCAUUGAAAAACAAGUGGGUGUUCAAAUUGAAAAGAGACGACAACAUGACAAGGUACAAGGCUCGUUUGGUUGUCAAAGGUUUUGGUCAAAAGAAAGGAGUUGACUUUGAUGAGAUUUUGACUUCCAUUCGAGUUAUCCUUGGUAUGGCAGCAAGCAUGGAUCUUGAGCUCGAGCAGUUAGAUGUUAAAACUGCAUUUCUCCACGGCAAUUUAGAAGAGGAGAUAUAUACAUGGAGCAACCCAAAGGCUUUGAAGUCAAAGGUAAAGAAAAUUUGGUGUGCAAGCUCAAGAAAAGUUUUUAUAUGGUCUUAAGCAGGCUCCGAGACAGUGGAAUAAGAAGUUCAACUCAUUCAUGGUGAGUAAUGGGUACAAGAGAACUCAUGCUGACUCUUGUGUCUAUAUCAAACAAUUUUCUGGAGGUACAUUCAUCAUCUUAUUGCUUUAUGUUGAUGACAUGUUGAUUGUCGGACAAGAUGCUUCUAUGAUUAAAAAGCUCAAAGAAGAGUUAUCUAAGUCCUUUGACAUGAAGGACUUAGGGCCAGCCAAGCAGAUUUUGGGCAUGGAGAUAAUUCGUGACAGAAAAUCCAAGAAGUUGUGGCUGUCACAAGAAAAAUAUGUUGAACGGGUGCUUGAAAGGUUCAACAUGAAAGCAGCCAAAUCGGUAAGCUCACCUUUAGCCAAUCAUAUCAAGUUGAGCAAAGAGUCGUGUCCAAAAACAUAUGAAGAAAAGGAGAAAAUGGCAGUUGUUCCCUACUCUUCAGCAGUAGGAAGUAUCAUGUAUGCAAUGGUGUGCACACGGCCAGAUAUUGCUCAUGCAGUAGGUGUGGUGAGCAGGUUUCUCUCUAAUCCAGGGAAAGACCAUUGGGAAGCUGUUAAGUGGAUUCUCAGAUAUUUGAAGGGGACUUCUAAGAUGUGCUUGUGCUUUGGCGGUUCCAAACCAAUCUUGGAAGGAUUUACAGAUGCUGACAUGGGAGGUGACCUGGAUGGCAGAAAAUCUACGUCUGGGUACUUGUUUACUUUUGCAGGGGGAGCCGUGUCUUGGCAAUCCAAGUUGCAAAAGUGUGUUGCUUUGUCUACAACCGAGGCUGAAUACAUAGCCGCUACAGAAGCAUGCAAGGAGUUGUUGUGGCUGAAGCGGUUUCUCCAAGAGUUGGGUUUUAAGCAAAGUGAUUAUGGCGUUUAUUGUGAUAGUCAGAGUGCUCUGGAUUUGAGCAAGAACACUGCAUACCAUUCACGCACCAAGCACAUUGAUAUUCGUUAUCACUGGAUUAGAGAUGCUAUUGAGAACAAGAUGCUACAGCUGAAGAAGAUUCAUACCGAUAAUAAUUCUUCAGACAUGUUGACAAAGGUGGUCACAAAAUCAAAGUUGGAAUUCUGCAUUAAGGCUGCUGGGAUGGACUCCAGGUAACUUGGAGUCAUGAUCGGAAUUCCUCCCUCAUGGACUGGAGGGGGAGAUUGUUGGUAUAUGGUCCAGCCCAUGAUCAAUGUUCUAGAUUAUUCUAGUAAGCAAGAGAGAUGGCUGGAGCAUGCUAGACAAUUCUAGCAUGUUAUUAAGUUGAUGGAAGAAGCUAGAGAGUACUAGCUUCCUUGGUUGCAAAUGGAAAGAUCUAGAAGCCACACUUUUGUGGCUAGUCUAGAUCUUUCUAUGCUAGAGGUUUGAAGAAUACACUAGAAACUAGUAGAAUGCCAAACCCUCACCUAUAAAUAUGGGUGUGAUGUUGUAGUGAACCAACAAAUCAAGAGAAAGAGUGAGUAGCAAAGGAUCAAGUCCAAAGCUAGAGUUCCACUCCAAGAGUGAGAGUGAGAGUGUUCCACUACACAUUGUGUGAGUGAAGUUUAGAGUGAUAGAAAGUGUGUGUUAUACUUUCUUGUAUCCAUCAAGCCUUGUCUUUGGCUUGGUAAGACUACUCUUGUUGUAUUCAUCUUUUUUCAUAUAGUGAAGAUUCCUUGUUUGGUGGACGUAGGCAUAAAUUGCCGAACCACAUAAAUUCUUGGCGUCCAUUUUCUACUUUACCUUGUGCAUUCUCUAUCUUGUAGUACCGACAUUCCUAACACCUUCCUAUGCCAAAUUUCUCAUGGGUCUUUGUUCACAUAAGCACAAGUUGAAUGGCAAAGAAAAGGUUUUUCUUACCAAGAAGUUGAGUGAUAUCUAUCUAUGGAAAAAUCCAUCAAAGCUUUAGGACCCUGGAAUUCUUACACUAGCUUGUGUCAUUGGGAGUCAUAAAUUCGAAGAAGUAUUGGUUGAUCAUGGAGCAAGCGUGAAUUUAAUGCCAUAUUCAGUUUAUGUGGAAUUGGGUCUUGGGGAACUGAAACGAAGCCCAAUUACAUUGGAAUUUGCCGAUGGAUCUGUAAAGAAGUCAUGUGGUGCUAGUGAAGAUAUGUUGAUGCAAAUUGACAAAUUUUAUUAUCUGAUGGACCUUAUUGUUCUUGAUACAAGGCCUAUGCGUUAUUCAUCUACUGAAAUUCUGAUUAUUCUUGGAUGUCCCUUUCUAGCUACUGCAAAGGCUAAUAUUCAAUGUGACACUGGAGUUUUAACUUUGUGUUUUGGGGAUAUGAAGGCUAAAUUCGACCUGUAUCCUGCUCAUGGCCUUCAAUCUGGUGUUGAUCAUGUUGAAAGUAUUCAUCCUGUAGUUCGUGCGUACAAGAACAACUAGAGCAAAGUAGUGUCUGGCUGAAGACAGUAAACUUAGUGCUAUUGGGAGGCAACCCAAUUUCUUUUUCUUCGUUUUCUUUCUUUAAGUUUUACUUUUUGUUAGUUUUUCCAUUAGAUUGCUUCGCUGCUGCUGCUUAUUUGCUCGUUGAUGUUUGUUCUGUUUGUAGGUCUGGCUCUCUAUUCCAAUUUGACAAAGGAAAUUCGAACAAAGUGGUGUACUGCAGCAUGUUUGCUUGCGAUUUGGAUGAGAUUAAGUUGGUCAUUGUUGUCAUCCCCAAAUUUUUCCACAACAGCAAGCAUGCUCUGAGACCAUAUCAUUCAUGCACCAUUCACAUCCAUUUGAUGAUUUGCUAAAAAGAGCUGCAUUUACAAACAGGGAAUUUCCCUGACUUUUCUCUUUUUCUUUUGUUUUCUUUGUUUUAUACUCUUAUUCCAUAUCGCUUUGUGUCCUAAUUACAUGUUCAAUUCCAUAUUUUUUAACAUUGAGGACAAUGUUGGAUUCAAGUUUGAGGGUAGGAUAUUUUAGUUUGGUGUUUUUAAAAGUUGAAAAGAAAAAAAAAUAACAAAAAAAAAAUUAAAAAAAAACCUAAAAAUAUGUCUUUGUAUGUUUCUUUCUCCUUUCCUUUGAGUCGCUUUCCAAAUUUCCAUGACGAAAUUGAGUUGAUAACUUGUAUAACUUGAAUGAGAAAAGUGUGGUAACAUAUGGGGUUUUAGCUUUAUUCGCUUUAUAACAUGAUUCUAGCAUGAUAUGUUUGAUGCACAAUAACCUUUGGUUGAUAUUAUGUAAAUUUUAUUAAGUUGAGCAUGCUUAACUUGAAUAAAACCCGCAUCCAUGUGAGCUUUUGUGCCUAAAUGUAGUGUGUGCAUUUUUCAUACACUUUUGUUCUUUUCAUGUGUGCAAUCUUAUAUGUUAUGCAUCUCCAGAACUUGCUUUGAGACCUUUUCGAGACUUCGUGUCAUGUAUUGCUUCAACUUGGAGAAGAUAGUAGGCAUUAGGACUUUAACAUCAUUGCCAUAUAUGCCAGUGUCCUAUACGUUACUCCUAGUUAGCCCCCUUGAGCCUUUAAUGGAGCCUUUUCUUUGUGAGCCAAACUCCCUACCAUUCCUAACCCCUAUUUAUAUAUCCUACCCUUAAUUGUUCUGAGAAAAUGAUAGAGUGAUUGUUUCGCUGGAGCUUAAUUUGUUUGCAUAAAAGGGAUGUAUGGACGAAGGUGGUUGAUUAUCAAGGCUAGAAAUUUGCGCUUUAAUGUUAUUCACUAAGAGUUGAAAGCUGGAAGUGGUGUCAUUAAAAAAAAAAAAACAAAAAAAGAGGAAUCAAUGAAGAGGAUGUGAGAUUUUGUCCUGUACUUGCAUAAGGGUAAUGAAAGCAGCUCAAAUGUGUUGGUGAUGUCAAGUGCUUAUUUUCAUAUGAAUAUGGGGUAUGAGAGAACAACAUGUGAUGUUGUCUUUGCUCUGGUGAUUUACAGAAUUUGUAUUGUGCAUGAGAGAAUAUCUUAUACAAAAGAAGGAAAAGUAGACUGAAGAUGCUACGCUUGUUGAUGCUAUUUUUUAGAGUGAUUAGUGUUUUGUGCUUAUGGUAAUAAAAAACACUCUAAUAUUUUCUCAUAAUGUUUGUAUUCCCAAUCCUUUCAUUUGUUUAGCCAUUCACCGUAAGCCUCCAUUACAACCUUCGAUAAAGACCUACUUGAUCCAAGGAGAGUAAUUUUUGAAUUGUGGAGAUCAGAUUGAUCUGCAAGCUUAUGGUAGAGCAUUCAUGUAAUGAUCUUUUGAGUGUAUACACUUAACCUUAAACACCUUGAGUUGAGUGCUAAUUGAGCGUAUAUCUUGUGAGUUUAGGGUUGAAGUUGUGCGAAUUGAGCGUAUACUUGCAUUUGUGUUGUAUCAACUUUUGGCUAUUUUUACUCGAGCAUGUUAUGUCUCUAGAAUGUGUUAUUUUGUGACUAUGGUUUGAGCCUUAUGUGUUGUUAUACUUUAUUAUUAUUGGUAUGCCUGUGUGUAGACUCCCUAAGUUGUUUGGAAAGAUCAAUUUUUUUAAUUGUGUCUUUUUGUUUUGCUGGAGGACUAGCAAAAGAUAAGGUUGGGGGUAUUUGAUAGACACGUAUUUAUUACAAUUGUUACCCUAUUAUAUUUAUAUUUGUUAGUGCCUCAUUCAAACUAUUUUUAUUAAAUUACUUUAAUUUUUGUAAUUUAUAAGGAUUAAGAUGCUUAUUGAUAAAAGUGGAAUUUUACAAGUUUUUGAUACAUCUUAUAUGUUUUAGUCUUCCUAAUUACAUUGGCUUCAUCCAUUUAAUUAAAUGUUAUUUUAUUCUUAUGUUGAAGACCAAUAGGCGGUGGAGAUAUCUUAGGAAAGAACUUCAAAUUGACUGGAAUUCCUAUUUUUAGGAAGACUUGGUCGCAGAUAAAAGCAGAGCGGGUAGCAGCGGAAGAGGGGGAUUUUUCUGCUGGCGUGAAGUAGAGAGGGCAGCAGCGGCAGGGAGGAUUUGAUUUGGUUCUUCUUCUCUAGUUUUAUUUUAUGCAAAAUUUCCUUCUUAGAAUUACUAUGAAUUCUUCGUUCAUGGGGUUCUAAAGGGCUUGGUAGUACAGGUGGAGUUGGGAUUGGGAUGCUCUUUCUUUUUUAUUCUCUCUUGAUGAUCUAAUUUGCUUGCUGUGAAUGUGAUGCUUAGUUCAAACCUGCUAUCCUAUUUGUAAGAAAUUAAGCACAAGCUAGCUCAAGUUAUGGUCUUUAAUUAAUGUUAAGUUCGACAAAUCAGUUUCCCAUCUCUUUCAUUGAUAUGAACACGGCUGAUCUCAUUGCUGUGACGCAAUAUUUGUUAAAUUAGCUGAUCGGUUUGAUUUCUUUGUAUAACUCUUCUGCCAAUUCUGCAACUUGUAGAUGUAAUUCCCAUUACAAAAUAAAAAAAAUAAAAUCCAAAACUCAUAUAAGAUAAAUAAAGACUUUUUAUAUCAUAAAAUAAGACUUUCUAACUUGUACAUGACUAUAGUUACAAAAUCGAACACAUUGAUGGGUGCGCAUUUUCCAUCAACAUCUCUUCUAUGCGUGUAAACUGAGCGUGAAGUCUUUUUUUAGCAAUUAAAAGUUUUGUAUCAUUUGAUUGAUUUGGUUUGAUAAGACCUACAUCUAGAUGACUUGGUUCUGAAGACUAAUGUAAAACUUUAUGUUGAUAUUUCUUGAGGGUGAAACAUUGUUUGAGAAACAUUUUGGGCCUCAUUACAAUUUUUUUCAUUUAUUUUUAAGUUUCGGUUUAAAUAUUCUACAAUAAAUACAUUUGUGGCUUUAAUAACUGGUAAAACCACUUUCAAAUAUCUUGUUAAGUUUUUCUUAACGUCAUGGAAUUUUUUUUUACGAAAAUGAAACAUUUGCAUUUUUCACAAAAAAAAUGUGGUUUGUCAAUUUUGUAAAUUUGUAUAAAAAUCUUCAUUAAGUCCAUUUGUUUUCACAUUCACCUUACCAUGAGGCACUUAGAAUUAAUUUAUAACUUUCCAUCGAUACUUGAGUAUAGACCCUGGUUAAGGCAAAGAGUUGGGCUUCACUACAAUUUUUUUUCAUUUAUUUUUUAGGUUUUGUGUCACAUUUUGGCCUGGGCCCCCACCACAUCCCAAGCACGACUCAACCGUAACACGAUAUUGUCCGCUUUGGGUCCCGACCAUGCCCUCGCGGUUUUGUCUUUGCCGCAGUGUGAUGUUUCUAAGAUUAAUGUAAGAGUUUUUGUUGAUAUUCUUGAGUAUAUACCCCGUUUAGGCAAUGUUGGACCUCACUAUUGUUUUUUUAAUUAUUUUUUGGGUUUGGGUUAAAAUAUUCUAUUAGAAAUACAUUUGUGGCUCAAUAAUUGGUAGAAACACUUUCAGAUGCCCUAUAAUGAUUUUCUUAAUGCUCUUGAAAAAUAGAAAAUUUGCAUUUUUCACACAAAAAACGUGGGCUAACACUCAUUAUUUUUAGGCGAUUUUGCAAAUUCGUAAAAAAAUAUUAUCAAAUCUUAAGCCUUUUAUAAUUCUUGUUCUAAAUGGAUUGUUAGUCGUAUAAGAUUAUAAUUACAUGAUAAACACACUGAUGGGUGUGUAAUUUCCUGCAAUAUCUUCAAAGUGCGAUUAAAAUGAGCGAUUGUCGACUUUCAUAAAAUAGUAUGGCUAUAGGUCUUUUAAUAUUGCAAGCUUUUAUAACUCUUAUACUAAAAAUGUAUACAAGUUUAUAAAUGGAUUAACAGACUAAUAGUUUGGGUAUAAAUGAAGACUAAAUGAGGGACUUGAUUCUCAACUUGCACACUACAUGUCACGCCCCAAACCCGACAUACGUCCAGGAUCGACACAUGACGUCAUCAAAUACCCGUAUCUCAACCUACCCCGCCUCCGAGAUAUGUGCAUAGCAUAAUUCAAGAUCCAAAUCUCAUAGAAAUUUUUGUAUAUUUUAUGGCUGUAUCUAACCUCCUCGUUAGAUUGCCUACGUACCCUCAAUAGGGAUCAAGCCAUUCAUAGUUCAUUAUUCCACUUCAAUCGAACAUUCAACACAUAGACCCCUAGGUCUCAACAUAAUACCACAAUUCAAUCUUGUAGCACCUCAAGGAACAUUUAACAAAGUACAAUAAUAAUUUUUAGUCAUCUCGUCAUUCAUCCACUCAUAAGCGUUCAAACACCAUCCAAUUAUCACAUCAAUCAAUUGAACUUGACAAGCAUAAAAUUCCUAGACUCAAGGUAACAUAACAAACCCACAUGAAAAAAAUCAAGAUUUCCCUUCCAUCCUUCAUAUAAAUCACUAUGACUCAACAUGAUAUCUCAAUUCACAACAUACAUCAUAUUUCAGAACCGACAACGCACAAAACCAUCUUCUAGCCACAUUAAUUAACUAAUAUGGUCAAAAUAAUAACAAUCAUUCUCAUAUCUUCUAAAUUCAUAAACUAUGAAAUUAUAAUUGAAUCGUAGAAAAUCUCGAAGGAAUCCCACGGACGUACAACCGCUUUUAUACUUCAAUUCAUAAUAUUCUCAAACCCAUUAUUCACAAUAUGCUCAAACGAAGGCUAAAGUGACACAGUUAAAUCAAACUUCUCCGAAGAAAGGGAUUUUGGACCAUCACUCAACGGAAUCCGAGUGGAUACGAUUCCGGAUCAUCACUCAACGGAAUCGUGUAGUACAAUGUAUAACAACAACUAAAUGAAACCCAAAUCAGAUACAAUUCCGGAACAUCACUCAACGAAAUCACGGAGUAUAAAGGAUUCCAGACCAUCACUCAACGGAAUCCGAGUGGAUACGAUUCCGGACCAUCACUCAACAGAAUCGCAGAAGGCCAGCAACCAUAUAUACAAUGGCUCAAAGAAAUGAGACAAGUACAAGUUACUUAAUUUACAAAAGCUCAACCAAGGAAAUAAGGCACAAAUACUAAAUUUAGAACGAAUCAACGAAGCAGAAGAUGAAAUCAUAACGAAGCAACAAAUCCCCAUCACCACGGGUUAACAAUCUACCAUUAGUUCUCACAUUUCAUCACAACAUGCCAAUCAAAUCAAUCAAACCAUAUUUCAAUAUACGCAUGUCAAAUCUCAUUUCAUAAACUUAAAUCAAUGGCUAAGCAUUAAAAAUAACAAUUCAAUGGAAAACAUAUUUAUAAAACCAAGUCAUAUCGACAUAGGAUAACAAUUACGAAAAUAGGGUAAUCACCAAUAUCACAUAUUUUAAAGUCACUCAUAUUUCUAUACAUCACACUAAUCCCUAUGAAUUACAACGUAGUCUCCUACACCAUCAACUUCUCAUGGCCACCAACUAAUAUAUCACACAAGCAUAUAAGUUCUACAGAAUAUUUCAAAUAGGAUUCUAAGAUCGCAUAGCCAUAAAUUUAUCAUACUUAACCUUCACAUUACUAGAAAUAAUUAAACAUCCAUAUAUCACCAUUAUCAUCAAUACACAAGCCAAAUCAUGUUAAUAAACAUAAGUCUAUGGCUAAAUAUAUGAAAAAUCACAUUACAAUAGAAAUCAUAUUUAUAAGUCCAAAGCACGUUUACAAAUGAUAUUAAUAUAAGAAAUUAAGGUAAUAACCAUAUCACAAUAUUCAAGUCACUCUCCAACCAAUAUAGGUCCACUAGACUUCACUUAAGUCUCCCGUAGUACUAAUUUUAUUAUUGGGAACGUUUCGAGACAUGUUGACCAAAAGUCAACUCUCGGUCAAAGGUAGGGUCCACAAUUCUACACAAUUCAGUCUAGAAGAUCCACUCAUUGGAUUUCGGAUCCGUAACUUCCCAAAGCCCACAUUAUGCUCAUACUAAAUUCCCAUCGCGAUCCGGUGGUCAGAUCUUCAAACAAUUACUAGAAUUAAGUGGCGGUCAACAAUUUAUUUUACCAACAUAGAAAUCCAAUUAGGGAAGAUCUAUACGUCGAAUUCCCGAUCCGCAAGUUUCUAUGAUGCACAAAUAUUAUGUUCUAUCACGAAGUAAGGUUUGGUGACGAUCCAACGGUUAGAUCAUUCAUUCAUAAUUAGACCAAGUAAGGUAUCGUAAUGAAACUAAGUCCAAACAAUCAAAUUACGUCAUACGGAUAUCAAUUAUGAAGUCAAGGCAUUUAUUUUAACUUAAAAGGACAUCUUCAACCCACUUGCCAGGCUGCCGCCACACCUGCCGCCCCGACUUACCAGAAAAAUUCAACUAUUUUUAAAAAUUAUCAAAAUUUACAGGCAGGUAUAUCUCAGUGAGGGGAGCAACUUUCAUACCUGUGACUAAGGCCAAUUUGGCCAGGAAGAGAUCCAAUUCCAUUAAAACCCGUCGGAAACCCUAUAAAGGGUGUUCUUCUAAUCACCACCAAAUCGAACCCCAACGUCUCAACAAUUGACUGGGCAUGGUUCUUGGGUUCAAGGGAAGUAUUUUGGUGAUAAAAAUUGCACCAAAUCGUUUCAGGAAUAGUGGAUUCACCGUAGUGGUGCCUUCGGCUCAACAUGAACUUUCAUCGUGAAAUCACGACCAAUGACCACCAAACUUAGGUGGGAAUGGAAGCUGGGAUGACAUCAUGUUGAUGUCAAGUGAAAACUGGGCAAAAAUCGCCUGAAAAAUGGUGGAACUUGGCCAGAAAUCCCUCCAGGUCGAAACUGGGUACACAGGUCACGGGGGAUGGGUGCCCUGCACCUCUCUCCUUUCUUUCUUUUCUUUGCUUUUUCAUUGGUCACCCUCACCUCUCUCCUCUUCUGAUUCGUCUCCUCCCUCCUUGUUCCUCAUGUUCCUCCUUCUUCCCCCUCUCCCCCUCUUUUCUCCUGUCUCUCCCGCAACUCCCCCUUCUUUUUUUCCCUCCUUUUCUUUUUCCUGAUUGGUUUCCUUUUUUUUUUUUGAAGUAACUUCUAAAACUUCCGUGAAGUUCCUUUCUCGAUCCGAUUCACGUAUGGCCUUCGCUUAAGCGCUUGUGAGGUCAAGCCCCAUUAAAAACAUUAAGAGUGACCCUCGAAGUUCUACGGAUAUAACAAUUAUUUUCCAAAAUUCAAACUUUGUAAUUAGGUAAUUAAAAUCUAGAAUUAAUUUAAAUUCAUGAAAAUACUAUAAAUCCCGCCCAUACGAAAUACGUAGAUUACAAUAGUGAAAUUCAGGAACGGUAUUUCACACUACAUAGGUGUGAAGUCUUUUGGUAUAAUUAUAGACUUAAUGUCUCGUUCAUUAAAGUAUUGGUCUGUAAAAGAACUGGAUUUAGAGAACAAAAGUGCAAUUAAAUGAGAAAUAUAUUAUUCUUUCACAAAGCACAUGACUUAAUGUCUCGUUCAUUAAGGUAUUGUGCCUAACUAAUAUGUUUUCAGUUAAUUUUUAGGUUUCAGCUUAAAUAAUCUAGAGUGAUGAUAGACCCACCCCAUUAUUCUAUUUUUACCCAUCAUAAAAAUUAAAAAAAUUAAAAUAUUAUUUCUCCACCCACCAUUAUUCCUAAAAUAACUAAUUUCUAAUUUUUUAAACAAUAAUAUUAAUAUUUAAAAAUAAAAAAAUAAAAAAAAAACUUCAUGCUUCCUUAAUUGCCACCACCCUAAACACACCAGAACCUCCUCCCACCCCCAUCAAAAAGAAAAACCUUUGACACUUGCUUGGCGGCAUCUCCUUUGGAAAGAGAGAGAAACUAAAGGGAAAGGAAGAGAGAAACACAGGGGGAGUUUUCCAAUACAGAGGUAGAUUGCUCCAAAGCGAUUUAUUCCAACUAGAAUUGGGUAUUCUUUGAUUUUAAAAUCUGGGUUCUCGUCGUUGUUCAUUUAUGAGGAAAAGGAGGAGAUGAUGGAGGUGUGGUAGUACCAUAAUUGAAAGGGAGAGUGGGGUGCUAUUUGUUGCUAGGGAGGGUAAUGGAUGAUUGGGGAUUUGAUAGUCGUCAGUCCAUCGUGGAUGAUUUGGGAGGAUGAUGGAUUUAUUUUUACUUUUUUUAGUUUUAGGUUUUCUUUAUUCUCUUUUAGUUUAUUUAAUUAAAGUUAUAACAAAUUUAUAAAUGUGGAUCUAAAAGUCUUUUGCUAAAAGGAUAAUUGUGUGAUUAAAAUUUUGAUUAAAAGGUGGGUUGGAAAAUAACACAAGGGGGUGGUUUUAGUAGCACUCAUAAUCUAUUAGAAAUGCAUUUGUGGCUCUGUAAUUGGUAGAGUAACUUUCAAAUGCCUUAUAAAUAUUUAAUUAAUGUUCAGUAAAAUAUUUUUUGAAAAUAAUGAAUUGCAUUUUAGACAUAUAUAUAUAUAUAUAUAUGUCACGAUUUUUAGAUGGUUUUGAAAAUUUGUAAAAAAAAUAUCAUUUUUUUAAUACAUCGAUGUUUUUACACUAAGGGGAGGAGGAGUUCAGCUAUGCCACACAAAGGGCAGCCUAAUUUGGUAUCAAAUUCCCCAUCCACGAGAUUCAAACCUAAGACCUCUCACUUCCAAGUCGAGAGGAAUACCACCAAACCGUAGUACUGAGUGGCAAAAAAUCAUCAUUAAAUCUACUUGUUUUCACCUUCACCUUUCCCUGAUGUUUUAAAACUAAUGUAAGGCUUUACAUUAAUAUUCUUGAGUACAAGCCCCAAUUUAUGCAAUGUUUUGGGCUUUACUUGACACGUCCCAACCCCGAUAUCCCCACAUACCAAGGUAGGCAUGUGUUGGCCGACAUCCGAGGGUGACGAAGCCAUUUUAAACAUGCAUGCAAAAAAAAGAAUAUGCAAUUAGAAUGAAAAAUGCCAUUGCAAGAACGUGUUCAGAGCAUACAACUACUAAGAAUAAUAUGGAAGAAUUACUAAGAAAAGAUAUGAACAAGGAAAUGAUACCAAUACUGAGAAGACUUGCGGAUACCUAUGCCAAAAUGCCCUAACGCCGGGAUCAUGUGCCUCGAUCCUAAAUAAUAAUACUAAUAGUAGGAAAAAAAUUUAUUUUUGAAUAUAAUAACCCCCUGUUUUGAAAACACAUAUAUAAUACUACGUAGUAGGUUUUAUAAAAUCCCUAGCAUGCCAUGUAAAACAUUCGUAAAACAUGUAUGUAAAACCAAUGCUGUGAAAUGGUAAUAACACCCGAAGGCAAAUUCGUAAAUCUCAUUAGUGAGGUACUCAACUAGGGAUAUCAUACUCGCCCGAAGGCAAUACUUGUCCAUCACCCAAAGGUGAAGCUAAAUAACCUGUCCAUCACCUGAAGGUGAAGUUGUACAACCUGUCUAUCACCCGAAGGUGAAGUUGCAUAAAAUAGCAAACAUCCACACUGACACUAGCCGUGGCUAGUGAAGUUGUUCAACACUGCUUUCAGCAGUGAAGCUAGGGGUAUAUAAUAUAUCAUAUCUCACUCCUUCAUCCUCUGUGUCCUAUGGCCAUAGACAUCUAUACUCGUGCUGUGCGAAUGUGUCGUAUAAUAACCACUAGGUAAAUCUUGGUGUGCCAAAAACAUAUCUCCAAAACUCGUAUCAAAAUUCGAAGCUUGCUAGGUCAAACCUUAUCUUAUAAAUCCAAGAUAAAUCGUACUCAUGAAAUCCAUAAAAUAAUUCAUGCUCGUAAAACCGUAAUAUAAAUCAUGUUCGAAAAUCAUAGAAAUCCAUAUAUGCAAAUCCAAUAAUUCAAUACCUUUAAUCAAACGUAAUUUCGAUAAAUCAACUAUUUCGUAAACCAUAAUUAUAAAAGUCUAUAAAGCAUAUUAUAAAUCAUAUUCAAAUCAUGAAAUAUGGAAUGCAUGCUAGGCUAAUAUUUUAUAAAAACAAGUAAGUUAAGAAGGGGUCCACUCACUGAUUUUAUUGCCCAAGAACCGCUUGAACUAGCAAGGAUGACGUCGCUUCCCGCCAACAAGCCUAAACACAAUUAGGGACCAAUUAGUAAAACUAUACUAAAACGUUAGAAUUUAAAAUGGACGGCGAAUUUGGAUCCGGCACGUUGAAAAACCUAAGGAGGGACCUCUGGUUUUCCCCACACAUCGCCGUACGAGCGGCCAUGAGGCGCCGGCCCGGAAGGCCACGCACCGCCGCAUGAGCCAUCACACAUGGCAGUUGGCCGCCUUGACUCGCCGAAAAAUUCAACAAUUCUAAAAAUUUCCAAAUUUUAUACCUGAGUCGAGGUCCAAUUCGACCAGGAAACACCUCAAAUCGCCCUCGAUCCCGCCGGAACCCUAGAAAUGGAUGCUUUCCAAUUUGUCCUGAAAUCAAACCCGACACCCCCAAACUUGUUUAGGCUUUGUGCCUGGGUUCAAGGUGAGUGGUUUGAUGGUGGUGGUGGCGAGGUUUGUGUAACCAGAAAACUAGUGGAAACACGUCAGAAAGGUCACGCUACGGGUCGGGUCGGCGGGAAUGAACCGACUGAGGGGUGAUCCGGUGCUCCUCCACUCUCUCAUUUCCCCUCCUUUCUCUCCUCUCUGAUUGGUCACUCUCUCUCUCUCUCGUUUUCUCUUCUUUCUCAUUGGGCAUCUACCCUCAUUUCUCUCAUUUCUCUUUUCUCUCCUCCGUGAAUCUCUCUCUUUCAUAUUCUUUCUUUUCCAUCACAACCACACACAUGGCACAGAUUGAUGGCUCCAACAAAAUCUGGAGCCUUCCAAAUUUAUGGUCAAUUGACCAUUUUGCCCUCGACUUGGUUCGUUAAUAACUCCUUCGUUAUAACUUCAAUUUACGUUCCGUUUGCGCCCAUGUGUUCGUAGCGAUGAGUACUACGAGCAUAAGCCAAGAAAAUAGAUCUUACAUGACACGAAAAAGCGGUCAACAAAAGUCAACGUAUUUGCCUUGAAGGGUAUUUUCGUAAUUUCACAUUUUAAAAUACUUCAUUACGAUCAGGUUUGCACCAAAUAUUCCGUUAGCUAAAAAUACUUCAUAUCAUUUCCUAUAGUCUAUUUCCAAGUCUUCCUAACUUUUCCUCAACCCCUUUUGACCUGAGUCUCCCUUUCACAGUCGUCUCUUCUACCAUAGCAUUUUUAGAUAUUCGGUUCAUGUACCCAAACCACCUUAACCUAUUUUCUUUUAUCUUAUCUUCAAUGGAGACCACUCUUACUUUACCUCGGAUGUCCUCGUUGUUAAUCCAAUCGCUUUGACACCCAGACCCCAAUAACACAAGUUACGAGGCCGAGAUAUCAUGGCCGUCACUAAAUUGACCAUAUGGCCCCAUUCAGGGAUGACUUGACAAGCCAACUUAAUAACGAAGUCAUAGUAAGAUAAUUACGAUGUGAGUGAAUUUGAAUCAAAACAUUCAUAAAUAAUAAAUCAAAAGUUGCUACAAAGUUUUGUAAUCAUCCUCCCUACUUAGGAACAUAUAUUUAGGGUUUAGAUCCCAUUAUUAUCACAACACAUCAGAGCAGCUAGAAGUUUCAUACAACAGUAAACACAUAAAAGUGUAGUGCUAUGCAUAAUCAAGAGUGUGAUCAUGCAAAUAUUACUGACAAAAUAAAUAUGCAGUAGAGGAAUCAUCACCCAAAAUCCAAGGGAUGAAACCUCAUUGCCAAGCCCACUUGCCACCAUCGAAGUUCUCCUGAUUCUCGCUAUGUCCUGAGGGGUUGAUAAACAAAGUAUGAGUGGAUCAAGUUUUAUCUCAUCAAAAAUCAAUCAAAGAGAUGGGCCCACAUUCAACAAUAUCGAUAUAGCCCCAACUUGGUAAUUACUACCCACACAGUCUGUCAGGUGUGAGGUUUUAUCACAAAGGGUCUCGGUGUUAGAUGGAGUGGGGAUAUGAUAUUUAAACUUUUCUGUACUUAUAGAUAUAGCUGAUGUGGGAUAUUUCAAUACCUAUAUAUACAUAUACAUAUAUAUAUAUAUAUAUAUAUAUAUAUAUAUAUAUAUAUAUAUAUAUAUAUAUAUAUAUAUAUUAAAAACUACAUAUAUAAUAAUAGUACCAUAAUAGUGGUCACAAUCAAUUCAUCUCGCACAUCAUAUCAUGGAAAGUAAGUCAUUCAUAAAAUCAAAGUAAUAGAAUAUGACUUUAUCAAUAUCGUAGAUGGUUCGUAUAAUCAUGUAUACGCACGUCGGUGCAACUUCGAUUCCAAUUAUCUAUCUCUUUUAACAACUAAAUAUAUUUAUUUCAUAAAUGCUAUAAUUUGUAUAUAUAAAAAAAUGAUUUGAUCAUAUUAAUUCUGCACAGUCCCCUCAAGUUGGACAGUAAAUGCCAUAAAUCAGGCUUUUUAGUCAAAAUGGAGGAAUUUUAACUAAAAAAUUAUUAUUCCUAAUUUCCUAAAGCCCUUGGGAAGAUAUCUGCCAAUUGUACCCGAGAAGAAAUGCAGGAAGGAGAAAUUUAUAAAGACAAGGGAUACCUGCUCUUCGCUGCAAAAAAACGACACUUAAAAGGACAAUUUUCCCGAGUUUUUCACCGCCGUUUUUACCGUUUAAAAGGUCGUACCCAAUGCACAAGGCUCCAGCUUUACGCAGGGUCUGGGAGAGGUGAAUGUCGGCUAGCCUUACCCCUAUUUAUGGAGAGGCUGCUCCCAAGUAUCGAACCCGAGACCUACCGCUCAUGGCCGUUUUUACCGUUUGUUGCGAAAAAAAAAACUCUCCCCUUGCGAGCUCCGUUGUCAAUUCCCCUCGCGAACUUUGAGUCCCUCUGAAAAAAUGAUUAACUGAAAUUUGAAUAUUUCAAACUUUGUGUUUGGUUAUAUCUAACGAUCCCUAAUUCCAAAUUUAUGGUUUAGAUAUAUAAAAAAGAUAUCUCAGGUACUUCGUUGCUAUCCAUUAAGCUCCCCAAUUUCAAGUAAAGCAAAAAAUUCUAAUUGAGUUGAGUUUUGAACAUGCAGAUUAGUUAGACAACUGAAUUACCAAUCUUUAUUAUUAUUGCAACAAACACACAGAUUACACUAAAAGCUAGUGAAUCAUACACUUGCAGAUGACUUAUCCAAACACAAAGAUAAGACAUGAGUUUAUUAUUAUUGCUAUAAACACACAGAUUACAGUGAAAUUCAAAAACUAAAAACAAGGAAAAAAGUAGUGAUGAAAACCAAUGCCACUUUCGCGGGGAACACGAUUGCAUUCGCACAUGCAACAAGCCUUUUAAACCCAUAGGUGACCCAAAUGGGACGAGUGAAGUCUCGUGAGGGUUUCCAGAGACGUUACCCACAAACAUCAUGCAUACUGAUCAUCAACAUCUGACUUGGGAGACUGAGUAGAUAUCCACCCCUCCAGCAUCAGGUGUUUUUUGGUUGAGGCGUAAUUCGAAUCUGUUUUCAAUGAACGGCCUGGUUAAGAGGUCGCUUUGUAAGUGACGUAAUCGGCAGCGCGUGAUUAGGUUGUUGCUGUCAGGUGGUCCGACAUGCUCGACCUUGAAUAAUGUGCAAGCCCAAUUGUCUUUGGUUUCGUUUCGGUCAGCAGCUGCGGCAAGGACCAAUAGCCUGUUUUGGUCCACCCUUCUCAAGUAGUUGCCGUUGUAGGAGCAUUUGAUAUGCACGUAAUUCUUGUCGGCGUAGUCCUCAUUGUUUGGCUUCUCGGUGGUGAACUUUAUGAACCUGCUAUUUUCAUUGUCCUCAGAAAACUGGACAAUCUCAUGAAGGUCACUUUCUGAAUCAAGUUGAUAGCGCAAAUACUUGUUGUUGAUAUCUGCUUUCAGCAGAAAAGGGCUUGGUAGUACUGGUGGAGCCAUAUCGUAUAGUGUAGUUGGGAUUGGGAUGGCCUCUCUUUUUUGUUCUCUGUUGAUGAUCUAAUUUGCUUGCUGUGAAUGUGAUGCUUAGUUCAAACCUGCUAUCCUAUUUAUAAGAAAAUAAGAACAAGCUAGCUCAAGUUAUGGUCUUUUAUUAAUAUUAAUUACGACAAAUCAGUUUCCCAUCUCUUUCAUUGAUAUGAACAUGGCUGAUCUCAUUGGUAUGGCGCAAUAUUAUUUGUUAAAUUUGCUGUGCGGGUUGAUUUCUUUGUGUAACUCUUCUGCCAAUUCUGCAACUUGUAGACGUAAUUCCCAUUACAAAAUAAAAAAUAAAAAAUAAAUCCAGAACUCAUGUAAGAUAAAUAAAGACUUCUUAUAUCAUAAAAUAAGACUUUCUAACUUGUUUACAAGACUAUAGUGACAAGAUCAAACACAUUGAUGGGUGAGCAUUUUCCUUCAACAUCUGUUCUGUGCGUUUAAAUUGAGCGUGGAGUCUUUUUAGCAAUUAAAAGUUUUGUAUCAUGUAAUUGACUUGGUUUGAUAAGACCUACAUCUAGAUGACUUGGUUCUGAAGACUAAUGUAAAACCUUAUGUUGAUAUUUUUUGAGGGUGAAACAUCAUUUGAGAAACGUUUUGGGCCUCAUUACAAUUUUUUUCAUUUAUUUUUUAAGUUUCGGCUUAAAUAUUCUACAAAAUACAUUUUUGGAUUUAAUAACAGGUAAAACCACUUUCAAAUAUCUUGUUAAGUUUUUCUUAACGUCACAGAAUUUUUUUUACGAAAUUGAAACAUUUGCAUUUUUCACAAAAAAUGUGUUUUCUCAGUUUUGUAAAUUUGUAUAAAAAUCUUCAUUAAGUCCAUUUCUUUUCACAUUCACCUUACCAUGAGGCACUUAAAAUUAAUUUAUAACUUUCCAUCGAUACUUGAGUAUAGACCCUUGUUAAGGCAAAGAAUUGGACUUCACUACAAUUUUUUUAUUUUUUAUUUUUUUUAGGUUUUGGCUGAAAUAUUCUAUUAAAACUAAAUUUGUGGCUCAAUAAUUGGUCAAACUCCUUCCAAACGCUUUAUAACUUUAUAAAUAUAUUGACCUAAUGCUAACGAAAAAUAUUUUGUGAAGAUUAAGGAUUGGGAUUUCUCACAAAAAAUGUGGUUGCUCACUAUUUUUCCUUAGUUUUGCAAAUUUGUGCACAAAUCAUCAGUCAAUCUAUUAGUUUUCAUCUUUGCCUCAGUGUGAUGUUUCUAAAAUUAAUGUAAGAGUUUUUGUUCAUAGUCUUGAGUAUAUACCCCGUUUAGGCAAUGUUGGAUCGCACCACUGUUUUUUUUAUAUUAUUUUUUGGGUUUGGAUUAACGUAUUCUAUUAGAAAUACAUUUAUGGCUCAAUAAUUUGUAGACCACUUUCAGAUGCCCUAUAAAGAUUUUCUUAAUGCUCUUGAAAAAUAGAAAAUUUGUAUUUUUCACACACAAAAACAUGGGCUAACACUAACGAUUUUUAGGUGAUUUUGCAAAUUCGUACAAAAAUAUUAUCAAAUCUUAAGCCUUUAUAAUUCUUGUUCUAAAUGGACUGUCUGUCAAUCGUACAAGAUUAUAAUCACAUGAUAAACACACUGAUGGGUGUGUAAUUUCCUACAAUAUCUUCAAAGUGCGAUUAAAAUGAGCGAUUGUCGACUUUCAUAAAGUAGUAUGGGUAUCGGUCUUUUGUUAUUGCAAACUUUUAUAACUCUUGUACUAACAAUUUGUACAAGUAUAAAUGGAUUAACAGACUAACAGUUUGGAUAUAAAUGAAGACUAAAUGAGGGACUUGAUUCUCAACUUGCACAGUACACAGGUAUGAAGUCUUUUGUUAUAAUUAUAGACUUAAUGUCUAGUUCAUUAAGGUAUUGGUCUCUAAAAGAACUGGAUUUAGAGAACGAAAGUGCAAUCAAAUGAGAAAUAUAUUAGUCUUUCAAAAACACAUGGCUGCAGAUGUGUAGUCGUCUUUUAUUUAUUUAUUUAUUUGAACAAACAAUUGUAUCUACACUAAGGGAUAGAAGAGUGGGCUAAACCUUAGAAUGGGCUUACAACAAUAAUGUGGUUCAACUUCACCUUUGACGAUAAUUGAAUCUAAAACCAUUCACUUAGAAAUAAAGAGGUAUACCACCACACCGUAGUAUUAAGUAACAUGACAGCAUACAGCUAUAGGUGUGGAGUCUUUGUUAGCAUUAAAAGUUUUGUAACAAGUAAUUGACUUGGUGUCAUAAGGCCUACAUCUAGAUGACUCGGUUUUAAAAACUAAUGUAAGAGUUUCUGUUGAUAUUUCUUGAGGGUGAAACACCGUUUGAGAAACGUUUUGGGCCUCAUUACAUUUUUUCACUUAUUUUUUAGGUUUCGGCUUAAAUAUUCUACUAUAAAUACAUAUGUGGCUCAACUAUUGGUAAACCCACUUCCAAAUGUCUUGUAAAGAUUUUCUUAAUGUCACGAUAAAUAUUUUACGAGAGUUAACACUCAUUGUAUUUUAUUGGUUUUGCAAAUUCUUAUGAAAAUCAUCAUUUAGUCCAUUUGUUUUCACAUUCGCCUUACUGUGAGGUACUUAAAAUUAAUGAAUAACUUUCCCACAUUAAGGCAAGGAUUUGGGCCUCACUACAAUAUUUUUUUUUUUUCAUUUAGAAUUUUUAGGUUUCGAGUUAAAUAUACCAUUAAAACUAAAUCUGUGGCUCAAUAAAUUGUAGAAACUUGUCCAAAUGCAUUACAAAUAUAAAACUUUCGAAAUGCAUUACAAAUAUUCUCUUAAUGCUAACAGAAAAUAUUUUGGGAAGAUAAAAGAUCUGCAUUUCUCAAUAAAAUGUGGUUGCUCACUGUUUUUAGUCGGUUUUGCAAAUUCAUAUAAAAUCUUUAUUAAAUCUAUUUGCUUUCACCUUCGCCUCACAAUGAUGUUUCUAAAAUUAAUGUAAGACUUUUUUAUGAUACUCUUGAAUAUAGACCCCGUUUAGGCAAUGUUCGGCCUCACUGCUAUUUUUUUACUUAUUUUUUGGGUUUUGGUUUAAAUAUUCUAUUAUAAAUACAUUUGUGACUCAAAAAUUAGUAGAACCACUUUGAGAUGCCCUAUAAAGAUUUUCUUAAUUCGCACAAAAAAAAUAGAAAAUUUGCAAACAUAAAAGACGUUGGUCAUGAUUUUAGGCGAUUUUGCAAAUUCGUACAAGAAUCAUUAUUAAAUAUAUUUUUUUCAACCUUAUCCUCACCAGAAGGCUUUAAAAUUACUGUAAUAAUUUCGGUUAAUAUUUCUUGAGAUGAAACCCCAUUUUAGCAAUGUUUUAUGCCCAACUAAUAUGUUUUCAGUUAAUUUUAGGUUUCAACUUAAAUAAUCUAUUAGAAAUGCAUUUGUGGCUCUAUAAUUGGUAGAACAACUUUAAAAUGUCUUAUAAAUAUUUAAUUAAUGUUCAGUAAAAUAUUUUGGGAAAAUAUAAAAUUGCAUUUUAGACAAAAAAAAAAAAGCCACGAUUUUUAUACGGUUUUGAAAAUUUGAACAUUGAUAUUUUUACAUUAAGGGGAGGGUGAGUUUGGCUAAGCCACACAAAUGGCAACCUAAUUUGGUAUCAAAUUCGCCAUCCACGAGAUUCAAACCUAAGACCUCCUAUUUCCAAGUGGAGAGGAAUACCACCAGAUCGUAGUACUGAGUGGCAAAAAAUCAUCAAUAAAUCUACUUGUUUCACCUUCACCUUUCCUUGAUGUUUUAAAACUAAUGUAAGGCUUUACGUUAAUAUUCUUGAGUUCAAGGCCGAAUUUAUGCAAUGUUUUGGGCCUUACUACAACAGCAACACACAACAACAACCAAGCCUUGUGCCAUUAAGUGGGGUCUACUGUACACCACAAUGAUCGUGUUUGCACCAAAUCUUUCGCUAGCUAGAAAUACUGCAUAUAAUUUGCUAGUCUGUUUCCAAGUCUUCCUAACUUUUCCUCCACCCCUUUUGCCUUGAGCCUCUAUCUCAUAGUCGCCUAUUCUACCAUAGCAUUUGUAGAUAUUUGGUUCAUGUACCCAAACCAUCUCAACCAAUUUUCUUUCAUCUUAUCUUCAAUGGAGACCCCUCCCACUUUACCUGUCAUGCUCCGAUCCCGACAUUCUUCCAGGAUUGACAUGUGACGUCACCCAUAACAUGUAUAUAUAACAUACCCCGCCUCCCAGAUAUGUACAAGGCACAACUCAUAGUCCAACUGCGUAGUAGUUUUUCGUACACUUUAUGGCUGCAUCUAACCUCCUCGUUAGACUGCCUACGUACCUUAAACAGGGAUCAAGCCAUUCAUAGUUCGUCUUUCACUACACUCAAACAAUCAUCACGAGGAACAUUCGACAAAGCACAAUAAUAUUCUCUAGUCAUCUUGCCAUUCAUAUACACAUAUGCUUCCAAACACCAUUCAAUAAUCACAACAAUCAACAACACAUACAAUAAAUAGAAAUGCAGGGUUAGAGCCACAUAGUUUGGCCGAGGCCUACAUCUCUGAAGCUGAAAUCAAAUCCAGGUAACAAACAAGUCAAAUGAUGCAAUUUCGGACCACUCAACGAAAUCCAUUAACAUCGGGUUCAGAACCACUCUGCGAAAUCGCAGAGUAUAAGGGAUUCUGAACCUCUCAACGACAUAAUAGUGGAUACGAUCCUGAACCAUCAUUUAAUGGAAUCGUGGAUUAGAAGGGAUUUCAGACCAUCACUUAAUGGAAUUGAAAUGGAUAUGAUUCCGAACCAUCAUACAAUGGAAUUACGGAUUAGAAGGGAUUCCGAACCAUCACUCAACGGAAUCCAAGUGGAUACGAUUCCAGACCAUCACUCAAAGGAAUCAUGGGUUAGAAGGGAUUCUGGACCAUCACUCAAUGGAACCCCAGCGGAAACCCAGUUCCGGAUUACUCAAUGGAACUGAGCGGAAGUCCAAGGAAUAUAGCAAUGGCUUGAAGAAACAAUACAAGAACCAAUUACUCAAUUUGGAAGGGCUGAACAAAACAAAAGUGAAAUAAGGAAACAAGAUGGGAAACAAGUUCGGUGUCGAUCCAACGGUCAAAUCGUCAAUUCAUAUAAUAACCAAGUGGCGGCCGACUAGGCGGUCAACUAUGACACUAUAUUAAAAUAUCAAGAUUUCACUAAUGGAUGUCAUAUACGGAAUCAGGGUAUCAAAUUUAGCCUAGGAUGGUCAGGUGGGGUCUCGGCCCACACGCCGAUGCACGUGGUGGCCAGCCGCGCCCGACCCGCCGAAAAAUUCAACUAUUUCAAAAAAAAAUACUAAAUAUUAUAGGCAUGUAGAUCUCAAUGAGGGAAGUAAUUUUCAUAACUGAGCUAAAGUCCAAUUCCGAUGGAAAGUGCUCGGAAUUUCCCUCGAUCCACCGAAACACUAGAAUUUGGGUGUCCUCGAUUCGACCUCCAUAGUAGCUUCGAUGCCUCCUCCACUGCUUAGGAUUUGUUCCUAAGGUUGUGGGGAGCCUUAUGGUGGUGGUGCUUGACGAAGUUACCUUCGGAUAGGAUAGAUCGCCACCACGAACCUUGUCGCACCCAUUGUGCGGGUUUAACAAUUUUAAGGUCAAAUUCCAUUUAUUUUGGGGUGGAAUGGAUAGAGGGGAGGCCAUGGAGUGUUUCCCCAGGAGGUUGUUUGACCUGGUUCGCCCAAAAAACUGAUGAAAAGCCGUUAGAAAUGGCUACCUGAACUGGGUUGGGUCACGCAGGAAAAUGGGUCAAAGAGGGGAUCUGAUUCCCCCAUUCUUUCCUCCCUCCUUUCCCCUUCUUGCUCUCUUCCCCCAUUGGUCACUCCCCCUCCUUUUCUUUCCUGCAACCUCAACUUCCUCUCUCUUGCUGUCAUCUGGCAGCUUCUAAUUUUUUUAUUUUUUUCAGAAACUUCUAACGUUUCCUUUCUCGUCCCGAUUCACGAACAGCCUUCACCUAUGCGCUCGUGGGGUCGAGCUCAAUUAGAAAACAUUAAGCGUGACCUCCAAAGGUCUACAGAUUUUAAAUGAUUAUUUUCAAAAAUUCAAACUUUGUAAUUAAUAAUUAAAAUAUAAAAUUAAUUUAAAUUCACGAAAAUACUAUAAAAUCCUGCGAAUACAAAAUACGUAAAUUACAAUAGUGAAAUCUAAUAGCGGAAUUUCACAUUACCUUGGAUGUCCUCGUUGUUAAUCCAAUCAUUUUGACACCCCGACCCCAAUAACACAAGUUACGAGGUCGAGAUAUCUUGGCCGUCACUAAAUUGACCAUAUGGCCCCAUUGAGGGAUGACUUCACAAGCCAAAUUAAUAACGAAGCCAUAGUAAGAUGAGUGCGAGUAAGAUGAGUGCGAUAUUAGUGAAUUUGAAUUCAACACAUUCAUUAAUAAUAAAUCGAGGUUGCUGCAAAAUUUCCUAAUCAAUCUCCCUACUUGGGAAAUAUAUUCAGGGUUUAGAUCCCAUUAUUAUCACAUCAUCAGAGCUGUCACGCCCCGAUCCCGACAUACGUCCAAGAUCAAUACGUGACGUCCCUAAAUGCCCGUAACUCAACAUACCCCGCCUUUUGGAUAUGUACAAAUUAUAAUUCAAGAUCCAGAUGCAUAAUAAUUUUACGUAUACUUUAUGGCUGCAUCUAACAUCUUCGUUAGACUACCUACGUACUCUCAAUAGAAAUCAAGCCAUUCGUAGUUCCACUAUCGUCAACUCUAAUCUUUCCAUAAAAUACUUCUAACAAAAAAUCAUAAGCACCAUAUUACACAUCAACCUUACGUCAACAACAAUUAUCAUCUUUCAUACACGCAUGUAAUGUAACCCAUUCUCACACAGAUACUUUCCAAUUCAUCCAUCAUAUAGAUCACUCUGUUUCACAUAAUACCGCAAAUCAUAGUAUGUAACAUAUCAAAUAACCAACAAAGCACAAUGUUAUUCUCAAGUCACAUUAAUCAAUUACUCUAAUCAUAAUAAUCUCAAUCAUACCCAACGUCAUUCCACAAUCACUUCAAUUAAUUAAUCAUGAAUCAAAGAUACAUGAUCUUAGCAUUUAAUUGUUUAAUCAAUGAAUACAGUAACAUAUCAUUUCACAAAUUUAACCAAGGAACUCUAUCAACUCCGAAAGAGUUACCCAUACAUCCAACGGAUCAUUUGGAACAAAUCACAACAGCUCAUAAUCAUAAUCUCAUACAACACCAUGAAAAGUAAGGCUAGAGCGACAUAGUUCAGCCGAAGCCUACAUCUCUAAAGCUAUCUCGAUCCAAACUCAAUAAAACCCAAGGUGAACACAAUCCCGAACCAUCUCUCAACAGAAUCACGAAGUAUGAAGGAUUCCGAACCAGCUCUUAACGAAAUCCAAGUGGAUACGAUUUCGGACUAUCACUCAACGAAAUCGCGGAGCACACUGCAUAACCACCACUAAGUGAAACCCAAGUUAGAUAUGAUUCUGGAACAUCACUUAAUGGAAUUGUGGAGUAGAAGGGAUUCCAGACCAUCACUCAACGAAAUCGGGGAGUACAAGGGAUUCCGGACCAUCACAACGAAAUCCAAACCAGGAUACAAUUCAAGAUCACCACUCAACGGAAUCGCGGAGUAGAAUGUGUAACACCAAUCAAUAAAACAAGACAUGGAUCAAGUUACUCAAUGUACAAAGACUCAACGGAAUGAGGAUGAAUAAUGGCACGUGGGUUGAAACAUGUUUCGAAGGCAACCAACCCCAAAACAAUGGUUAAUGGUCCACUUUUAGCCCUCACAUUUCAUCACCUCAAUCCAAUCAUACAAUACAAACCAUAUUUCCAAUGCACAAGUCAAAUCAUACAUAAUGAAAAGAGAUCAAUGACCAAAAAUAAAAUAACACUUCAAUAGAAUUCACAUUUAAUUAACAUGGGUCUAUGGCAUAUAUAUAUAUAUAUAUAACAUGAGCCAAAGAAAUCAUUUUUCUGCAGCUUACGUAACAGCCCAUUUCCAAUUCAUAUAACAAAUCUCAAAAUACUUCCAGGUAGCCUAGAAGCAUGUAUACAACAUCCAAAACUAACAUGACUCAAAAUUAACAAGAAAUUGACCUUUUGAACCAAACCCUUGAUCAAGAAAUUUGAUCUACACACCCAAUCUGAAAUACCCAACUCUAAUUCAUGUUAGACUAGUUCAUUGAAUGAUAGAAACCCUAAAUAGAAUUAAGAACUCCAAUAUAUCAUGGCAGUUUCAAUUCAACUUAAGAAAGUUAAAUUUGAAAAUCAAGAUAAUGAAGUAACAAGGAAUUUUACCCUUUAAAUGUCUGAAUCCUUCCUUCACAAUCACGUUCUCUAUCUCCUCUCUCUCCGAUUUUUGCUUGAAGAAAGAAGGAUUUUCUUCCAACAGCAAUGGAAGAGCCACCUCCUCUCUGUUUCUUUUUCUUUCCUCGCAAAGCCAGGAAGAAUGUGGAAGAACGUUCUUUUCCCCCUUUUCUUUCGCAACUCCCUUUUUCCUUCUCUCCUCCCUCCCUGUUUCUUUUCCUUCUUCCCCCCGUUGGUCCCUCAUUUUCCUCCUCUGUUUCUUUUUUUUUUCCCCUCUUUUUCUCGCCAUUCUCGUGGCUUUCCUAUUUCUUGUCUCCUUCAGCCACUCCCGUGGCUUUUUCUUCUCAUUUUUUUUUUUGCAACAACUUCAAACGUCCGUAACUAUACUGUUAUAAUCCGAACUCGCAAACGGCUUUCGCCUAUGCGUUCAUGAUCUCGAUAUCUAUUCAACAAUAUAAAUUGUGACCUCGAAUGGUCUACGGAUUUUAAAUAAUUAAUUUCCCGAAAAAUAAUAUAAAAUCUCUAUAAUACCAAUACGUAGAUUAUAAUAAUGAAAUCCAGGAACGGGAUUUCACAAGAGCAGCUAGAAGUUUCAAGAAACACAUAAAAAUGUAGUGCUAUGCAUAAUCAAGAGUGCGAUCAUGCAAAAAUUACUGACAAAAUAAAUAUGCAAUAGAGGAAUCAUUACCCAAAAUCCAAAAAAUGAUACCUCACUGCCAAGUCCACUUGCCAUCACUGAGGUUCUCCUGAUUCUCGCUAUGUCCUAAGGGGUUGAUAAACAAAGUAUGAGUGGAUCAAGUUCUAUCUCGUCAAAAUCAAUCGAAUAACCUCCAUUUUGAAAUAUGCUAUUGUAAAAUUAUCAAAGAUACGGGCUUAGGGCCCACAUCCAACAAUAUCGAUAUAGUCCCAACUUGGUAAUUACUACCCUUACAAUCCGUCAGGUGUGAGGUUUUAUCACAAAAAGCCUUGGUGUUAGAUGGGGUGAGGAUAGGAUAUUUAAACUCCUCUGUACUUAGAGAUAUAGUUGAUGUGAGAUAUUUUAACACCUAUAUAUAUUUAUAUAGUAAAAACUACAUACAUAAUAAUACUACCAUAAUAGUGGUCACAAUCAAUUCAUCUCGCACGUCAUAUCAAAGAAAGUAAGUCAUUCAUAAAAUCAAAGUAAUAGAAUAUGAUUUUAUCAAUAUCGUAGAUGAUUCUUAUAAUCAAGUAUACACACGUUGGUGCGACUUCGAUUCCAAUGAUCUCUCCCUUUUAACAACUAACUAUAUUUAUUUCAUAAACGCUAUAAUUUGUAUUUAUGAAAAAAUGAUUUAAUCAUAUUAAUUCUGCAUAGUCCCGUCAAGUUGGAUAGUAAAUGUCAUAAAUAAGGCUUUUUAGUCAAAAUGAAGUCCUUGAGAUUUGCCUAACUCAUCACCUUGGUCCUUGAGAUUCAAAAUCAAUAGAAGUGGUCCUUGAGAUAGUCCACCACCAAUCAUUAUGGUCCUUCGGUGAAAAAUUGUGUUAAAUAAGAAUGAAAAUGAUAAAAUUACCCUCAAUGUAAUAAACAAUAGGCCAACAUGAUUUGACAAAAUUUGAGGGUAUUUUUGUCAUUUUAUCCUUAUUUUAUGGAGUUUUUUCACGGAAUAACGAAAAUGAUUGAUUGUGGACAAACUCAAGGAUUAAUUCUAUCGAUUUCAAAUCUCAGGGACCAAAACGAGGAGUUAUGCAAAUCUCAAGAACCAUUUUAACUAAAAAAUUAUUAUUCCUAAUAUCCUAAGAGUGUUGCUACUCCCACCCCGAUGUCUUAUUUCUCCACCCACUCUAAAUUAAAUAUUUUGUUUACAAAUUUAUCCUCUUGCAAAAUGGCUUUGAAGGACCUAAACAAAAAAGGAUUUUGACAAAGUAAGACCCAAAAAAAUUCAAUUUGAAUAUAUAUAAAAAAAAAGUUUAGAAAAAAAAUUCAAUUUGCUUGCUGUGAAUGUGAUGCUUAGUUCAAACCUGCUAUCCUAUUUAUAAGAAAUUAAGCACAAGCUAUCUCAAGUUAUGGACUUUAAUUAAUAUUAAUUUCGACAUAUCAGUUUCCCAUCCCUUUCACUGAUAUGAACAUGGCUGAUCUCAUUGGUGUGGCGCAAUAUUUGUUAAAUUAGCCGUUCGGGUUGAUUUCUUUGUAUAACUCUUCUGCCAAUUCUGCAACUUGUAGACUUAAUUCCCAUUACAAAAUUUUAAAAAAAAAAAUCCAAAAUUAAUGUAAGAUAAAUAAAGACUUUUUAUAUCAUAAAAUAAGACUUUCUAACUUGUAUACAAGACUAUAGUGACAAGAUCAAACACAUUGAUGGGUGCGUAUUUUCCAUCAACAUCUGUUUUGUGCGUUUAAAUUGAGCGUGGAGUCUUUUUUAGCAUUUAAAAGUUUUUUAUCAUGUAAUUGACUUGGUUUGAUAAGACCUACAUCUAGAUGACUUGGAUCUGAAGACUAAUGUAAAACCUGCUAUCCUAUUUAUAAGAAAUUAAGCACAAGCUAGCUCAAGUUAUGGUCUUUAAUUAAUAUUACUUUCGACAAAUUAGCUUCCCAUCCUUUCAUUGAUAUGAACUUGGCUGAUCUCAUUGGUGUGGCGAAAUAUUUGUUAAAUUAGCUGAUCGGGUUGAUUUCUUUGUAUAACUGUUCUGCCAAUUCUGCAACUUGUAGAUGUAAUUCCCAUUACAAAAUAAAAAAAAUAAAAUCCAAAACUCAUAUACGAUAAAUAAAGACUUUUUAUAUCUUAAAAUAAGACUUUCUAACUUGUAUCAAGACUAUAGUGACAGGAUCGAACACAUUAUGGGUGCGCAUUUUCCAUCAACAUCUGUUCUGUGCGUGUAAACUGAGCGUGGGGUCUUUUUUAGCAAUUAAAAGUUUUGUAUCAUGCAAUUGACUUGGUUUGAUAAGACCUACAUAUAGAUGACUUGGUUCUGAAGACUAAUGUAAAACCUUUUGUUGAUAUUUCUUGAGGGUGAAACAUUGUUUGAGAAACGUUUUGGCCCUCAUUACAAUUUUUUUCAUUUAUUUUUUAAGUUUCGGCUUAAAUAUUCCGCUAUAAAUACAUUUGUGGAUUUAAUAACAGGUAAAACCACUUCCAAAUAUCUUGUGAAGUUUUUCUUAAUGUCACCGAAAUUGUUUAAGGAAAAUGAAACAUUUGCAUUUUUUCACAAAAAUUGUGGUUUCUCAGUUUUGUAAAUUUGUAUAAAAUUCUUCAUUAAGUCCAUUGGUUUUCACAUUCGCCUUACCAUUGGGCUUCACUACAAUUUUAUUAUUUUAUUUAUUUUUUAGGUUGUGGCAGAAAUAUUCUAUUAAUUAAAUUUGUGGCUCAAUAAUUGGUAAAACUCUUUCCAAAUGCUUUAUAAAUAUAUUGUCCUAAUGCUAACGAAAAAUAUUUUGUGAAGAUUAAGGAUUUGGAUUUCUCACAAAAAAUGUGGUUGCUCACUAUUUUUCUUUAGUUUUGCAAAUUCGUACAUAAAUAAUCAUUGAAUAUAUUAGUUUCUUGAUAUUCUUGAGUAUAUACCCCGUUUAGGCAAUGUUGGACCUCACUAUUGUUUGUUUUUAUUAUUUUUUGGGUAUGGGUUUAAGUAUUCAUUAGAAAUACAUUUGUGGCUCAAUAAUUGGCAGACCACUUUUAGAUGCCCUAUAAAGAUUUUCUUAAUGCUCUAGAAAAAUAGAAAAUUUGCAUUUUUCACAUAGAAAAAUGUGGGCUAACAAUCACGAUUUUUAGGCGAUUUUGCAAAUUCGUACAAAAAUAUUAUCAAAUCUUAAGCCUUUAUAACUCUUGUUCUAAAUGAACUGUUUGUCAAUUGUACAAGAUUAUAAUUACAUGAUAAACACACUGAUGGGUGUGUAAUUUCCUGCAAUAUCUUCAAAGUGCGAUUAAAAUGAGCGAAUGUCGACUUUCAUAAAGUAGUAUGGGUAUAGGUCUUUUAAUAGUGCAAGCUUUUAUAACUCUUGUACUAACCAUUUGUACAUGUUUAUAAAUGGAUUAACAGACUAACAGUUUGGGUAUAAAUGAAGACUAAAUGAGGGACUUGAUUCUCAACUUGCACAGUACAUAGGUGUGAAGUCUUUUGGUAUAAUUAUAGACUUAAUGUCUAGUUCAUUAAGGUAUUGGUCUCUAAAAGAACUGGAUUUAGAGAACGAAAGUGCAAUCAAAUGAGAAAUAUAUUAGUCUUUCACAAAGCACAUGGCAGCAGAUGUGGAGUCGUUUUUAUUUAUUUAUUUAUUUAAACAAACGAUUGUAUCUACACUAAGGGGUAGAAGAGUGGGCUAAAUCUUAGAAUGGGCUUACAAUAAUAAAGUGGUUUAACUUCACCUUUGCCGAUAAUCGAAUCUAAAACAUUUCACUUACAAAUGAAGAGGUAUACCACUAGACCGUAGUACUAAGUAGCAUGCCAGCAUACGGCUAUAGGCGUGGAGUCUUUGUUAGCAAUUAAAAGUUUUGUAACAAGUAAUUGACUUGGUGUCAUAAGGCCUACAUCUAGAUGACUCGGUUUUUAAAACUAAUGUAAGAGUUUCUGUUGAUAUUUCUUGAGGGUGAAACACCGUCUGAGAAACAUUUUGGGCCUCAUUACAAUUUUUUUUUCACUUAUUUUUUAGGUUUCGGCUUAAAUAUUCUACUAUAAAUACAUAUGUGGCUCAACAAUUGGUAAAACCACUUCCAAAUGUCUUGUAAAGAUUUUUUUAAUGUCACGAAAAAUAUUUUAUGAGAGUUAACACUCAUUGUAUUUUGUUGGUUUUGCAAAUUCUGAUGAAAAUCAUCAUUUAGUCCAUUUGUUUUCACAUUCGCCAUACUGUAAGGUACUUAAAAUUAAUGAAUAACUUUUCCACGUUAAGGCAAAGAUUUGCGCCUCACUACAAAUUUUUUUUUCAUUUAGAAUUUUUAGGUUUCGAGUUAAAUAUACCAUUAAAACUAAAUUUGUGGCUCAAUAAAUUGUAGAAACCUUUCCAAAUGCAUUACAAAUAUUCUCUUAAUGCUAACUGAAAAUAUUUUGGGUGUUGCAGUCCUAUUAGAUUAGGAAUACGAUUGUGUAAAUCCUAGUAUAUCUUGGAAUAUCUCUUAUAUACCUAUUAGGAGUAGAUUACCUAUUAAAUGUUGUAAUCCUAAAGGGUAAGGAAUUAACCUUCUUACUAUUAUAAAUAAAGGCACAAUGAGGUGAAAUAACACACACCCAUAAUUACACAUCUCUCUCUUCUUCUUCUCUAUUGCCGUACCUUUCUCUCUCUCUAUGGCCUCCAUAAUUGUUCAGCAAAUUAUACCUACAACACGUUAUCAGCACGCUUUGACGCUGCUCUAAAGAGAGUUUAUUCUUAAAUCAGGAGAGUAUUGCGUUUUAAUCAUUCUUUUUGUGAUUAAUUUAUUAUUUUAUUGAAUUGAUCUACAUGCUAUUGAUUCAUCUUUCUUUGUUGAACGUGAUACAAUGCAUUAGAGAUGCAAUUCCAGCUUUCCAAGAAUGAACUUCUACAAAUUCAAAGGCUUUUAUUGUUUUCUGCCAAUCAGAUAAGCUUAAAAUGAAGGAAGAUAUUUGAAAUGACCUUGAAGCAUGAAAACAUUCCCCAUGACGCAUGAACCCCCUAUGUUUAUAUUUUGCUUCCGAUCUAUAUAUUGUAUAUGUUCAUAUAUUUGUCAAUAUAUAUAUAUAUGUAUAUAUAUAUAUUUGUUACAUGCUUAUGCAAUUAAAUUGCUAUGUGGAAUUGUGAGUCAAAGCAUAUAAAUAAAUUAGAAGCAUAUUAGGGUUUUUCAAACCCUACAUAUCGAAAAAAAUUCUUUAGGAAAAACACUAAGCCAAUGUACCAAGCCAGCAGCUUGUCAGCGUCACCAAUGACUUCAAUCUGACAUCUAUCUAACAUUAGCAGCCUCUGUUUGUGCUUGAGAACCAAGCCUGGACCUGGGUUUCCUUCUGAUGGCCUAUAACUCUUGGCCCACCAACUAGCAUGCUUAUACUUGCGGGGCUAGUUCUGCAUCGAAGCUAAAGCCUAAACGUGUUGGGCUUCAUCGUGAAACCCCAACAGCGCAAAGCUACAGGGCUCUUUCUAACACAGCUCGUGUCCCAAAAAUUACAAGCCUGUAGCUUGCUUUGCAAGAUGGGCUGCACAUCUGCUUUUCCUCUGCCCACUAUCAACCAAAAUGUGUUGCUUUCUCUCAGCCUGCUGCCACAUGCACCUAUGACCCAAGCUAAAAAAGCCUGUAAUUUUUGCAGGACCGUGUAUUGUAGCCAACCAAAGUGUGUUGGGCUGCAUUCGUUUUUCGACCCAAUGCUAAUUUUUGGCAUUCUAAAUAAUUUUAACCCGAAUGUUAUAAUUAUUUUUGCUUCUACAAUUGACCCCGAAUGGUCUUGAUAUAUUGAAUUAAUUAAAAGUGACAUGCAGUCCAUUAAUCUGAUAAUUAAUCCAAAAUUAUUGGACUAAAUCCCACUUUUGGACAUUAACGAUUCAAUAAUUUAUUUCUUUUCUUUGAACCGUUGACUCACUUUCGUAGUCCCGAAGCACUCACACUUGAGUUCCCGAAAAAACUCAAAUCCACUACACGUAGUUGUAUAUUGCAUUUUGUGUUUCUUGCAGGAACCUCUCUUUUAUGAACUAAAUGUUCAUAAACUUAAUUGAACCUGUACUUUCAAAAUUAGUGCCUUUGAAACCCGAAGUUUUCAUAAAACAAUACACCCAUGAAAACUUGAUCUUUUUCAUGAAAACUAUGUCUUAGAACUCGAAUGUUCUCACUUUGAUGCUUAUGGAUGAUUAUUUCCCAUAGUAACAAUCACACUUGUUCCCUCCAAUUCAGUGGAUUGUCGAACCGUCACAAGUUUGAUUUUCCUGAUUUGGACGUUUCUAAUAAAAACCACUUUAUGUGAGGUAUAAGACGUGAAUCUUCACUUGACUAUCAAGAAGCUGAGAAACCAUUAAAGCCAACAAUGGCAUGGAAGAGCUGAAUAAGCCUCCACCAUGAUCUUCAUUCGAAGACUUAUGCUCAAAGCAUUACAAAUGGAAAUACCUCCCGAUCAAGGAUUCCAUUGCUUUUUGGCUCGUUUCUACGGACUGUCUAAUCAUGAAAGACAUUGCCUAAAGCACACCAUGACUACGUCCAUGAAUGAGUACAAUUCUGAAGUUUAUAAAUCUGAUUGAAUUUUGACUGGAGAAUACUUUUCUCAUCCUUUCUUGUUUCUAACUCGCCUAUGAAGUAGCAGUGUAAAUAGCGGAAGUUUACCAAAUUCUCGGAUUUGAUUACUACCACAAAUGUGAGAGAAAUGUAUGGACCCAAUUCGGCUGGAGUCUACCGAAUAGCUCAACCCAGUUCGAUCAAAGCCUACCGAAUGGUGAUCCACUGCUUCGGCAGGGAUACACCGAAUGGCAUAUUCUCUCACAAUCCAAUUUCGAGUUUGUUUUUACAACAUAUGGUAGAAUCAGGGCUGGCCAAGGUGUGGCAUCAUGCCCGAAGCAUGAUCCUUGGUACCUAAGACCUAAAACUUCAAGAACAAGGGAAAAUAUUCCUGAACCUUAACCCUGCAGAAUCUAUUUCAGUCUCGAUGGAAUAGACCAUUGGUUAUGCACAUGUUCGUGCCCCUACCAAUGUUGUUAAGGAGUACCAUUCUAGUAGUCAAUACGUGAGACUAAUUUUGCUCCACCAAACACCAUUGGAAGAGCAGAAUUUUGACAUGGAUAGCCUUGUUGGCUGAAUCCCCUUAGUAAACCAUUGAAUUUGCGAACAUUUUUCCAUGUUCUUGGAUUCAUGUUUAGUGUAUGUUUUGCUUAUGGAUAAUCUUAUUGAUGUUGUCCUCGAAUAUGAGUUAAUUGAAUCAUGUUUCUUAAUACAUGUGACCGAUUCAAUUAAACAUGUGAUUGGUAGGAAUGUGGGAAAGUUAGUUGUCUGGAUGAAUACGUACUACGCACACUAACCAUUCAGGUCUAUCCAACUUGAUUAAGAGCAUUUGGCACACUCCUUGUUGUAUGAAUGGUACUGAAUCACCAUUUAGGGGACCUUAAAUUCUCCCUGACGUUUAGUUUUUAAGCAUAUUCAAGUUGACAAUGAUCAUAAAUGAAACCACUGAAGCAAUAAGAGUGAAAUAUCUUUGCAACACCUCCAAACAUGAGCUUUAAGCUUUGAUUUGGGGCCAAUAAGUAGUCUCCCAAUUGGGAACACACCACAUGUGGACGGCUUAGAGCUGGGUGAUUGAGCAGUUUAAUUGUUUUGGCACGACCUUUUAGGACACUUAGGUCGAACAAUGAUGCUACGACGCAUCUCCUUAUCUGAAGUAAGGAUCUUAUGCCUACAAGCACACUUUGCGAAGCCUACUCAUUAGGGAAAUUGAUGUUUUUUAUAUUAUUCCUUGCAAAGAUACGAAAUCACCCUUUUUCAUAAGUGGAUUCAAGGGAAUAUAUGUGGACUAAUCCAACCAAAAUGAAGACCAUAUAAAUACUUAUGAUUUUGGUUGAUGAAUCGACAAACUGGUCACAUGUUUGUCCAUAAACAUUGCUGCUAAACCUCUUGGCCGAUUAAGGGCUCACCACCCUACUUAUUAUCCCUUAAGGUUUGAGAGACUGGAUAAUGCCGAAGAGUUUAUAUCAAUGGUUUUCGAUAAAGUAUUGCAUGUCGUUUUGGGUUUAUAAUUGAAUAUUGAAUUCCCAUGUUCAUCCCAAAUAGCCUCGCCUAGCGAUCAUAAAGCGCAAUUUGAAUGAUUGCCCGAAUUUUGGUACACAUACCAAGUCUUUAGUUUCUGCCUAGGGCUAUGUAAUCUUGUACGCAAUUAUUUUGGUCUGCCUUGAGGCCCAUUGCCACCCAACCUAUAUGACGUUAUAGUUGGUUACUGGGUACGAACCUGACUAUUUUCGUAUUAACGCAUUUGGGUAUGCAUUCUCUGUGCUAAGUUGCGCCGCCGUAACAUACCACCAUAUGUCGUCAAAGAAGGAUGUGUAUCUUUUGUCGAUCAUGAUUCUCCUACACACUAGCUCUCUUCGAGCCCUUGCACACGAUCUCUUUACCGCUCAUUUACGGGUUGUCACUUUAAUGAGACAAUCUUCCCACCAUUAGGGGGAGAUAAGAACGUCAACGUUCCUGGAAAACAACACGAAUUUACGUGGACGUUACCCACUAUGUCUCAUCUCGAUCCCCAUACCACACAAGUGUGAUAAGCAAGUGCGAUGAAUUCUAGCUUUCAGAAUGUUACUCCAGACGUAUUCUCCUGAUCUAACUAAAGUGACAUACCAGCUGUAAACAUGUCUGCAAGGAUAGACAUACUUAACGGACGUCGAGUCAACAUCCCUGGAAGGUGUACCGCCCUUGUUGGACGGUUUGGAUGCCCAUGUUGGAUGGUCCAGUACAUCGGCAGAUAGCCAAUCAAUCUGUCUUGGCCUGGAGCACAAUAGAUCACUCGGUUCGUAGGAUUCACUUCCCUGGAAGAGGAAGACAAGGCACAACAAUGAAUCUAAACUCGAUCAUUAUCUUAAAUAAUUUCCAUCUCAUGAGAUUAAUUCAGAUUUCUCCCGAGACUUAAAGUUCUUGGUCCAGUAUACUAGUUGGGAUGAGCUAAAUGGAAUUGAAAUGAGAUUAUCAUCGAUGAUGCUUUCACUUAUAUGGUAGCUACAGACAUAAAUGAAAAGCGACAAUAUCAAACUGUGUUCCGUUGAUUAAAUGUAGAACUGAGCGGACAACUAAAGUUACAAUCCAAGUCAAAUUCCUUACCAAAGUGUGUAUUGGACAUGUCGUUCCUACACUGCCCAAGGUAAUCCUGUUGUGUUAUAAGUGGGAAAGGAAGCGUUAUGAGAUGAAUGAAAUAGUGCAAUAUGAUGCACGCCUUACGACGCAAGGUUUCUCUCAAACAUCAUGUGAUUAAUAACAGCAUUAUGAAAUGUGGUUAGUGUUUUCUCCAUGGGGAUAUAGAUACAAAGAAUUACGUGUAAGUUCUUGAAGAAUUACAUGGACUGUUUCAAAUGGUUCCAAAACCACAAAACACCCUCUUAACUCGUUUUGAGGCGUUCACUUAUGGAUUGAAAAAUCUGACGGAUGUGGUAUACCCGUCUAAAUGAUUAUUUGAUUAGUCAGGGAUGAAUUAUGCCCUUGCGUGUUAAACUAUGAAGCCUUUUUCCAAAUUGUUAGAGUUACAGUUUAUGUCGUUGACAUGAAUCUCACUAAGACUCCGAAAGAGCUUGAGAAAACUGCUUUGCACCUAAAGAUGGAAUUUGAGAUGAAGGAUCUUGGAAAAACUCGUUAUACCUUAACCCAAAGUUGAAGCAUUGUUCUGACGGUAUUUUUGGUCUACUGGUCAAACUACACUUCGAAUGUGUUACCUUUGAGUAUACCUAUGAUCGUCCAUAAGUUAUAUGAAAAUGAAACCCUUGAAAAGGUUAUGGAAUUAGAAAUUCCAUAUCUAAGUUCAACGUUGUGCUUCGUUGUACUUAGCUCAUUGUAUUUAGACAUGACAUCUCAUUCGUUGUUGAUCUUGGUAAAGAUGCAGCAUCGUGCCUACACGCAACCACUGAAUUGGUAUUAAAGACAUACCCUGAAGGUACCACAUGGGCAAAUCCCAUUGCAUCUUAGCCGAUCUAACCCCUCUGAUCCUUGAAAUGAUGUUUGCUUUGUUUGUUAUGCUGACGCAUGUUACUUAUCAAACUCACUCAAGGCAAAAUCCCCAAAUGGUUAUGUCUUUACCGUUAGGGAUAUCGCAAUAUCUUGGAGGUCCAUGAUAUGACCUUAGUUGUGAAAUCUUCGAAUCGUUCCAAGACUCACCUUACUUCACUGUGUCACAAGUGAGACAUGGUUAGGAGUUCUUGUUGAGCAUAUUCGAAGUACUUGCUAUGUUUUCAUCCAUCGUUGAGUCCUAACGACGAUCCAUGAAGAUUAUGCCGCAUGUAUCAACCCGACCAAGCCAUGAUACAUCAACGAAGUCAACACCAAGACAUAUUGCGUCCACAUCUACAUCAGCAAAGCGUCAGGAGAUUGAAAUCGUGCAAGCCGAUCCCAGACAACUUGUCGACCUCUACACGACGUCACUGCCGAAGUCAACCUUCCAGAAGCUUGUCCAAGGAAUUGGUAUACCUAACUAUUCAUAUGCAAUGCUUGUAGUUCUCAUUUGGAAGUUAUGUCAAACUCCAAGGGAGUAUCCAAAAGUAUACUCAAUCUUAAUGUACUCUUUUUCCCUACGAUUAAGAGCAUUUUUCCCACUGGGUUUUUGCUACCUAACUAGGUUUUAACGAGGCACCCAUCUGGGCUGAUCAUACCCUUGAGAGCUCUUCUACUUGCUUCCAAAUGACGUAUAGUUUUAACUUAAUGCAACUUCUCACUUUUCUCCUUAGUCUGUGGGUUUUUCUCCCACCUUGGGUUUUACCAUAGUGAGGUUUUGUGAGUUUUACUUGUUAUGCAUUCUUCAGUUGUUUUGAGACUCGCAUUCGCUCAUUGUGCCGACGACUUCAUCAAUUGUACUUGCUUCAUCAUUGAUGACCUAUUGCACCAUUUACUUGAGUAUUUACACACUCAAGGGAGAGUGUUGCAAUCCUAUUAUAUCUUGGAAUAUCUCUUAUAUUCCUAUUAGGAGUAGAUUGCCUAUUAAAUGUUGUAAUCCUAAAGGGUAAGGAAUUAACCUUCCUACUACUAUAAAUAAAGGCACAUCUCUCUCUUCUUCUUCUCUAUUGUCGCACCUUUUUUCUGUCUCUAUGGCCUCCAUAAUUGUUCAGUAAAUUAUACCUACAACAUUGGGAAGAUAAAAGAUCUGCAUUUCUCACAAAAACGUGGUUGCUCACUGUUUUUAGUCAGUUUUGCAAAUUCAUAUAAAAAUCUUCAUUAAAUCUAUUAGUUUUCACCUUUGCCUCACAAUGAUGUUUCUAAAAGUAAUGUAAGACUUUUUGUUGAUAUUCAAGAAUAUAGACCUUGUUUAGGCAAUGUUCGGCCUCACUGCUAUUUUUUUACUUACUUUUUGGGUUUUGGUUUAAAUAUUCGAUUAGAAAUACAUUAGUGACUCAAAAAUUAGUAGAACCACUUUCAGAUGCCCUAUAAAGAUUUUCUUAAUGCUCACAAAAAAAAAUAGAAAAUUUGCAAACACAAAAAACGUGGGUCAUGAUUUUAGGUGAUUUUGCAAAUUCAUACAAGAAUCAUUAUUAAAUAUUUUUGUUUCAACCUUAUCCUCACCAUGAUGCUUUUAAAAUUAGUGCAAUAAUUUCGGUUAAUAUUUCUUGAGAGUGAAACCCCAUUUCAGCAAUGUUUUAUGCACAACUAAUAUGUUUUCAGUUAAUUUUUGGGUUUCAGCUUAAAUAAUAUAUGAGAAAUGCAUUUGUGGCUCUAUAAUUGGUAGAACAACUUUCAAAUGCCUUAUAAAUAUUUAAUUAAUGUUCAGUAGAAUAUUUUUUGAAAAUAAAAAAUUGCAUUUUAGACAAGAAAAAAAGUCACGAUUUUUAGACGGUUUUGAAAAGUUGUAUAAUUUUUUUAAUACAUCUAUAUUUUUACGCUAAGGGGAGGGGGAGUUUGGCUAAGCCACACAAAUGGCAGUCUAAUUCGGUCAAAUUCGCCAUCCACGAGAUGUGAACCUAGGACCUCCCACUUCCAAGUGGAGAGGAAUACCACAAGAUCGUAGUACUGAGUGGCAAAAAAUCAUCAAUAAAUCUAAUUGUUUUCACCUUCGCCUUUCCAUGAUGUUUUAAAACUAAUGUAAGGCUUUACAUUAAUAUUCUUGAGUACAAGCCCCAAUUUAUGCAAUGUUUUAGGCCUUACUACGACAGCAACACACAACAACAACCAAGCCUUAUGCCAUUAAGUGGGGUCUACUAUACACCACUAUGAUCGGGUUUGCACCAAAACUUUCGUUAGCUACAAAUACUUCAUAUCAUUUCCUAGUUUUUUUUCCAAGUCUUCCUAACUUUUCCGCCACCCCUUUUGCCUUGAGCCUCUAUCUCAUAGUCGCCUAUUCUACCAUAGCAUUUGUAGAUACUCGGUUCAUGUACCCAAACCAUCUUAACCAAUUUUCUUUCAUCUUAUCUUCAAUGGAGACCACUUCUACUUUACUUGUCAUGCCCCGAUCCCGACAUUCGUCAAGGAUCGGCGCGUGACAUCACCCAUUACAUGUAUAUAUAACAUACCCCGCCUCCGAGAUAUGUACAAAGCACAACUCACAGUCCAACUGCAUAGUAAUUUUUCGUACGCUUUAUGGCUACAUCUAACCUCCUCGUUAGACUGCCUACGUACCUUAAACAGGAAUCAAGCUAUUCGUAGUUCGUCUUUCACUACACUCAAACAAUCAUCACGUAAAUCACUAUGUCGCAACAUAAUACCACAAUUCAGGUAUGCAACAUCUCAAGGAAUAUUCGACGAAGCACAAUAAUAUUCUCUAGUCAUCUUGCCAUUCACACACAUAUGUUUCCAAACACCAUUCAAUAAUCACAGCAAUCAAUAGCAUACACAAUACAUCGAAAUGCAGGGUUAGAGCCACAUAGUUUGGUCGAAGCCUACAUCUCUAAAGCUGAAAUCAAAUCCAAGUAACAAACAAGUCAAAUGAUGCGAUUUCGGAUCACUCAAUGAACUCGCAUAGUAGAAGGGAUUCCAAACCUCUCAAUGGAAUUCGAGUGGAUACGAUCCCGGACCAUCACUUAACAGAAUCGUUGAUUAGAAGGGAUUUUAGACCAUCAUUUAAUGGAAUCCAAGUGGAUACGAUUCCAGACCAUCACUUGACAGAAUUGCAAAUUAAAAGGAAUUCCGAACCAUCACUCAACGGAAUCCAAGUGGAUAUGAUUCCAGGCCAUCGCUUAAUGGAAUCGCAGGUUAGAAAGGAUUCCGGGCCAUCACUCAAUGGAACCCUAGCGGAAACCCAGUUUCGGAUUAUUCAACGGAAUCGAGCGAAAGUCCAAGGAAUAUAACAACGGCUUGAAGAACAAUACAAGAACUAAGUACUUAAUAUAGAAGGUUGAACGAAAUGAAAGUGAAAUAAGGAAACAAGAUGGGAAACAAGUUUUGUGUCGAUCCAACAGUCGGAUCAUCAAUUCAUAUAAUAACCAAGUGGCGGCCGACUAGACGGUCAACUAUAAAACUAUAUUAAAAUAUUGGGAUUUCAUUAAACGGAUGUCAUAGAUGGAAUCAGGGUAUCAAAAUUAGCCUAGGAUGGUCAGGUGGGGUCUCGUCCCACCCGCCGAUGCACGCGGUGGCCAAUCGCGCUCGACAUGCCGAAAAAUUCAACUGUUUCAAAAAAAUUACCAAAUUUUACAGGCAUGUAUAUCUCAAUGAGCGGAGUAAUUUUCAUACAUGAGUUGAAGUCCAAUUCAGAUUGAAAGUGCUCUGAAUUUCCCUCGAUCCAUCGAAACCCUAGAAUUUGGGUGUCCUCGAUUCGACCUCCAUAGUAGCUCCAAUGCCUCCUCCACAGCUUGGGAUUUGUUCCUAAGGUUGAGGGGAGCCUUAUGAUGGUGGUGGUUAACAAAGUUACCUUCGAAUUUGAUAGAUCGCCACUACGAACCCUGUUGCACCCACCAUGCGGGUUUCACAAUUUCAAGGCCAAAAUCCAUUUAUUUUGGGGUGGAAUGGGUAGAGGGGGGGCCAACGAGUGUUUCCCUAGGAGGUUGUUUAACGUGGUUCGCCGAAAAAACCGACGGAAAACCAUUAGAAAUGGCUACCCGAACUGGGUCGGGUCACACACGAAAAUGGGGGAUCUGAUUCCCUCAUUCUCUCCUCACUCCUUUCCCCUUCUUGAUCUCCUCCCCCAUUGGUCACUCCCCCCUCCUUUUCAGAAACUUCUAACGUCCAUAACGUCUCCUUUCUCGUCCCAAUUCAUGAACAGCCUUCGCCUAUCCGCUCGUGGGGUCGACCUCAAUUAGAAAACAUUAAGAGUGAUCCAAAAGUCUACGGAUUUUAAAGGAUUAUUUUCAAAAAUUAAAACUUUGUAAUUAAGUAAUUAAAAUAUAAAAUUAAUUUAAAUUCGCAAAAAUACUAUAAAAUCCUGCGAAUACAAAAUACGUAAAUUACAAUAGUGAAAUUCCAAAUGUCACAUUACCUCGGAUGUCCUCGUUGUUAAUCCAAUCAUUUUGACACCCCAACCCCAAUAACACAAGUUACGAGGUCGAGAUAUCUUGGCCGUCACUAAAUUGACCAUAUGGCCCCAUUGAGGGAUGACUUCACAAGCCAACUUAAUAACGAAGCCAUAGUAAGAUAAUUACGAUGUGAGUGAAUUUGAAUCAAAACAUUCAUUAAAAAUAAAUCAAAAGUUGCUACAAAUUUUCCUAAUCAACCUUCCCACUUGGGAACAUAUAUUUAGGGUUUAGAUCCCAUUAUUACAUCACAUCAGAGCAGCUAGAAGUUUUAUACAACAGUAAAUACAUAAAAGUGUAGUGCUAUGCAUAAUCAAGAGUGUGAUCAUGCAAAUAUUACUGACAAAAUAAAUAUACAGUAGAGGAAUCAUCACCUAAAAUCCAAAGGAUGAUACCUCAUUGCCAAGCCCACUUGCCACCACUGAGGUUCUCAAUUCUUGCUAUGUCCUGAGGAGUCAAUAAACAAAGUAUGAGUGGAUCAAGUUCUAUCUCAUCAAAAUAAAUCGAAUAACCUCCGUUUUGAAAUCACCUAUUGUAGAAUUAUCAAAAAGACGGGCUUAGGGCCCACAUCCAACAAUAUUGAUAUAGUCCCAACUUGGUAAUUACUACCCGCACAAUCCGUCAGGUGUGAGGUUUUAUUACAAAAUGCCUCUCGGUGUUAGAUAGAGUGAAGAUAGGAUAUUUAAACUCUUCUGUACUUAGAGAUAUGGUUGAUGUGGGAUAUUUCAAUACCUAUAUAUAUAUAUAUAUAUAUAGUAAAAACUACAUACAUAAUAAUACUACCAUAAUAGUUGUCACAAUCAAUUCAUCUCGCACGUCAUAUCAAAGAAAGUAAGUCAUUCAUAAAAUCAAAGUAAUAGAAUAUGAUUUUAUCAAUAUCGUAGAUGAUUCUUAUAAUCAUGUAUACGCACGUUGGUGCGACUUCGAUUCCAAUGAUCUCUCUACUAAAUAUAUUUAUUUCAUAAACGCUAUAAUUUGUAUAUAUAAUAAAUGAUUUGAUCAUAUUAAUUCUGCAUAGUCCCCUCAAGUUGGAUAGUAAAUGUCAUAAUUAAGGCUUUUUAGUCAAAAUGGAGUCCUUGAGAUUUGCCUAACUCAUCACCUUGGUCCCUGAGAUUCAAAAUCAAUAGAAGUGAUCCAUGAGAUAGUCCACCAUCAAUCAUUUUGGUCCUUCAGUGAAAAAUUGUGUUAAAUAAGAAUUAAAAUGACAAAAUUACCCUCAAUGUAAUAAACAAUAGGCCAACAUGAUUUGACAAAAUUGAGGGUAUUUUUAAUAUUUUAUCCUUAUUUUAUGGAGAUUUUUCACUGAAUGAUGAAAAUGAUUGAUUGUGGACAAACUCAAGUACCAAUUCUAUCAAUUUCAAAUCUCAAGGACCAAAGCAAGGAGUUAUGCAAAUCUCAAUAACCAUUUUAACUAAAAAAUUAUUAUUCCUAAUUUCCUAAAGCCCUUGGGAAGGUAUCUGCCAAUUGUACCCGAGAAGAAGUGCAGCAAGGAAAAAUUUAUAAAGACAAUGGAUACAUGCCACUUCGCUGCAAAAAACGAUACUUAAAGGACAAUUUUCCCGAGUUUUUCACCGCCGUUUUUACCGUUUGCUGCAAAAAACAAAUACUCUCCCCUUGCGAGCUCCGUCGUCAAUUCCCUUCACGAACUUUGAGUCCCUCUGAAAAAAUGAUUACCUGAAAUUUGAAUUUUUCAAACUUUGUGUCUGGUUAUAUCUAACGAUCCCUAAUUCUAAAUUUAUGGUUUAGAUAUAUAAAAAAGAUAUCUCGGGUACUUCAUUGCUAUCCAUUAAGCUCCCCACUUUCAAGCAAAGCAAAAAAUUCUAAUUGAGUUGAGUUUUGAACAUGCUGAUUAGUUAGACAACUGAAUUACUAAUCUUUAUUAUUAUUGCAACAAACACACGGAUUACACUAAAAGCUAGUGAAUCAUACACUUGCAGAUGACUUAUCCAAACACAAAGAUAAGACAUGAUUUUAUUAUUAUUGCUAUAAACACACGGAUUACAGCGAAAUUCAAAAACUAAAAACAAGGAAAAAAGUAGUGAUGAAAACCAAUGCCACUUCCGGGAACACGAUUGCAUUCGCACAUGCAACAAGCCUUUUAAACCCAUAGGUGACCCAAAUGGGACGAGUGAAGUCUCGUGAGGGUUUCCAGAGACGUUACCCACAAACAUCAUGCAUACGGAUCAUCAACAUCUGACUUGGGAGACUGAGUAGAUAUCCACCCCUCCAGCAUCAGGUUGUUUUGGUUGAGGCGUAAUUCGAAUCUGUUUUCAAUGAACGGCCUGGUUAUGAGAUCGCUUUGCAAGUGACGUAAUCGGCAGCGCGUGAUUAGGUUGUUGCUGUCAGGUGGUCCGACAGGCUCGACCUUGAACAAUGUGCAAGCCCAAUUGUCUUUGGUUUCAUUUCGGUCAGCAGCUGCGGCCAGGACCAAUAGCCUGUUUUGGUCCACCCUUCUCAAGUAGUUGCCAUUGUAGGAGCAUUUGAUAUGCACGUAAUUCUUGUCGGCGUAGUCCUCAUUGUUUGGCUUCUCGGUGGUGAACUUUAUGAACCUGCUGUUUUCAUUGUCCUCGGAAAACUGGACAAUCUCAUUAAGGUCGCUUUCUGCAUCAAGUUGAUAGCGCAAAUACUUGUUGUUGAUAUCUGCUUUCAGCAGAAAAGGGCUUGGUAGUACAGGUGGUGGAGCCAUAUCGUAUAGUGUAGUUGGGAUUGGGAUGCUCUCUCUUUUUUAUUCUCUGUUGAUGAUCUAAUUUGCUUGCUGUGAAUGUGAUGCUUAGUUUAAACCUGCUAUCCUAUUUAUAAGAAAUUAAGCACAAGCUAGCUCAAGUUAUGGUCUUUAAUUAAUAUUAAUUUCGACAAAUCAGUUUCCCAUCUCUUUCAUUGAUAUGAACAUGGCUGAUCUCAUUGAUGUGGCGCAAUAUUUGUUAAAUUAGCCGUUCGGGUUGAUUUCUUUGUACAACUCAUCUGCCAAUUCUACAACUUGUAGACCUAAUUCCCAGUACAAAAUUAAAAAAAAAUUAAAAUCCAAAACUAAUAUAAGAUAAAUAAAGACUUUUUAUAUCAUAAAAUAAGACUUUCUAACUUGUAUACAAGACAAUAGUGACAAGAUCAAACACAUUGAUGGGUGCGCAUUUUCCAUCAACAUCUGUUCUGUGUGUUUAAACUGACCGUGGAGUCUUUUUAGCAAUUAAAAGUUUUGUAUCAUGUAAUUGUCUUGGUUUGAUAAGACCUACAUCUAGAUGAGAUGCUUCUGAAGACUAAUGUAAAACUUUAUGUUGAUAUUUCUUGAGGGUGAAACAUCGUUUGAGAAACGUGUUGGGCCUCAUUACAAUUUUUUCAUUUAGUUUUUAACUUUUGGUUUAAAUAUUCUACUAUGAAUAAAUUUGUGGCUUUAAUAACUAGUAAAACCACUUUCAAAUAUCUUAGUAUCGGCUUUCAGAACAAAGGGGUUUGGUAGUACAGGUGGAGCCAUAUUGUAUAGUGUAGCUGGGAUUGGGAUGAUCUCUCUCUCUUUUUUGUUUUUUUUUUCCCUUUAAUUUGCUUGCUUUGAAUGUGAUGCUCAGUUCAAACCUACUAUCCUAUUUCUAAGAAAUUAAGCACAAGCUAUCUCAAGUUAUGGACUUUAAUUAAUAUUAAUUUCCUCAAUCAGUUUCCCAUAUCUUUCAUUGAUACGAACAUGGCUGAUCUCAUUGGUGUGACGCAAGAUUUGUUAAAAUAGCGAUCGGAUUGAUUUUUCUUUGUAUAACUCUUCUGCCAAUUCUGAACUUGUACAUAUAAUUCCCAUUAUAAAAUAAAUAAAUAAAAUUCAAAACUCAUAUAAAAUAAAUAGAGACUUUUUAUAGCAUAUAAAAUAAGACUUUGUAACUUGUACAUAGUUAUUGAUAACAUUCAUCUAAGAACUAACAGAUGAAUGUAUGCAAGCAAUAUUGAAGAAAUACAGAGAGAAAGAUCGAAAGGAAUAGAGAGAGAAAUAGAGAAAGAAAUGAGUGAAAGCUUUGUUAUUUCAUAAGAACAAAAGAUCAUCACAAAAGAACCCUGAUUCCUUCUUAUAUAGUCUGCCCAUGUAGCUUAUCAGCUAAGCCACCUGUGUAACUAAUUCUUAACAAACUAACUAACUCCAAUAGCUGAUAUGGCACUUAUGAUGAUGUGUCAAUCACUAUAUAUCUUCAACAUCCCCCCGCAAUCUCAACUGGGAUUUUCUAGCUUGAGAUUGUAAAAAUGUUAGACAAAUGAAGGACUGUGAAGACCUUUGGUAAGAACAUCGGCAGUUUGCUCCUCAGUUGGGAUAUACAACACCUCCAAAUCGCCUUCAUGCACCCGUUCUCGUACAAAAUGGUAGUAUGUAUUAAGGUGUUUAAUUCUUGAAUGAAACACCAUAUUAGCACUGAUCGGAUCAUAUUUAUAUAUAUUUUUACUUCGAAUUCACUCGUCUUUUCUUAGUUAGUUCCUUAUAUUUUUGAGCUAUUUACGUUAUUUUUGUGUUUAUAGGAUUUGUUAUGCAAAGAAAAUAAAAAUAGAACAAAUGAAAUUUUAUGUAAUAAAUUCGUCAAAACUGUCUGUGUAGAUCAUCUUUUAAAUAAAAUUAAUAAAAAUAAUAAUAAUGGUAAGUCAUGAUGAUGUUUGAAACAUCAUCAUGAUUCAUGUUUUGUAGAAGAAGAAAGGAACGGCAAAGAAGGAGAAAAUAAAGAAUAAAAGGAGGGAGAGCGUCGGUGGAAAAGAAAAAGGAAUAAAAAGCUGCCUUUACCAACAGAGAGAGUGGGGAGGGCAGAAAGAAAAACACGGCAUAAAGAAUAAGAAUAAGAGGAAGUGAACAGCAGUGCGAAGAAGAAAGGAAGAAUAAGAAAAUAAAGAUAAGAGGCAGAGCGGAAGAGAGAGGAGGGGGGAGAUAAGUCAGAGGGACGCGGAACGAAGAGAGGAAAGCAGCAAAGCUGCCAGCGGAAAGAAAAGGUUGCCCUUGCAGCCUUGAAAAAAAAAGCAAAAAAUAAAGGAGAGGUCAGGAGGGGAGAGAGGUUAGAGUGCGAAAACAGAGAGAGAGAAGGCGGGAGCAGCGCAGCAGAGCACAGCAGCAGGUGCAGGGAAGUCAGGAGCUAGGCAGAUCUUCUUUUCUUGGUUUUAUCUUCUCAAACCCAUGUUUUACUUUUGGUUUAAUUUGAUAAUAAUGUGUAACUAAAUUUAUUUUGGCUAGAGGUUAAUUCAAAGCCAUGAAUAUAUUUGUAAUAUGAAUUGAUUACCUUCAGUUGUGAUUUCUGAGUUGUGAUUUAAUUUGCUUAACUGCUUGAUUGAUAACUUAUUUUUGUAUGUCGAUUAAGAAUGCAUACUUAAUUUACAUGCAUGAAUUUGAUGCUAGAAUAUAAGUGAAUUUCACCUAAUCGUUAUGAACUUAUAUUCACAAGUAGUGAAGGUUGUUAUCCACAAUCGUGUUAAGUGAAUUCUAGGCUGGAUUAACAUGCGUAUUCCAUAGUUAUGAAUGCCUAGUCAAUGUUUAUGAUUUCCGUUGAACUUAAUGAUCUUUGUUGAAUGUCUCUAUCAUGCGUAUUCCAUAGUUAGGGACUUUGAUGAGGAAUAAUUUGGUUGUAAUGCGUAUUCCAUUCAAUCCAAUGAAUCUAGGGAAAUCUAAGAGUUAAUUUAAGCGGACCUAAUUAACUUGGAACAUUGUCAUUCACAAUUUAUUGAAAGAACAACUGAAAAUCAAUUUAGGUUGCAUAUGUGUCAUGUGUGGAGAAGAACCCUCUAGCUAGUCCGUCACCUAUCCUUUCACCUUAAUUUCAUGCUUUUGUCAACUCUGUAAUUUAUUUAAGUUUAAUUUACUUCUCGUCAAAACCAAACCCCCCCAUUAUUAAAUUAUAUUAUUUAGUUAAUUUUCAUUGUUGUUAGUCAUUUAAUUCAAUUUCCGUCCAUUUCAGUUUCUAGUGUCUAAUUUGAUUGUUUUCAUUAUUUUGAGUCAUUCUAAGUGUGUUUCGAGUUAUUAGAGUUUUUAGCCUAGUUUUGUGUCCUUGAGUCUUGUUUAAUAUUUUUAAAUUAAUUUAGAAUAGAUUAGCAAUCCCUCCUAAUCCCCGGCCUAGAACGAUACCCUACUUACAUCUAUAAUACAAUUGUCAAAAAGAGGGUUUAAUUGGUGUGUCAAGUAAUUUUCACAUCAAGCACUUAAGGCAAUAGCAGACAUAUUGUCACAGUGAAUCGUUGGUGGAGCAUCCAAAAAUACACUCAAAUCCUUCAAUAUAUUUCGAAUCCAAGCUAUAUCUACGGCAGUAUGUGCUAAGGCUUUAUAUUCAGCCUCAGUAGAACUCCUGGAUAUCGAGUUUUGUUUCUUCGAUUGCCAAGAAAUUGGAUUACUACCCAAGUACACGACAUAACCAGUGAUAGACCGACGAGUAUUCAAGUCUGUAGCCCAAUAAGAAUCAGAAAAUGCAGUAAGCUUUGAAACUGUGUUUGCAGAAAAAGCAAUACCAAUGUUCAUGGUUUCUUGAAGAUAACGAAUGAUUCAUUUAACAACGCCAAAAUGAACAUCAGUUGGUGAGGACAUCAACUGACAUACUGUGUUUACAGCAAAGGCAAUAUCAGGCCUAGUAAAGGUCAUAUAUUGUAAAGAUCCCACAAUACUUAUGUAAGGUUGGAUCUGUCAAUAAUUGUCCCUCAGAGUGUAACAUUUGAUGAUGAGGUUUACAAGGAGUGGUUGCUGGUUUACAUGAUUCCAUACCUGCUUUAUGGACGAGAUCUUUGAUAUACUUAGACUGAUUAACAAAAACACUGCCAUUUGCUUUAUAUUGAACUUGUAAACCCAAAAAAUAUGUAAGUUGUCCCAUAUCCUUUAACUCGAAUACCUCAGAUAAUUAUUGAAUCACUUUUUGGAUCUUCAAAGGAUUAGAACCAGUUAAGAUGAUAUCAUGAACAUAAAGUAAUAAGAUAAUGAUAUCAGAGUCAUCCUUCUUGACAAACAAACUUGUAUCAGAAGUUGAUGCAUGAAACUCCAUAACUGUCAAAUAACUUGUAAACUUUGAAUUCCACACUCGUGGAGCCUGUUUCAAGCCAUAUGAUGUAUCAAUAAAUCCUUGUGGUUGCUGCAUAUAAACUUCUUUUUGUAAAUCUCCGUGUAGAAAAGCGUUCUUGAUAUCUAAUUGGCGAAGAGGCCAAUGAUUCAUUGCAGCUAAAGAAAGAAUAAUCCUUAUAGUAGUAUGUCCGACAACAGGACUAAAUGUGUCCAAGUAGUCAAUACCAUGUUCUUGGGAGAACCCUUGAGCUACAAGCCUUGCUUUAUACCUGGAGACACUGCCAUCAAAGUUUUUCUUCACUUUGUAUUCCCAUUUGUUUCCUACAAUUGUUCUGUCUUCAGGUGCAGGAACCAAUAGCCAAGUUCCUUGUGCUCGAAGUGAAUCAUAUUUCUCCUGCAUUGCCUUUUGCCACUGUGAAAUAGUAGGAGCUUUCCGAAAUGUCUUAGGUUCUGAAGCAUCAGUGAUCUCAGAAAGAAAGGAAUAGCCACCCGUGAAAGGUUCUUCAUCAGUGAUUUGGAGACAACAAAGCUCAGGACAUUGUGCUACUAAAGCAGCAUAAUUUUGUCCCUCAAUUGUUCCACUCUUCAAUCUAGGGACCAUUGAGUGAGUCAAUGGUGUAGUAUGUAAAAUGAGAUCAAAUAGAGAUAAAUCAGGAAGGAUUACCUCAAGUUGUGACUCAGAGUGGACAAGCAACAAGGAUUGUGUACCAGAGUGAUGAUGUGUAAGAGAGUGAUGAUGUGAAGAGCUUGGAGAUGCAUAUAGAAGAUUGGUUUCAGUCGAAUUUGUAUCUUGAUCACUAGGUUGAAUCACCUGUGUAUUGUCCGAACUAGAAAUAUUCAAUUAACCAACCACAUUUAUACUUUCACAAUUUGCAGGAAUACUGUGAUGUGAACCAGUAUCAUUUGCUGAUAUAUGUAUAGAACUAGCUGCUUGUGAAUCAUGCUGUAUUUAUGUAUGAGGCAGGACUCUUGCACUUGGAACUUGUAACUGAAUCAAAACAGGUGUCUGAGAACACCUAUAUGUAGCUGUAGAAUCCUUAGAUGGCAAAACUUGUUUAAACGGAUAUACAUCUUCAUCAUGUAGUACAUGCCCUGACAGAAUGAACUUUCUAGUCUUGAUAUCAUAACAAAUAACUCCUUUAUAUCCAUGAGCAAAACCAAGAAAUACACAUUGAGCUGACUGUAGCUCCAAUUUAUUCUUAUUGAAUGAUCUUAUCAAGAUAGAGCAGCCAUAAGAAACUCUUAACUUUGGAGGAAUAUGAAGUUUCCAAAUAAGAUUCCAUCGCCGGAAAAGCACAAGGCCUAAUGGCCCAAAAAUAAGCAGAUUUAACUGAAAAAUUACCAUCAUUUAUUCCACUUCAGAUACACUUGGCAGUCAAAGCAUCAAAACUAAUUGGAAUGCUAAGAAUUUGUUCAACCACCUCUUUAGUAAAACAAGUAAUAGUGGAUCCAAACCAUUAUUGUAACAAUAGUUAGCUACAGUAGCCUUAUAUGUAUUGUCGGCGUUACCACACAAUCCCGAUAUACGUCCAGGAUCGACAUGUGAUCUCAUCAAAUACUCAUAUCUCUAACUUACCCCACCUCCGGAAUAUGGCAAAGUGAUGAGUCAAUAUUUACCAUAUAUUUUACCCUAAUCUUAGUAUUAAUUUAUUAGUUAUUUUGGUAGAAUUUUGAUACUUUGUUAUAUAUUUCUAAUAUAGGACAUUCGACUUCAUCUGGAGAAAAAAGUAACCAAACGGAUGAUUUUUGGAGUGAUUCCAAUUGGAGGAUGUUUGUGAGUCUUCGAGAUGAUUAUAUCAAAAUUCCAAAUUUUUCUACCAAGUCGUUUGACCGUGGCAAUGAAAUUAAGGCCCUGCGCGCAGCUUUCUCAGAUUGACAUUUCGGGACAUUUUGCGUAUUUUGAAAGUCAAGAUGUAAUAUUUUGAGGAAGAUUUCUUCUGAGGAUUUGUAUGGGACGUCUCCAUCUUUCAAAAGAGACAUUUUGGGACCAAAUCGGAGUUGAUUUGGUUGGUCAGAAGUCUGAUUUUCUGAGAUCUCCGAAUUCUAGUUCAAAUAGGAAACCUUUUAUUUUCUGUUUUAUUAUUUUAUUAUGUUUCAUAGUUUUAUUGUAAGACCUUUUAGGGUUUUAUUUUGUAUUAGUAUAAAUAAGAUAUUUAGCCAUUAGGGGAAAAGGGGAGGAGAGAAUAGGAGGAGAAUGCACACAAUACUUUGGAGGAUUCAAGUUUAUUUUCAAGGUGUUUUCUAUCCAUGUUCUUAAUAAUAUUUUGUUUUAUAGUUGAUAGUAACUAGUUUCGUUUGCUAGAUCGAGGCCAUGACCCUUAGCAAGAAUACGUAGUUUCUUUUCAAUCUGCUUAUGAUAUUAUGCAUGCAAGUUUUGAAUUAUUAAUCAUCGUGCUUUAAACUAUCUAAUUGUGUUGAUGAUUGGCCGCCAUUAGGAUAUUUAGAAAAGUAAUUUGAUGCAAUUUUGGCGGAGGGCUGUCCCUAGAAUUGGUGCUGGCUUCUUGUGGUUAAUAUGUGUAACUUCUUAGGAUGGAUGACAUGUCUUAAGGGUUAUAUGGUUUUUCAAAAGGAUUUCACAAAACUUUAUGAGUCUUGCAUGUUAACUUUUGAUCUGGACACCACAGACAGGUUGCAUGUUAGAUAUAGGUUCUAUGUUGGAGGUUCCAAGUAAGGCAUACAUUAGGAAAACCUAACCAUCAAAAUAUGCAUUUGUAAUUCAUAAGUAAUUGGAAGAACUACGUAGGAUUGUUAAGGUGAUGGUGAAACCCUAGUGCUUAAAUUUAUUUUCAAAACUAUUUUCUUUGGUUUUCUUUACUUUCCCAAUUUAUAGUGGAUCCAAACCAUUAUUGUAACAAUACUUAGCUACAGUAGCGUUAAGCAUAUUAUCGGUGUCAUGCCCCGAUCCCGACAUACGUCUAGGAUCGACACGUGAUGUCACCAAAUACCCACAUCUCUAACUUACCCUGCCUCUAUGGCAAAGUGAUGAGUCAAUAUUUUACCAUAUAUUUUACCCUAAUCUUAGUAUUAAUUUGUUGGUUAUUUUGGAAGAAUUUUUAUACUUUGUUAUAUAUUUCUAAUGUAGGAUAUUCUACAUCCUCGGGAGAAAAAAGUAACCAAACAGAUGAAUUUUGGAGUGAUUCCAAUUAGAGAAUGUUCGUGAGUCUUUCAAGCUGAUUGUAUCAUAAUUCCAGAUUUUACUAUCAAGCUGUUUGACCGUGGCGAUGAAAUUAAGGCCCAGCACGCAACUUUCCCAUAUUGACGUUUCUGGACGUUUUGGGUAUUUUGAAGGUCAAGAUGUUAUGUUUGGAAGAAGAUUCCUUCUGAUGAUUUGUAUGGGACGUCUCCAGCUUUCAAAAGAGACCUUUUGGGAUGAAAUUGAAGUUGAUUUGUUUGGUCAAAAGUCUGAUUGUCUGAUAACUCCGAAUUCUAGUUCAAAUAGGAAACCUUUUAUUUUCUGUUUUAUUAUUUUAUUAUGUUUCCUAGUUUUAUUCUAAGACCUUUUAGGGUUUUAUUUUGUAUUAGUAUAAAUAAGAUGUUUAGCCAUUAGGGUAAAAGAGGAGGAGAGAAUAAGAGGAGAACACACAUAGUACUUUGGAGGAUUCAAGUUUAUUUUCAAGGUGUUUUCUAUCCAUGUUCUUAAUAAUAUUUUGUAUUAUGGUUGUUAGUAACUAGUUUCGUUUGCUAGGGCGAGGCCACGAGCCUUAGUGAGAAUAUGUAGUUUCUUUUCAAUUUGCUUAUGAUAUAUAUUAUGCAUGCAAGUUUUGAAUUAUUAAUCACUGUGCUUUAAACUAUAUAAUUGUCUUGAUGAUUGGCCACCAUUAGGAUAUUUAAAAAAGUAAUUUGAUGCAAUUUUGGUGGUGGGCUGUCCCUGGAAUUGGUGCUGGCUUCUUGUGGUUAAUAUGUGUAACUUCUUAGGAUGGACGACACGUCUUAAGGGUUAUAUGGUUGUUCAAAAGGAUUUCAUAAAACUUAAUGAGUCUUGCAUGUUCACAUUCGAUCUGGACACCACAGACAGGUUGCAUGUUAGAUAUACGUUCAAUGUUGGAGGUUCCAAGUAGGGCAUACUUUAGGAAAACCAAACCUUCAAAAUAUGCAUGUGUAAUUCAUAAGUAAUUGGAAGAACUACGUAGGAUUGUUAAGGUAACGGUGAAACCCUAGUGCUUAAAUUUAUUUUCAAAAACUAUUUUCUUUGGUUUUCUUUACUCUCCCAAUUUAUUUAAUUGUUUUCAGUUAAAUUCGUUUUUAAUAUUUUAGGUUAUAAAACCAACCUCUUCUAGACUUUAUUUUCAAAUAAUUAAUUAAGAUUUGGUUUUAACAUAAAUUAUGGCUUUUUUUAUUAGCACCCCACAAAAUGUUGAAUGCACCCCACAUUAAAAUUUAAUAUUAAAUGACUUAUUUACCCCACUAUGCAAUGACAAUUUUGACCUUAUUAGGUUUUAAAAAAAUAAAAUAAAAAUAUCUAAAUACACCCCAAAUCAAUGUUUUAGAACCUUCACAUGAGGUAAGACUAUGUUUCAUCGGUGGUUUGGUUAAUUUCAUAUUGCUUUUUUUUUUUUCUUCCGUUGGUUAUUCAUUUUCUUCUUUGCAGGUUACAAAUCCAGCCAGUGGUCCUCCUAGAGAAGGUUUGGUUAUAUCCCUUGAAAUGAACAAUGGAAAGCGACAAAAUAUUUUGGAGGUUAGACCAGAAAAUGCAUCGCAGGUUUGUUGGCAUGUACCACUCUGCCUAUUGAUAUUGAGUUGUAUGGUUCUUAACAAAUAAUUGAGGUGUAUGAUUCUUAGUAAAUAAAUGAGGAUUUGAUAAUAUUUUUUGGUGUAUUUAAAUAGGAUAGCAUACAAGGCAAUACCUCUAUAGGGGACAGUGAGGUUGCAACAACGAGCGUCGUUGAUUACACAAACGCAUUUAAAACAGACGAGGUAACUAUUUUUAGUAUAUUGAAUGUGCAUCUGUGAAUUUCAUGGAAACUCUUGCAUUCUUUUAUGCAACAUAGUGCAUUAGGUUCAUAAUAGGGACUAACAUAUGGGUUGGAAUCUUAGCAUGUCUACAAACAUUUUGUUAGUGGCAAAUGUCAAUGAUCUUGUAUGUACAGGUGUUCAAAAGUAAAAAUGAUUUCCUUGAUUGGACUCGCGCACAAGGAAAAAAGAAUAAUAUGGUUAUUGUCAUUAAGAGGUCUGAUGCGGGAAGGGUUGACCGAAUGAGGAAGAGAGCUCGAAUAACAUUUGCUUGUGAGAGACAUGGCGAGUAUCGAUCCAUAUUGAGGAAGUCUGAUAUUAAUGACCAAAAUUCUGAUGCAAAUAAUAAGAAGAAGAAAGAACCCAGGAAUACUGGUAUUAAAAAAUACGGAUGUCCAUUUAUGUUGAAAGGAGUCAACGUUGGAGAAGGAGAUGAAUGGAAAUUGGAGGUUGAGUGUGGGGUGCAUAACCAUACUUAUUCACAGUAUCUUGAAGGGCAUUCUUUUGUCGGACGAUUAACUAAAGAGCAAAAUGAACUUUUAGUUGACAUGUCUACAAGUUUAGUGAGACCCAAAGUUAUUUUGAACACCAUAAAGACAAAAGAUCCACUUAAUGUAACAACGAUGAGGACAAUAUACAAUGCAAGACACUAUCAUCGGACAAAAGAAAACGCAGGGAAAUCAGAAAUGCAACAGUUGUUAUGUAAGUUGGCUGAGUACAACUAUAUUGAGCAUCAUCAAAGUAUUGGUAUUGAUAAUGUUGUUAGUGACUUGUUUUGGACUCAACCAAUUAAUGUCGAUAUCUUACAUUGUUUCGCACAUGUACUUAUCAUGGAUUGCACGUACAAGACUAAUAGGCAUCGUUUCCACUCCUGGAGAUUGUAAGGGUAACUUCAACUAAUAUUACAUUGUCGGUUGCAUUUGCUUUCAUUGACCAUGAGAAGGAAGACAAUUACACAUGCGCAUUGACAAGAUUGAAGACUCUAAUGAAUGAUGAUUGUAUUCCUGGUGUGAUUGUCACUAGGGGUGGGUUCGGUUUAAAUCGGUUCGGUUUUUUGCCAAAACCGAAACCAAACCAAAAUUUCGGUUCGGUUCAAUUUUUUUUCUGUUUUUUUCGGUUCGGUUUUUUCCGGUUCGGUUUCGGUUCGGUUUUGGUUUUUUGUUUUUAUUUUUUUUCAAAGAAUGAAAAACAUUGAAAUUUUAAAUUUUAACAUAUCCAACACAAUCAUAACAUAAACAUUCUAACUAGAAUCAAAGACAAUGAAAAUAAACAUUUAAAGUUGAACUAAAAUCAUCAAUCAAGUCUUUCAAAGUCCAAACUAACAACCUCACAACACAAAAAUCACACAAAAAUCGUACAAAUGACUUAGAAAAGUUAAAUUGUAUGAUGUUGUUCAAAGAUCAGUGUUGUUUGCUUGUAACUGCAUGUUGACAACUUGAUUAGUAAAGGUAAUACGUGGGUGGAUUUAUUUAGUGUGUGUUGGAUUCUUUUCCAUCACAAAUUACCCAAGUAAUCUACCCGAAAUAAAUGUUUAUGGAUUAUGUUACAUGUUAUAUGAGAGUAGAUUUGGAAAAGAAAGCUGGCGUAGAAGUAGACAGUGCUAUGGAGAUGGAUGUAGGUACUUCGGGAAGAGGUUUGGUUCCGGAACCUUAUAUGGGGGAGAAAUAAUAGGUUAGGGUUUAGAGUUUUUAUAGGCCUUUUUUUUAAUAUUUUGAGCUUAAAGUUUGGCAACACAUUGGGUUAGCACAUUUUAACUUACAAAUUGGGUUUAGAAAAUAAUACCCAAAACAAAUAAUUAAAUAAAAAAUUUAAUUUAAUUAAUUCGGUUCGGUUCGGUUCGGUUUGGUUCGGUUUCUAGAUCACUAAAACUGAACCGAACCAAAAGAAUUCGGUUCGGUUCGGUUUUUUCAAUUCGGUUCGGUUUUUUUGUUCGGUUCGGUUUUUUCGGUUUCGGUUCGGUUUGGUUUUCGGUUUUUUUCGGUUUUCGGUUUUUUGAACCCACCCCUAAUUGUCACUGAUCGAGACUUAGCAAACUAAACUGAAAUAUAUUGAUUGCAAGGCAAGAGUACAAUUGUAAAAACAAGGUUUACUUUUUAAUGGAGGUUGUGUAGGAAAAAUUACAUUCAAAUUCAUUGCGGACCUCUUUUUUUUCUAAGACCAAAUCAAAGAAAAAAAUAAUUGAAUCAAUGAAUUACUAUAGCAGCUCCAUUUCUGACAAUGGCAAGAGGUCUCUGUGCUAAUCAAACUACCCCGAAAUUUUAUCCUAAAACUAUACUCGAGCUCCACCUUAUCUGCAAUCUCAAAUGCCUUCUCAAUAUCAUUUCAUGAUAAACCUGCUAUCCCUAUUUAUAAGAAAUUAAGCACAAGCUAGCUCAAGUUAUGGUCUUUAAUUAAUAUUAAUUUCGACAAAUCAGCUUCCCAUCUCUUUCAUUCAUAUGAACAUGGCGCAAUAUUUGUUUAAAUUAGCUGUUCGGGUUGAUUUCUUUGUAUAACUCUUCUGCCAAUUCUGCAACUUGUAGACGUAAUUCCCAUUUCAAAAUUUUAAAAAAUAAAAUAAAAUCCAAAACUAAUGUAAGAUAAAUAAAGACUUUUUUAUAUCAUAAAAUAAGACUUUCAAACUUGUAUACAAGACUAUAGUGACAAAAUCAAACACAUUGAUGGGUGCGCAUGUUCCUUCAACAUCUGUUAUGUGCGUUUAAACUGAGCGUCGAGUCUUUUUUAAGCACCUUUAAAAGUUUAACAAACUAACUAACUCCAAUAGCUGAUAUGGCACUUAUGAUGAUGUGUCAAUCACUAUAUAUCUUCAACAUCCCCCCGCAAUCUCAACUGGGAUUUUCCAGCUUGAGAUUGUAAAAAUGUUUGACAAAUGAAAGACUGUGAAGACCUUUGGUAAGAACAUCGGGAGUUUGCUCCUCAGUUGGGAUAUACAACACCUCCAAAUCGCCUUGCUGCACUCGUUCUCAGUUUAUAUCAAGGUGUUUAAUUCUGAAAUGAAACACCAGAUUGGCACUUAAGGCAAUAGCAGACAUAUUCUUACAGUGAAUCGUUGGUGGAGCAUCCAAAAAUACACCCAAAUCCUUCAAUAUAUUUCGAAUUCAAGCUAUAUGUGCCGCAGUAUGUGCUAAGGCUUUAUAUUCAGCCUCAGUAGAACUCCUGGAUACCGAGUUUUCUUUCUUCGAUUGCCAAGAAAUUGGAUUAUUGCCUACGUACACGACAUAACUAGUGAUAGACCGACGAGUAUUCAAGUAUGCAGCCCAAUCAGAAUCAGAAAACGCAGUAAGCUUUGAAACUGUGUUUGCAGAAAAAGUAAUACCAAUGUUCAUGGUUCCUUGAAGAUAACGAAUGAUUCGUUUAACAAUGCCAAAAUGAACAUCAGUUGGUGAGGACAUAAACUGACAUACUGUGUUUACAGCAAAGGCAAUAUCAGGCCUAGUAAAGGUUAGAUAUUGUAAAGAUCCCACAAUGCUUCUGUAGGAGGUUGGAUCUGUCAAUAAUUGUCCCUUAGAGUGUAACAUUUGAUGAUGAGGUUUACAAGGAGUGGUUGCUGGUUUACAUGAUUCCAUACCUGCUUUAUGGACGAGAUCUUUGAUACACUUAGACUGAUUAACAAAAACACUGCCAUCUGCUUUAUAUUGAACUUAUAAACGCAAAAAAUAUGUAAGUUGUCCCAUAUCCUUUAACUCGAAUACCUCAGAUAAUUAUUGAAUCACUUUUUGGAUCUUCAAGGAUUAUAACCAGUUAAGAUGAUAUCAUCAACAUAAAGUAAUAAGAUGAUGAUAUCAGAGCCAUCCUUCUUGACAAACAAACUUGUAUCAGAAGCUGAUGCAUGAAACUCCAUAACUGUCAAAUGACCAUAUACAUAAUAACUGUCAAAUAACUAUAUACAUAAUAACUCCAUAGAGUGAAGAUAGGAUAUUUAAACUCUUCUGUACUUAGAGAUAUGGUUGAUGUGGGAUAUUUCAAUACCUAUAUAUAUAUAUAUAUAUAUAUAUAUAUAGUAAAAACUACAUACAUAAUAAUACUACCAUAAUAGUUGUCACAAUCAAUUCAUCUCGCACGUCAUAUCAAAGAAAGUAAGUCAUUCAUAAAAUCAAAGUAAUAGAAUAUGAUUUUAUCAAUAUCGUAGAUGAUUCUUAUAAUCAUGUAUAUGCACGUUGGUGCGACUUAGAUUCCAAUGAUCUCUCUACUAAAUAUAUUUAUUUCAUAAACGCUAUAAUUUGUAUACAUAAUAAAUGAUUUGAUCAUAUUAAUUCUGCAUAGUCCCCUCAAGUUGGAUAGUAAAUGUCAUAAUUAAGGCUUUUUAGUCAAAAUGGAGUCCUUGAGAUUUGCCUAACUCAUUACCUUGGUCCCUGAGAUUCAAAAUCAAUAGAAGUGAUCCAUGAGAUAGUCCACCAUCAAUCAUUUUGGUCCUUCAGUGAAAAAUUGUGUUAAAUAAGAAUUAAAAUGACAAAAUUACCCUCAAUGUAAUAAACAAUAGGCCAACAUGAUUUGACAAAAAUUGAGGGUAUUUUUAAUAUUUUAUCCUUAUUUUAUGGAGAUUUUUCACUGAAUGAUGAAAAUGAUUGAUUGUGAACAAACCCAAGUACCAAUUCUAUCAAUUUCAAAUCUCAAGGACCAAAGCAAGGAGUUAUGCAAAUCUCAAUAACCAUUUUAACUAAAAAAUUAUUAUUCCUAAUUUCCUAAAGCCCUUGGGAAGGUAUCUGCCAAUUGUACCCGAGAAGAAGUGCAGCAAGGAAAAUUUUAUAAAGACAAUGGAUACAUGCCACUUCGCUGCAAAAAACGAUACUUAAAGGACAAUUUUCCCGAGUUUUUCACCGCCGUUUUUACCGUUUGCUGCAAAAAACAAAUACUCUCCCCUUGCGAGCUCCGUCGUCAAUUCCCUUCACGAACUUUGAGUCCCUCUGAAAAAAUGAUUACAUGAAAUUUGAAUUUUUCAAACUUUGUGUCUGGUUAUAUCUAACGAUCCCUAAUUCUAAAUUUAUGGUUUAGAUAUAUAAAAAAGAUAUCUCGGGUACUUCAUUGCUAUCCAUUAAGCUCCCCACUUUCAAGCAAAGCAAAAAAUUCUAAUUGAGUUGAGUUUUGAACAUGCUGAUUAGUUAGACAACUGAAUUACUAAUCUUUAUUAUUAUUGCAACAAACACACGGAUUACACUAAAAGCUAGUGAAUCAUACACUUGCAGAUGACUUAUCCAAACACAAAGAUAAGACAUGAUUUUAUUAUUAUUGCUAUAAACACACGAAUUACAACGAAAUUCAAAAACUAAAAACAAGGAAAAAAGUAGUGAUGAAAACCAAUGCCACUUCCGGGAACACGAUUGCAUUCGCACAUGCAACAAGCCUUUUAAACCCAUAGGUGACCCAAAUGGGACGAGUGAAGUCUCGUGAGGGUUUCCAGAGACGUUACCCACAAACAUCAUGCAUACGGAUCAUCAACAUCUGACUUGGGAGACUGAGUAGAUAUCCACCCCUCCAGCAUCAGGUUGUUUUUGGUUAAGGCGUAAUUCGAAUCUGUUUUCAAUGAACGGCCUGGUUAUGAGAUCGCUUUGCAAGUGACGUAAUCGGCAGCGCGUGAUUAGGUUGUUGCUGUCAGGUGGUCCGACAGGCUCGACCUUGAACAAUGUGCAAGCCCAAUUGUCUUUGGUUUCAUUUCGGUCAGCAGCUGCGGCCAGGACCAAUAGCUUGUUUUGGUCCACCCUUCUCAAGUAGUUGCCAUUGUAGGAGCAUUUGAUAUGCACGUAAUUCUUGUCGGCGUAGUCCUCAUUGUUUGGCUUCUCGGUGGUGAACUUUAUGAACCUGCUGUUUUCAUUGUCCUCGGAAAACUGGACAAUCUCAUUAAGGUCGCUUUCUGCAUCAAGUUGAUAGCGCAAAUACUUGUUGUUGAUAUCUGCUUUCAGCAGAAAAGGGCUUGGUAGUACAGGUGGAGCCAUAUCGUAUAGUGUAGUUGGGAUUGGGAUGCUCUCUCUUUUUAAUUCUCUGUUGAUGAUCUAAUUUGCUUGCUGUGAAUGUGAUGCUUAGUUUAAACCUGCUAUCCUAUUUAUAAGAAAUUAAGCACAAGCUAGCUCAAGUUAUGGUCUUUAAUUAAUAUUAAUUUCGACAAAUCAGUUUCCCAUCUCUUUCAUUGAUAUGAACAUGGCUGAUCUCAUUGGUGUGGCGCAAUAUUUGUUAAAUUAGCCGUUCGGGUUGAUUUCUUUGUACAACUCAUCUGCCAAUUCUACAACUUGUAGACCUAAUUCCCAGUACAAAAUUAAAAAAAAAUUAAAAUCCAAAACUAAUAUAAGAUAAAUAAAGACUUUUUAUAUCAUAAAAUAAGACUUUCUAACUUGUAUACAAGACUAUAGUGACAAGAUCAAACACAUUGAUGGGUGCGCAUUUUCCAUCAACAUCUGUUCUGUGUGUUUAAACUGACCGUGGAGUCUUUUUAGCAAUUAAAAGUUUUGUAUCAUGUAAUUGUCUUGGUUUGAUAAGACCUACAUCUAGAUGAGUUGCUUCUGAAGACUAAUGUAAAACUUUAUGUUGAUAUUUCUUGAGGGUGAAACAUCGUUUGAGAAACGUGUAGGGCCUCAUUACAAUGUUUUCAUUUAGUUUUUAACUUUUGGUUUAAAUAUUCUACUAUGAAUAAAUUUGUGGCUUUAAUAACUAGUAAAACCACUUUCAAAUAUCUUAGUAUCGGCUUUCAGAACAAAGGGGUUUGCUAGUACAGGUGGAGCCAUGUUGUAUAGUGUAGCUGGGAUUGGGAUGAUCUCUCUCUCUUUUUUGUUUUUUGUUUUUCCUUUAAUUUGCUUGCUUUGAAUGUGAUGCUCAGUUCAAACCUACUAUCCUAUUUCUAAGAAAUUAAGCACAAGCUAUCUCAAGUUAUGGACUUUAAUUAAUAUUAAUUUCCUCAAUCAGUUUCCCAUAUCUUUCAUUGAUACGAACAUGGCUGAUCUCAUUGGUGUGACGCAAGAUUUGUUAAAAUAGCGAUCGGAUUGAUUUUUCUUUGUAUAACUCUUCUGCCAAUUCUGAACUUGUACAUAUAAUUCCCAUUAUAAAAUAAAUAAAUAAAAUUCAAAACUCAUAUAAAAUAAAUAGAGACUUUUUAUAGCAUAUAAAAUAAGACUUUGUAACUUGUACAUAGUUACUGAUAACAUUCAUCUAAGAACUAACAGAUGAAUGUAUGCAAGCAAUAUUGAAGAAAUACAGAGAGAAAGAUCGAAAGGAAUAGAGAGAGAAAUAGAGAAAGAAAUGAGUGAAAGCUUUGUUAUUUCAUAAGAACAAAAGAUCAUCACAAAAGAACCCUGAUUCCUUCUUAUAUAGUCUGCACAUGUAGCUUAUCAGCUAAGCCACCUGUGUAACUAAUUCUUAACAAACUAACUAACUCCAAUAGCUGAUAUGGCACUUAUGAUGAUGUGUCAAUCACUAUAUAUCUUCAACAUCCCCCCGCAAUCUCAACUGGGAUUUUCUAGCUUGAGAUUGUAAAAAUGUUAGACAAAUGAAGGACUGUGAAGACCUUUGGUAAGAACAUCGGCAGUUUGCUCCUCAGUUGGGAUAUACAACACCUCCAAAUCGCCUUCAUGCACUCGUUCUCGUACAAAAUGGUAGUAUGUAUUAAGGUGUUUAAUUCUUGAAUGAAACACCAGAUUAGCACUUAAGGCAAUAGCGGACAUAUUGUCACAGUGAAUCGUUGGUGGAGCAUCCAAAAAUACACUCAAAUCCUUCAAUAUAUUUCGAAUCCAAGCUAUAUCUGCGGCAGUAUGUGCUAAGGCUUUAUAUUCAGCCUCAGUAGAACUCCUGGAUACCGAGUUUUGUUUCUUCGAUUGCCAAGAAAUUGGAUUACUACCCAAGUACACGACAUAACCAGUGAUAGACUGACGAGUAUUCAAGUCUGUAGCCCAAUAAGAAUCAGAAAACGCAGUAAGCUUUGAAACUGUGUUUGCAGAAAAAGCAAUACCAAUGUUCAUGGUUUCUUGAAGAUAACGAAUGAUUCAUUUAACAACGCCAAAAUGAACAUCAGUUGGUGAGGACAUAAACUGACAUACUGUGUUUACAGCAAAGGCAAUAUCAGGCCUAGUAAAGGUCAGAUAUUGUAAAGAUCCCACAAUACUUAUGUAAAAGGUUGGAUCUGUCAAUAAUUGUCCCUCAGAGUGUAACAUUUGAUAAUGAGGUUUACAAGGUGUGGUUGCUGGUUUACAUGAUUCCAUACCUGCUUUAUGGACGAGAUCUUUGAUAUACUUAGACUGAUUAACAAAAACACUGCCAUUUGCUUUAUAUUGAACUUGUAAACCCAAAAAAUAUGUAAGUUGUCCCAUAUCCUUUAACUCGAAUACCUCAGAUAAUUAUUGAAUCACUUUUUGGAUCUUCAAAGGAUUAGAACCAGUUAAGAUGAUAUCAUGAACAUAAAGUAAUAAGAUAAUGAUAUCAGAGUCAUCCUUCUUGACAAACAAACUUGUAUCAGAAGUUGAUGCAUGAAACUCCAUAACUGUCAAAUAACUUGUAAACUUCGAAUUCCACACUCGUGGAGCCUGUUUCAAGCCAUAUAAUGACUUGACCAAUUUGCAAACAUGAGAAAGAUAUGAUGUAUCAAUAAACCCUUAUGGUUCCUGCAUAUAAACUUCUUUUUGUAAAUCCCCGUGUAGAAAAGCGUUCUUGAUAUCUAAUUGGCGAAGAGGCCAAUGAUUCAUUGCAGCUAAAGAAAGAAUAAUCCUUACAGUAGUAUGUCCGACAACAGGACUAAAUGUGUCCAAGUAGUCAAUACCAUGUUCUUGGGAGAACCCUUGAGCUACAAGCCUUGCUUUAUACCUGGAGACACUGCCAUCAGAGUUUUUCUUCACUUUUUGUUCUGUCUUCAGGUGCAGGAACCAAUAGCCAAGUUCCUUGUGCUCGAAGUGAAUCAUAUUUCUCCUGCAUUGCCUUUUGCCACUGUGAAAUAGUAGGAGCUUUCCGAAAUGUCUUAGGUUCUGAAGCAUCAGUGAUCUCAGAAAGAAAGGAAUAGCCACCCGUGAAAGGUUCUUCAUCAGUGAUUUGGAGACAACAAAGCUCAGGACAUUGUGCUACUAAAGCAGCAUAAUUUUGUCCCUCAAUUGUUCCACUCUUCAAUCUAGGGACCAUUGAGUGAGUCAAUGGUGUAGUAUGUAAAAUGAGAUCAAAUAGAGAUAAAUCAGGAAGGAUUACCUUAAGUUGUGACUUAGAGUGGACAAGCAACAAGGAUUGUGUACCAGAGUGAUGAUGUGUAGGAGAGUGAUGAUGUGAAGAGUUUGGAGAUGCAUAUAGAAGAUUGGUUUCAGUCGAAUUUGUAUCUUGAUCACUAGGUUGAAUCACUUGUGUAUUGUCCGAACUAGAAACAUUCAAUUAACCAACCACAUAUAUACUUUCACAAUUUGCAGGAAUACUGUGAUGUGAACCAGUAUCAUUUGCUGAUAUAUGUAUAGAACUAGCUGCUUGUGAAUCAUGCUGUAUUUAUGUAUGAGGCAGGACUCUUGCACUUGGAACUUGUAACUGAAUCAAAACAGGUGUCUGAGAACACCUAUAUGUAGCUGUAGAAUCCUUAGAUGGCAAAACUUGUUUAAACGGAUAUACAUCUUCAUCAUGUAGUACAUGCCUUGACAGAAUGAACUUUCUAGUCUUGAUAUCAUAACAAAUAACUCCUUUAUAUCCAUGAGCAAAACCAAGAAAUACACAUUGAGCUGACCGUAGCUCCAAUUUAUUCUUAUUGAAUGAUCUUAUCAAGAUAGAGCAGCCAUAAGAAACUCUUAACUUUGGAGGAAUAUGAAGUUUCCAAAUGAGAUUCCAUCGCCGGAAAAGCACAAGGCCUAAUGGCCCAAAAGUAAGCAGAUUUAACUGAAAAAUUACCAUCAUUUAUUCCACUUCAGAUACACUUGGCAGUCAAAGCAUCAAAACUAAUUGGAAUGCUAAGAAUUUGUUCAACCACCUCUUUAGUAAAACAAGUAAUAGUGGAUCCAAACCAUUAUUGUAACAAUAGUUAGCUACAGUAGCCUUAUAUGUAUUGUCGGCGUUACCACACAAUCCCGAUAUACGUCCAGGAUCGACAUGUGAUCUCAUCAAAUACUCAUAUCUCUAACUUACCCCACCUCCGGAAUAUGGCAAAGUGAUGAGUCAAUAUUUACCAUAUAUUUUACCCUAAUCUUAGUAUUAAUUUAUUAAUUAUUUUGGUAGAAUUUUGAUACUUUGUUAUAUAUUUCUAACAUAGGACAUUCGACUUCAUCUGGAGAAAAAAGUAACCAAACGGAUGAUUUUUGGAGUGAUUCCAAUUGGAGGAUGUUUGUGAGUCUUUCGAGAUGAUUAUAUCAAAAUUCCAAAUUUUUCUACCUAGCCGUUUGACCGUGGCAAUGAAAUUAAGGCCCUGCGCGCAGCUUUCUCAGAUUGACAUUUCAGGACAUUUCGGGACAUUUUUUCAAUUCGGUUCGGUUUUUUUGUUCGGUUCGGUUUUUUCGGUUUCGGUUCGGUUUGGUUUUCGGUUUUUUUCGGUUUUCGGUUUUUUGAACCCACCCCUAAUUGUCACUGAUCGAGACUUAGCAAACUAAACUGAAAUAUAUUGAUUGCAAGGCAAGAGUACAAUUGUAAAAACAAGGUUUACUUUUUAAUGGAGGUUGUGUAGGAAAAAUUACAUUCAAAUUCAUUGCGGACCUCUUUUUUUUCUAAGACCAAAUCAAAGAAAAAAAUAAUUGAAUCAAUGAAUUACUAUAGCAGCUCCAUUUCUGACAAUGGCAAGAGGUCUCUGUGCUAAUCAAACUACCCGAAAUUUAUCCUAAAACUAUACUCGAGCUCCACCUUAUCUGCAAUCUCAAAUGCCUUCUCAAUAUCAUUUCAUGAUAAACCUGCUAUCCUAUUUAUAAGAAAUUAAGCACAAGCUAGCUCAAGUUAUGGUCUUUAAUUAAUAUUAAUUUCGACAAAUCAGCUUCCCAUCUCUUUCAUUCAUAUGAACAUGGCGCAAUAUUUGUUAAAUUAGCUGUUCGGGUUGAUUUCUUUGUAUAACUCUUCUGCCAAUUCUGCAACUUGUAGACGUAAUUCCCAUUUCAAAAUUUUAAAAAAUAAAAUAAAAUCCAAAACUAAUGUAAGAUAAAUAAAGACUUUUUAUAUCAUAAAAUAAGACUUUCAAACUUGUAUACAAGACUAUAGUGACAAAAUCAAACACAUUGAUGGGUGCGCAUGUUCCUUCAACAUCUGUUAUGUGCGUUUAAACUGAGCGUCGAGUCUUUUUUAGCAAUUAAAAGUUUUGUAUCAUGUAAUUGUCUUGGUUUGAUAAGACCUACAUCUGGAUAAGUUGCUUCUGAAGACUAAUGUAAAACUUUAUGUUGAUAAUUCUUGAGGGUGAAACAUCGUUUGAGAAAUGUUUUGGACCUCAUUACAAUUUUUUCAUUUAUUUUUUAACUUUUGGUUUAAAUAUUCUACUACAAAUACAUUUGUGGCUUCAAUAACUACUAAAACCACUUUCAAAUAUCUUAGUAUUGGCUUUCAGAACAAAGGGGUUUGGUAGUACAGGUUGAGCCAUGUUGUAUAGUGUAGCUGGGAUUGGGACGAUCUCUCUCUUUAUUUAUUUAUUUUUUUCCUUUAAUUUGCUUGCUUUGAAUGUGAUGCUCAGUUCAAACCUACUAUCCUAUUUCUAAGAAAUUAAGCACAAGCUAUCUCAAGUUAUGGUCUUUAAUUAAUAUUAAUUUCCUCAAUCAGUUUCCCAUUUCUUUCAUUGAUACGAACAUGGCUGAUCUCAUUGGUGUGACGCAAGAUUUGUUAAAAUAGCUGAUCGGAUUGAUUUUUUCUUUGUACCCGAGAAGAAAUGCAGGAAGGAGGAAUUUAUAAAGACAACGGAUACCUGCUCUUCGCUGCAAAAAACGACACUUAAAAGGACAAUUUUCCCGAGGUUUUCACCGCUGUUUUUACCGUUUGCUGCCAAAAACAAAUACUCUCCCCUUGCGAGCUCCGUUGUCAAUUCCCCUCGCGAACUUUGAGUCCCUCUGAAAAAAUGAUUAAGUGAAAUUUGAAUUUUUCAAACUUUGUGUUUGGUUAUAUCUAACAAUCCCUAAUUCCAAAUUUAUGGUUUAGAUAUAUAAAAAAGAUAUCUCGGGUACUUCAUUGCUAUCCAUUAAGCUCCCCACUUUCAAACAAAGCAGAAAAUUCUAAUUGAGUUGGGUUUUGAACAUGCAGAUUAGUUAGACAACUGAAUUACCAAUCCUUAUUAUUAUUGCAACAAACACACGGAUUACACUAAAAGCUAGUGAAUCAUACACUUGCAGAUGACUUAUCCAAACACAAAGAUAAGACAUGAGUUUAUUGUUAAAUUGUGGCCAAGUGGCCAUCACCUUUUGUAUUAAACAAAUAAAAAGAAAAAAAAAAGGGAGACAUCAUGAUGUUGUUUCUUACUUUGUGAUAAUGACAAAUGAUGAUGUUGGAGAAUUAUUUUUUAUUUGGCCCAUGUGGGAAGUCACGGGGUGACUUGAAGGAUUUAUUUAGCAGCAAUUGCUGCUUGUGUGGUUAAGAGAAGAAAACAGAGAGCAGAAGAAAAAGGAAAGAGAGCUGCCGAGAGCAAGAGAGUUGCAGAGAGCCCAAACAGAAAAAGAAGCUGCUGCUUCAUUUGAUUAGUAAUCAUCAACCAAAGUAGUUGUUGUUGUAAUAGUUUUGAGCUAUAUGUAUAGAGAAGAAAUUAUUCAUUAUAUUUCUUUCUCUAUUUGUUUCUUUGGUGUGUGAGAGUUAUUGGGUGUAUUGGGCUUUUGGGUUGUGAGAUUGUCAACACUUUGUAAACUCCCAUUUGGUUGAUAGUGGAUUAUUGGGUGAGCUCCUACUGCUCCGAGGACGUACUCCAGUUACACUGACUGUUGAGGAACCUCGUUAAAAUCUUGGUGUUCUUUUAUAUUUUGUUCUUGCAUUUUCAUUUGAUAAAUUUCCUGUGGGUUAGCUUGAGUUGGUUCCAACGGGUUUGGUGCUAUCCUAGCACAACAAUUGGUAUCAGAGCACUGGUUGCUCUUGGGUACUGUCUAGUUGCCAAAGAUGUCAGACGGGCAAGAUGAGAAUCCUUUUGGAAGCACCUCCGGGUUUGCAAGAACUACGGUGCAAAAUGCAAAGUUCGAAGUGGAAAAGUUUGAUGGCACAAACAACUUCGGGAUGUGGCAAUGUGAGGUCAAAGAUGUGUUGGCUCAACAAGAUCUACUUGCCGCUUUGGGAGAGAAGCCGGAAGCUAUGUCGAAGCCGGAAUGGGAGAAAUUAAAUUUGUGGGCUUGCUCUUCAAUUCGGUUGUGCCUUGCAAAAACUCAGAAGUAUUUUUUGUGAUGCGGGAGACAUUGGCAAGUGUGUGUGGCAAAAAUUGGAAGACAAGUAUAUGACGAAGAGUGCAGAGAACCGGCUACACUUGAAGAAAAAACUCUACCGCUUCCAAUACAAAGAAGGUACAAAAAUGAUUAGACACCUUGAUGCUUUUAAUAAGUUGAUUGCCGACUUGUUAAAUUUAGAUGAGGAUAUUAAGGAUGAAGAUAAGGCCUUAAUAUUGUUGAAUUCCUUGCCGGACUCUUAUGAGCAUUUUGUUACCACUAUUAUGCAUGGUAAAAAAACUGUGAAAUUUGAAGAUGUGUCAAAUGCCUUGAUGAAUUAUGAAAUGAGGCAUAGAGAUAAAAAUCAUGAUAGUACCUCUGAAGCUUUAUUUGUUAGAGGUAGAUCAUCGGAGAGGAGGUCAUCUUCUAGCAGGAAAAAAUCACAAUCUCGACCUAGAGGAAACUCUAAAGGUAGAAAACCUUUGGAAAGGGAUGAAUGUGCCUUUUGUCGUAAUAAGGGCCAUUGGAAGAAAGAUUGUCCUAAAUUGAAGAACAAAGGCAAAGAAAGUUCUGAAGCUAAUGUUGCUGAGGUUGAAACAGAUUUUUCUGAUUUUGCUUUAACCACUUCCUCAUCAUUUGAUUGUGCUACUAAGUGGGUGUUGGAUACGGGUUGUACUCAUCAUAUGACUCCUCACAAGGAUUGGUUUUCAAGCUUGAAAGAGUUUGAUGGUGGCGUUGUGUUCAUGGGAGAUGACAAUCCUUGCACAACAAAAGGGAUUGGUACAGUUCGUUUGAAGUUGCAUGAUGGCAUGGUUAAAGAGUUGACAGGUGUUCGGUAUGUACCGAAUUUGAAGAAAAAUCUUAUUUCUUUGGGUACUUUGGAAUCCAAGGGUUUCAGGUUUCAUUCAGAUGGACAGACAUUGAAAGUUACUUAUGGUGCACAUGUUGUGAUGAAAGCUCCUAGAUGUGGCCAUUUGUAUUUAUUGCAGGGAAGCACUGUGACAGGUGAAGCAUCUGUAGUCUCUGAAAAUAUGGGCACAUCUGAUUCAGAUACUACUAGAUUGUGGCAUAUGAGAUUAGGCCGUACCGGUGAGAAAGCUCUACAAGGGCUUGUGAAACAAGGUCUUCUAAAAGGUGCCAUGACUUGUAAGCUUGAUUUCUGUGAGCAUUGUGUCUUGGGGAAGCAAACUAGAGUGAAGUUUGGUACUGCUGUACAUCAGACGAAGGGCAUUCUUGAUUAUGUGCAUUCGGAUGUUUGGGGUCCUACAAAGACUCCCUCUUUGAGUGGUAGACAUUGGUUCGUGACCUUUGUUGAUGAUUAUUCAAGAAGGUCUUGGGUCUACACUAUGAAGCACAAGAGUGAGCUGUUAAGCAUUUUCUUGGGUUGGAAGAAAAUGGUUGAGAACCAGACUGGGAGAAAGAUUAAGAUUUUGAGAUCGGAUAAUGGUGGUGAAUACACAUCCGAUCCUUUCUUUAAAGUUUGCAAAGAGGAAGGAAUUGUGAGACAUUUCAGUGUUCGGGGAACUCCACAACAAAAUGGAGUUGCAGAAAGAUUGAAUCGAACCUUGCUUGAGAAGGUUAGAUGUAUGUUGUCUCAGUCGGGUUUAAGCAAGUCAUUUUGGGCAGAGGCAGUUAAUUAUGCAUGUCACAUCUCAACCGGUUACCCUCAGCUGCUGUUCAGGGUAAGACACCAAUGGAGGUAUGGACUGGAAAACCUUCUUCUGAUUAUGACUAUAUCCGUAUUUUUGGUUCACCUGCUUAUUUUCAUGUAACUGAAAAUAAACUUGAUCCAAGAGCCAAAAAGGCUAUCUUUCUUGGUUUUAGUAGUGGUGUCAAAGGUUACAGGUUGUGGUGUCCAGAGAUGAAAAAACUUGUAAUCAGCAGAGAUGUGACAUUUGAUGAAGAAAGUAUGUACAAAGUCUCUGAGAAGAAUGUGAAAGAUGUCCAACAGGUGGAGCUUGAGAAAGUUGCCUCUGAUACUUCAAAUCCUAUUUCCGCUGAUGUCGAAGCCACUACAAGUGAAGAAGUUGGAGACCAUGAGAAUGUUGAAGAAGUUGAACUUGAAGAUUCUAUUCAAGUUGAAGAGCAAGUUUCACCUCAAGAGUCUAUUGCUAAGAACAGAGGAAAAAGACAAAUUACCAAGCCAGCUCGGUACAGUGACUAUGUUGCUUUUGCUCUUCCUAUUAUCACUGAUGAGAUUCCAUCCAAUUUUGAGGAAGCUAUUGAGAGUGAGGAGAAGAAAAGGUGGUGCAAUGCCAUGGGUGAUGAAAUGAAUUCUCUCUUGAAGAACAAGACUUGGGAGUUAGCUAAAUUGCCUAAGGGCAAGAAAGCUAUCGGUUGCAAAUGGGUGUAUGCCAAGAAGGAAGAUGCUGAUGAGAAAAGCAAUGUGAGAUUUAAAGCAAGAUUAGUUGCUAAAGGGUAUGCACAAAAGGAGGGCAUUGACUACAAUGAAAUAUUUUCUCCAGUUGUGAAGCGCUCCUCAAUUCGUAUUAUGUUAGCUCUUGUUGCACAAUAUGAUCUUGAGCUUGUGCAACUUGAUGUGAAGACGGCUUUCCUACAUGGUGAUUUGAAUGAAGAGAUCUAUAUGUGUCAACCGGAUGGGUAUUGUGAAAGGGAAGGAAAAUUUGUUUUGCAAAUUGAAGAAAUCGCUUUAUGGCUUGAAGCAAUCUCCAAGGCAAUGGUAUUUGAGGUUUGAUAAAUUUAUGAGAGGCCAAAAUUAUUCUAGAAGUCAAUAUGAUCAUUGUGUGUACUUCAAGAAGUUGCAAGAUGGGUCUUUCAUUUAUUUAUUGAUAUAUGUUGAUGAUAUGUUGAUUGCCUCAAAGAAUGUUGAGGAGAUUGAGAAAUUGAAGAAACAAAUGAAGAAUGAGUUUGAGAUGAAGGAUCUUGGUGAAGCAAAUCCUUGGCAUGGAGAUCACUAGAGAUAGAGAGAAGGGUUUGGUCAGUUUGAAUCAAAGACAAUACCUUGAGAAGUUGAUUCGGAAGUUUGGAGUUCAUGAUUCAACCAAACCGGUUAGUACCCCUUUGGCUCCUCAUUUUAAAUUGAGUUCUCUACAGUGUCCUAAAACUGAUAAAGAGAAGCUGCAAAUGAAAAAUAUACCAUAUGCAAAUUUGGUUGGUAGUUUGAUGUAUGCAAUGGUAUGCUCUAGACCGGAUAUUGCUCAUGCAGUUGGCAUGGUGAGUCGAUAUAUGCAUAAUCCAGGUAAAGAGCACUGGCAAGCAGCUAAGUGGAUAUUGAGAUAUCUCCAUGGUACUCGAGAUGUUGGUUUAUGCUUUGAGAGAGAUGACUCUGGUAUUGGUCAUUUUGCAGUUGGUUAUGUUGAUUCAGAUUAUGCAGGUGAUCUGGAUGGAAGGAAGUCUACUACAGGCUAUGUGUUUACUAUGGCUAAAGGACCAGUUUGUUGGAGGUCCAUUUUGCAGUCGUCUGUUGCCUUGUCUACUACAGAGGCUGAAUAUAUGGCAGUUGCUGAAGCUAUAAAGGAGGCCAUUUGGAUACAUGGGCUGAUUAGAGAUUUGGGGGUUGAUCAGAAGCAGGUGGAGGUACAUUGUGAUAGUCAGAGUGCCAUUUAUUUGGCUAAGUAUCAGGUUCAUCAUGCGAGGACCAAGCACAUAGAUGUGCGUUAUCACUUUGUUCGUGAAAUUGUUGGUGAAGGGGAAAUCAUUCUCCAGAAGAUUCCAACUAAAGACAACCCCGCUGAUAUGUUGACUAAGGUUGUUGGUGUAGCCAAGUUUGUUCACUGUUUGAACUUGGCUCACAUUAUGCCUAUAUAAAGAAGGCGUUGAGCAGUAGGAGUUUUGGAGCAUUUGGCUCGGCAUGAGUUGUUCUCUUGCUAGUGUUCGGGAGUGAUGUUGUGUGCUAAUUGUGUUGGUUGGCUUAUCAUGGCGUUUUCGGAACUUGGCCAAGGUGGAGAUUGUUAAAUUGUGGCCAAGUGGCCAUCACCUUUUGUAUUAAACAAAUAAAAAGAAAAAAAAAAGGGGAGACAUCAUGAUGUUGUUUCUUACUUUGUGAUGAUGACAAAUGAUGAUGUUGGAGAAUUAUUUUUUCUUUGGCCCAUGUGGGAAGUCACGGGGUGACUUGAAGGAUUUAUUUAGCAGCAAUUGCUGCUUGUGUGGUUAAGAGAAGAAAACAGAGAGCAGAAGAAAAAGGAAAGAGAGCUGCCGAGAGCAAGAGAGUUGCAGAGAGCCCAAACAGAAAAAGAAGCUGCUGCUUCAUUUGAUUAGUAAUCAUCAACCAAAGUAGUUGUUGUUGUAAUAGCUUUGAGCUAUAUGUAUAGAGAAUAAAUUAUUCAUUAUAUUUCUUUCUCUAUUUGUUUCUUUGGUGUGUGAGAGUUAUUGGGUGUAUUGGGCUUUUGGGUUGUGAGAUUGUCAACACUUUGUAAACUCCCAUUUGGUUGAUAGUGGAUUAUUGGGUGAGCUCCUACUGCUCCGAGGACGUACUCCAGUUACACUGACUGUUGAGGAACCUCGUUAAAAUCUUGGUGUUCUUUUAUAUUUUGUUCUUGCAUUUUCAUUUGAUAAAAUUUCCUGUGGGUUAGCUUGAGUUGGUUCCAACGGGUUUGGUGCUAUCCUAGCACAACAUUUAUUAUUAUUGCUAUAAACACACGGAUUACAGCGAAAUUCAAAAACUAAAAAUAAGGAAAAAAGUAGUGAUGAAAACCAAUGCCACUUUCGCGGGAACACGAUUGAAUUCGCACAUGCAACAAGCCUUUUAAACCCAUAGGUGACCCAAAUGGGACGAGUGAAGUCUCGUGAGGGUUUCCAGAGACGUUACCCACAAACAUCAUGCAUACUGAUCAUCAACAUCUGCCUUGGGAGACUGAGUAGAUAUCCACCCCUCCAGCAUCAGGUUGUUUUUGGUUGAGGCGUAAUUCGAAUCUGUUUUCAAUGAACGGCCUGGUUAUGAGAUCACUUUGCAAGUGACGUAAUCGGCAGCGCGUGAUUAGGUUGUUGCUGUCAGGUGGUCCGACAGGCUCGACCUUGAACAAUGUGCAAGCCCAAUUGUCUUUGGUUUCAUUUCGGUCAGCAGCUGCGGCCAGGACCAACAGCCUGUUUUGGUCCACCCUUCUCAAGUAGUUACCAUUGUAGGAGCAUUUGAUAUGCACGUAAUUCUUGUCAGCGUAGUCCUCAUUGUUUGGCUUCUCGGUGGUGAACUUUAUGAACCUGCUGUUUUCAUUGUCCUCGGAAAACUGGACAAUCUCAUUAAGGUCGCUUUCUGCAUCAAGUUGAUAGCGCAAAUACUUGUUGUUGAUAUCUGCUUUCAGCAAAAAAGGGCUUGGUAGUACAGGUGGAGCCAUAUCGUAUAGUGUAGUUGGGAUUGGGAUGCUCUCUCUUUUUUAUUCUCUGUUGAUGAUCUAAUUUGCUUGCUGUGAAUGUGAUGCUUAGUUCAAACCUGCUAUCCUAUUUAUAAGAAAUUAAGCACAAGCUAACUCAAGUUAUGGUCUUUAAUUAAUAUUAAUUUCGACAAAUCAGUUUCCCAUCUCUUUCAUUGAUAUGAACAUGGCUGAUCUCAUUGGUGUGGCGCAAUAUUUGUUAAAUUAGCCGUUCGGGUUGAUUUCUUUGUAUAACUCAUCUGCCAAUUCUACAACUUGUAGACUUACUUCCCAUUACAAAAUAAAAAAUAAAAUAAAAUCCGAAACUAAUGUAAGAUAAAUAAAGACUUUUUAUGUCAUAAAAUAAGACUUUCUAACUUGUAUACACGACUAUAGUGACAAGAUCAAACACAUUGAUGGGUGCGCAUUUUCCAUCAACAUCUGUUCUGUGCGUUUAAACUGAGCGUGAAGUCUUUUUUAGCAAUUAAAAGUUUUGUAUGAUGUAAUUGUCUUGGUUUGAUAAGACCUACAUCUAGAUGAGUUGCUUCUGAAGACUAAUGUAAAACUUUAUGUUGAUAUUUCUUGAGGGUGAAACAUCGUUUGAGAAACGUUUUGGGCCUCAUUACAAUUUUUUCAUUUAUUUUUUAACUUUUGGUUUAAAUAUUCUACAAUAAAUACAUUUGUGGCUUUAAUAACUAGUAAAACCACUUUCAAAUAUCUUAGUAUCGGCUUCAGAACAAAGGGGUUUGGUAGUACAGGUGGAGCCAUGUUGUAUAGUGUAGCUGGGAUUGGGAUGAUCUCUCUCUUUAUUUAUUUAUUUAUUUUCUUUAAUUUGCUCGCUUUCAAUGUGAUGCUCAGUUCAAACCUACCAUCCUAUUUCUAAGAAAUUAAGCACAAGCUAUCUCAAGUUAUGGUCUUUAAUUAAUAUUAAUUUCCUCAAUCUGUUUCCCAUAUCUUUCAUUGAUACGAACAUGGCUGAUCUCAUUGGUGUGACGCAAGAUUUGUUAAAAUAGCUGAUCGGAUUGAUUUUUUCUUUGUAUAACUCUUCUGCCAAUUCUGAAAUUGUACAUAUAAUUCCCAUUAUAAAAUAAAUAAAUAAAAUCCAAAACUCAUAUAAAAUAAAUAGAGACUUUUGAUAGCAUAUAAAAUAAGACUUUGAAACUUGUACAUAGUUACGGAUAACAUUCAUCUAAGAAUUAACAGAUGAAUGUAUGCAAGCAAUAUCGAAGAAAUACAGAGAGAAAGAUCGAAAGGAAUAGAGAGAGAAAUAGAGAAAGAAAUGAGUGAAAGCUUUGUUAUUUCAUAAGAACAAAAGAUCAUCACAAAAGAACCCUGAUUCCUUCUUAUAUAGUCUGCACAUGUAGCUUAUCAGCUAAGCGUGUAACUAAUUCUUAACAAACUAACUAACUCCAAUAUCUGAUAUUUCACUUAUGAUGAUGUGUCAAUCACUAUAUAUCUUCAACAUCCCCCACAAUCUCAACUGGGAUUUUCCAGCUUGAGAUUGUAAAAAUGUUUGACAAAUGAAGGACUGUGAAGACCUUUGGUAAGAACAUCGGCAGUUUGCUCCUCAGUUGGGAUAUACAACACCUCCAAAUCGCCUUGCUGCACUCGUUCUCAGUUUAUAUCAAGGUGUUUAAUUCUGAAAUGAAACACCAGAUUGGCACUUAAGGCAAUAGCGGACAUAUUCUUACAGUGAAUCGUUGGUGGAGCAUCCAAAAAUACACCCAAAUCCUUCAAUAUAUUUCGAAUUCAAGCUAUAUGUGCCGCAGUAUGUGCUAAGGCUUUAUAUUCAGCCUCAGUAGAACUCCUGGAUACCGAGUUUUCUUUCUUCGAUUGCCAAGAAAUUGGAUUAUUGCCUAAGUACACGACAUAACUAGUGAUAGACCGACGAGUAUUCAAGUAUGCAGCCCAAUCAGAAUCAGAAAACGCAGUAAGCUUUGAAACUGUGUUUACAGAAAAAGUAAUACCAAUGUUCAUGGUUCCUUGAAGAUAACGAAUGAUUCGUUUAACAACGCCAAAAUGAACAUCAGUUGGUGAGGACAUAAACUGACAUACUGUGUUUACAGCAAAGGCAAUAUCAGGCCUAGUAAAGGUUAGAUAUUGUAAAGAUCCCACAAUGCUUCUGUAGGAGGUUGGAUCUGUCAAUAAUUGUCCCUUAGAGUGUAACAUUUGAUGAUGAGGUUUACAAGGAGUGGUUGCUGGUUUACAUGAUUCCAUACCUGCUUUAUGGACGAGAUCUUUGAUAUACUUAGACUGAUUAACAAAAACACUGCCAUCUGCUUUAUAUUGAACUUGUAAACCCAAAAAAUAUGUAAGUUGUCCCAUAUCCUUUAACUCGAAUACCUCAGAUAAUUAUUGAAUCACUUUUUGGAUCUUCAAAGGAUUAUAACCAAUUAAGAUGAUAUCAUCAACAUAAAGUAAUAAGAUGAUGAUAUCAGAGUCAUCCUUCUUGACAAACAAACUUGUAUCAGAAGUUGAUGCAUGAAACUCCAUAACUGUCAAAUAACUUGUAAACUUCGAAUUCCACGCUCGUGGAGCUUGUUUCAAGCCAUAUAAUGACUUGACCAAUUUGCAAACAUGAGAAGGAUAUGAUAGAUCAAUAAACCCUUGUGGUUGCUGCAUAUAAACUUCUUCUUGUAAAUCUCCAUGUAGAAAAGCGUUAUUGAUAUCUAAUUGGUGAAGAGUCCAAUUAUUCAUUGCAGCUAAAGAAAGAAUAAUCCUUACAGUAGUAUGUCGGACAACAGGACUAAAUGUGUCCAAGUAGUUAAUACCAUGUUCUUGGGAGAACCCCUGAGCUACAAGCCUUGCUUUAUACCUGGAGACACUGCCAUCGGGGUUUUUCUUCACUUUGUAUACCCAUUUGCUUCCUACAAUUGUUCUAUCUUCAGGUGCAGGAACCAAUAGCCAAGUUCCUUGUGCUCGAAGUGAAUCAUAUUUCUCCUGCAUUGCCUUUUGCCACUGUGAAAUUGUAGGAGCUUUCCGAAAUGUCUUAGGUUCUGAAGCAUCAGUGAUCUCAGAAAGAAAGGAAUAGCCACUUGUGAAAGGUUCUUCAUCAAUGAUUUGGAGUGAACAAAGCUCAGGACAUUGUGUUACUAAAGCAGCAUAAUUUUGUCUCUCAAUUGUUCCACUCUUCAAUCUAGUGACCAUUGAGUGAGUCGAUGGUGCAGUAUGUAAAAUGAGAUCAGAUAGAGAUAAAUCAGCAAGGAUUACCUCAAGUUGUGACUCGGAGUGGACAGGCAACAAGGAUUGUGUACCAGAGUGAUGAUGUGUAGGAGAGUGAUGAUGUGAAGAGCUUGGAGAUGCAUAUAAAUGAGUGGUAUCAGUCGAAUUUGUAUCUUGAUCACUAGGUUGAAUCACCUGUGUAUUGUUCGAACUAGAAACAUUCAAUUAACCAACCACAUUUAUACUUUCACCAUUUGCAGGAAUACUGUGAUGCGAACCAGUAUCAUUUGCUAAUAUAUGUAUAGAACUAGCUGCUUGUGAAUCAUGCUGUAUUUAUGUAUGAGGCAGGACUCUUGCACUUGGAACUUGUAAUUGAAUCAAAACAUGUGUCUGAGAACACCUAUAUGUAACUGUAGAAUCCUUAGAUGGCAGAACUUGUUUAAACGGAUAAACAUCUUCAUCAUGUAGUACAUGCCUUGACAUAAUGAACUUUCUAGUCUUGAUAUCAUAGCUAAUAACUCCUUUAUAUCCAUGAGCAAAACGAAGAAAUACACAUUGAGCUGACCGUGGCUCCAAUUUGUUCUUAUUGAAUGGUCUCAAUAGAGGAUAUAUUGCAGUACCAAAGACUUUAAGAUGUUGUACUUCAGGAACACAACCAAACACAACUUGAUAGGGAGAUUUCAUCUUCAAAUUUCUAGAUGGCAUCGUAUUGAUUAAGAAUGCAACAUGAGAACAAGCAUGAUACCAGAAAGCUGAAGGUAAUUGAGCAUCUAAUAGCAAACUAAUAGCAGUCUCAACUAAAUGUCUAUGUUUUCGUGUAGCAAGACCAUUUUGCUGUGGUGUAUGAGAGCAUGAAACUGGUGUAUAAUUCCUUUUAUCUCUAACAACUGUCUAAACACAUUACUCAUAUAUUCACCUCCACCAUUUGAUUGAAGAACUUUAACGGAAGCAUUAAACUGAUUCUCAAUAAAUGUCAGAGACUUGGUAAAGAUUGGAAAAGCAUCGGAUUUAUUAACCAUCGGAAAAAUCCAUACAAAUCAAGAGCAGUCAUCUACAAAGCUUAUGUAAUACCUAUAACCCUCUAUUAACCUCUGCAGUGAAGGACCCCAUAUAUCUGAAUGUAUCCUUUCAAAUACAACUUUUGACCUAUCGGGACUUACAGAGAAAGGCAACUUAGUCAUUUUUCCUUGAAUACAAGCAGUACAUAUAGAUGGAGACAAAUCUAUACUGGCUAAUACUUCAGACUUAUUCAACAUUGUAGUAAGCACUUCUUCAGAUGGAUGACCCAACCUUUUAUGCCAAACUGUAGUCUUUAGCUUCUUUCCAACAAAAGUUGCACAUCUUUCAAUACUUGGUACUCUGGAUCUUGACAACACUGUUAUUGGUAUCUUGAAGAGCUCCCCAUCAUCACUCUGGCCUUGGUACACAAUCCUUCGAGUUGCUUUGUCCUGUAUCAAGAAGAUCAGAUCAUCACAUACAAACCAGCAAUUAUUAUCUCUGCAUAAGUUCUUAACAGACAACAAAUUCAUUGUAAUGUGUAGAACAUGUAGCACAUUUUGCAGAAUUAAUGACUUUUGUUGAGUGUUAAGGACAGAGGAACCAAUAUUUUUAACCACCAAACCUUCUUCAUUACCAACAGUGAUCAUGGCAUCACCAUUAUAAGGAGUGAUAUAAUUUAAAACUUCGACAUUUGAUGUCAUGUGGUGAGUUGCACCUAUGUCAACUACCUAUGUAUCAGCAGCUAAAAAACCAUGGACAUUUGAGUCUUCAGUUGCAACAUUUGAGCCUUGAGCAGCCAUCCCAACAAGAGAUGUAGGUGGUGCACUGCCUUGAUAUGAGAAGUUAUUCCUAUGAAAGCAUUCCAAAGCCCGAUGACCUAUUUUCCCACAUAUCUGACAUACCAAGAUCCCUCCAGAUGAUUGAUUGUUAUCAGCUCUAAGGUAACAAUUUGGUGUUGUAUGGUCUCUUCUAGAACAAAUUUGACAUUCAGGAGAUAUAACAUUGCUGUAAUUUGUAUCACCAUUCCAAGUGUUUCCUUGUUUGCUUCCAUUACCAGAGAAAGAACUUUGAGAACCUCCAUUUGAACAUCUUUCCCAUUAUUCCCAAAAGUAGAAUAUGGCCUGUAAUUAUUAUUCCCACCAUUAUAACCACCAGAGAAUUUUCGAUUGUUCAAAUUAUUCCCAUUAUACCUCCUAUUAUUGUUACCACCAUUGUAAUUAUUCCUCCCUUGAGACCUCUAUGCAUUUGAACUCUCCCCUUGUUCAUAACUUUGAGUAUUGCCCUGAGAUUCCUGUGUAUUCGAGCCAUUGCCCUGAACAUACAUGGCAGCCAUAGAACUUGAUAAAGUUGUCAGUCUAGACUCAAUACUGCUUUCAGCCCUAAUUAGUUGAGCUCGAAAAUCUUUCAUUGAAAUCGGAGUGUCUCUUGCUAAGAUUACUGUCUUGAUCAUUUCAAAUUAUGGAGGUAAACUAGUUAAAGCAAUGACCAAAUCAUUCUCAGUGAUUUUCUCCCCUGCAGCAACCAGUUGAUCCUUGAUAAUCUUCAAUCGAAGCAAAUACUUGUCAACAUAAUCCGCACCUUUCUGUGUAGUAUGAAACUCAGUCUUGAGUUGAUUAACCCUGACAACAGAUACAGACGCAUAUCAUUCCUGUAAAGAUUUCCAAGCUUCUUGAGAAGUUUUACACCCAAUGACAUAGCCCAUAGCUUCAUCUGAAAGUGUAGCAAUCAGCAAACUCAAUAGAGAGACAUCUGUUUUAACCCAAUCUUUAUAUGCAGUAGUAAUUUCUUUAGUGACCCCAGUCUCAGUAUUGAUGACAAACUUUGGAGGACAUUGAGACUCCCCACUAAAGAAAUCAAAGAAAUCGUACCCCUUAAGCACCGACUGAAACUGAUAAUCCCAUUUGACAAAAUUAUCUUCUUUCAACUUAGCAGUGAUCAUGCCCAAAAGACUUUCAAUUUUCACAGAACUAAACACCAUAUUGUUGAUAGAAACUGAAUCAAGAAAUCAAGUACUCAAACAAUCUUCAAGAAUUAUAACAACUCCAAGAACACACACUACUGAUUAUCGGCCUUGUUCGUGUGAAAAACCCAACAAACACUCAAACAACAGCAAUGGCUAUCGGCCUUUAUGCUUUGACAGAAAACGUUUCAACAAUCAUUCAAUUAGAAAAAUGGCUAUCGGCCUUCAAUAUCAUACUCCAAACAUCAAGAAAUGGCUAUCGGCCUUCAAUAUCAUACUCCAAACAUCAAGAACUUGCUAUCGCCCUUCAACUUUCAGUCUUUCACAAAAGAUUCAUCAUUGCGACAAUUACACAAACACUUAGAGUGCAAAAAGAAAAAUAACACCUAAAAAACUCAAAGUCUAACUUCCCAAACGCCAAAAGCUCAUUAACCCACUAUACCACUUCACAGCAAUCAAGAUAAUCUUUUGGCACAGCACAGCGGAAAUACACACCACGAGAUCGAACACUUGGCGAAGAUACCAUGAUAACAUUCAUCUAAGAACUAACAGAUGAAUGUAUGCAAGCAAUAUCGAAGAAAUGCAGAGAGAAAGAUCGAAAGGAAUAGAGAGAGAAAUAGAGAAAGAAAUGAGUGAAAGUUUUGUUAUUUCAUAAGAACAAAAGAUCAUUACAAAAGAACCCUAAUUCCUUCUUAUAUAGUCUGCACAUUUAGCUUAUCAGCUAAGCCACCUGUGUAACUAAUUCUUAACAAACUAACUAACUUCAAUAGCUGAUAUGGCACUUAUGAUGAUGUGUCAAUCACUAUAUAUCUUCAACAGUUACAAGAUCGAACACAUUGAUGGGUUAUAUAUUUGGGGCUCACUACAAUUUUUUUCACUUAAUUUAGGUUUUGGCUUAAAUAUACCAUUCAAACUAAAUGUGUGGCUCAAUAAUUGGUAGAAACCUUUCCAAAUGCUUUAUAAAUGUUCUCUUAAUGAUAACGGAGAAUAUUUUGGGAAGACAACUUAUUUGAAUUUCUCACGAAAAUGUGGGUGCUCAUUAAUUUUAGUCGGCUUGGCAAUUUUGUAUAAAAAUCAUCAUUAAAUAUAGUAGUUUUCACCUUUGCCUCACCGCUAUAUUUCUAAAAGUAAUGUAAGACUUUCAGCCUUUGUUCAUUAGUGAGGAUCUUAUCAAGAUAGAGCAGCCAUAAGAAACUCUUAACUUUGGAGGAAUAUGAAGUUUCCAAAUGAGAUUCCAUCGCCAAUUAGGUAAAGCACUAGGCCUAAUGGCCCAAAAAUAUGCAGAUUUAACUGAAAAAUUACCAUCAUUUAUUCCACUUCAGAUACACUUGGCAGUCAAAGCAUCAAAACUAAUUUGAAUGCUAAGAAUUUGUUCAACCACCUCUUUAGUAAAACAAGUAAUAGUGGAUCAUGUAUUUGUCUUGGUUUGAUAAGACCUACAUCUAGAUGAGUUGCUUCUUAAGACUAAUGUAAAACUUUAUGUUGAUAUUUCUUGAGGGUGAAACAUCGUUUGAGAAACGAUUUGGGCCUCAUUACAAUUUUUUCAUUUAGUUUUUAACUUUUGGUUUAAAUAUUCUACUAUAAAUACAUUUGUGGCUUUAAUAACUAGUAAAACCACUUUCAAAUAUCUUAGUAUCGGCUUUCAGAACAAAGGGGUUUGGUAGUACAGGAGCCAUGUUGUAUAGUGUAGCUGGGAUUGGGAUGAUCUCUCUCUCUUUUUUGUUUUUUUGUUUUCCUUUAGUUUGCUUGCUUUGAAUGUGAUGCUCAGUUCAAACCUACCAUCCUAUUUCUAAGAAAUUAAGCACAAGCUAUCUCAAGUUAUGGUCUUUAAUUAAUAUUAAUUUCCUCAAUCAGUUUCCCAUAUCUUUCAUUGAUACGAACAUGGCUGAUCUCAUUGGUGUGACGCAAGAUUUGUUAAAAUAGCUGAUCGGAUUGAUUUUUUCUUUGUAUAACUCUUCUGCCAAUUCUGAACUUGUACAUAUAAUUCCCAUUAUAAGAUAAAUAAAUAAAAUCCAAAACUCAUAUAAAAAAAAUAGAGACUUUUUAUAGCAUAUAAAAUAAGACUUUGUAACUUGUACAUAGUUACAAGAUCGAACAAAUUGAUGGAUUAUAUAUUUGGGGCUCACUACAACUUUUUUUCACUUAAUUUUAGGUUGUGGCUUAAAUAUACCAUUCAAACUAAAUGUGUGGCUCAUUAAUUGGUAGAAACCUUUCCAAAUGCUUUAUAAAUGUUCUCUUAAUGCUAACGGAGAAUAUUUUGGGAAGACAAAAUAUUUGCAUUUCUUACGAAAAUGUGGGUGCUCAUUAAUUUUAAUUGGUUUUGCAAUUUUGUAUAAAAUCAUCAUUAAAUAUAGUAGUUUUCAUCUUUGCCUCACCGCUAUAUUUCUAAAAGUAGUGUAAGAUUUUCAGCCUUUGUUCAUUAGUGAGGAUCUUAUCAAGAUAGAGCAGCCAUAAGAAACUCUUAACUUUGGAGGAAUAUGAAGUUUCCAAAUGAGAUUCCAUCGCCAAUUAGGAAAAGCACAAGGCCUAAUGGCCCAAAAAUAAGCAGAUUUAACUGAAAAAUUACCUUAAUUUAUUCCACUUCAGAUACACUUGGCAGUCAAAGCAUCAAAACUAACUAAUUGGAAUGCUAAGAAUUUGUUCAACCACCUCUUUAGUAAAACAAGUAAUAGUGGAUCCAAACCAUUAUUGUAACAAUAAUUAGCUACAGUAGCCUUAUACGUAUUGUCCGUGUCACCACCCGAUCCCGAUACACGUCCAGGAUCGACAUGUGAUGUCAUCAAAUACCCAUAUCUCUAACUUACCCCGCCUCCGGGAUAUGGCAAAGUGAUGAGUCAAUAUUUUACCAUAUAUUUUACCCUAAUCUUAGUAUUAAUUUAUUGGUUAUUUUGGUAGAAUUUUGAUACUUUGUUAUAUAUUUCUAAUAUAGGACAUUCGACUUCAUCUGGACAAAAAAGUAACCAAACGGAUGAAUUUUGGAGUGAUUCCAAUUGGAGGAUGUUCGUGAGUCUUUUGAAAUGAUUAUAUCAAAAUUCCAGAUUUUUCUACCAAGCCGUUUGACCAUGGCGAUUAAGUUAAGGCCCAGCGCGCAGUUUUCUCAUAUUGACAUUUCUGGACGUUUUUUGUAUUUUGAAGAUCAAUAUGUCAUAUUUUGAGGAAGCUUUCUUCUGAGGAUUUGUAUGGGACAUCUCCAGCUUUCAAAAGAGACCUUUUGGGACCAAAUCGGAGUUGAUUUGGGUGGUCAGAAGUCUGAUUUUCUGAGAACUCCAAAUUCUUGUUCAAAUAGGAAACCUUUUAUUUUCUGUUUUAUUAUUUUAGUAUGUUUCAUAGUUUUAUUCUAAGACCUUUUAGGGUUUUAUUUUGUAUUAGUAUAAAUAAGAUAUUUAGCCAUUAGGGGAAAAGAGGAGAGAAUAGGAGGAGAACGCACACAGUACUUGGAGGAUUCAAGUUUAUUUUCAAGGUGUUUUAUAUCCAUGUUCUUAAUAAUAUUUUGUUUUAUGGUUGUUAGUAACUAGUUUCGUUUGCUAGGGCGAGGCCACGAUCCUUAGCAAGAAUAUGUAGUUUCUUUUCAAUCUGCUUAUGAUAUUAUGCAUGCAAGUUUUGAAUUAUUAAUCAUUGUGCUUUAAACUAUCUAAUUGUGUUGAUGAUUGGCCGCCAUUAGGAUAUUUAGAAAAGUAAUUUGAUGCAAUUUUGGCGGAGGGCUGUCCCUGGAAUUGGCGCUGGCUUCUUGUGGUUAAUAUGUGUAACUUCUUAGGAUGGACGACAUGUCUUAAGGGUUAUAUGGUUUUUCAAAAGGAUUUCACAAAACUUUAUGAGUUUUACAUGUUCACGUUUGAUCUGGACACCACAGAUGGGUUGCACGUUAAAUAUAGAUUCUAUGUUGGAGGUUCCAAGUAGGGCAUACUUUAGGAAAACCUAAUUAACCAUCAAAAUAUGCAUGUGUAUUUCAUAAGUAAUUGGAAGAACUAUAUAGGAUUGUUAAGGUGAUGGUGAAACCCUAGUGCUUAACUUUUUUCUUUGGUUUUCUUUACUUUCCCAAUUUAUAGUGGAUCCAAACCAUUAUUGUAACAAUACUUAGCUACAGUAGCCUUAAGUGUAUUAUCGGUGUCACGCACCGAUCCCGACAUACGUCUAGGAUCGACACGUGAUGUCACCAAAUACCCAUAUCUCCAACUUACUCUGCCUCUGGGAUAUGGCAAAGUGAUGAGUCAAUAUUUUACCAUAUAUUUUACCCUAAUCUCAGUUUGUUGGUUAUUUUGGAAGAAUUUUGAUGCUUUGUUAUAUAUUUCUAAUGUAGGAUAUUCGACAUCCUCGGGGGAAAAAAAGUAACCAAACAGAUGAAUUCUGGAGUGAUUCCAAUUGGAGAAUGUUCGUGAGUCUUUCAAGAUGAUUGUAUCAAAAUUCCAGAUUUUACUAUCAAGCUGUUUGAUCGUGGCGAUGAAAUUAAGGCCCACCGCGUAGCUUUCCCAGAUUGACGUUUCUGGACGUUUUUGGUAUUUUGAAGGUCAAGAUGUUAUAUUUAGAGGAAGAUUCCUUCUGAGGAUUUGUAUGGGACGUCUCCAGCUUUCAAAAGAGACCUUUUGGGACAAAAUCGGAGUUGAUUUGGUUGGUCAAAAGUCUGAUUGUCUGAUAACUCCGAAUUCUAGUUCAAAUAGGAAACCUUUUAUUUUCUGUUUUAUUAUUUUAUUAUGUUUCCUAGUUUUAUUCUAAGACCUUUUAGGGUUUUAUUUUGUAUUAGUAUAAAUAAGAUGUUUAGCCAUCAGGGUAAAAGAGGAGGAGAGAAAAAGAGGAGAACGCACAUAGUACUUUGGAGGAUUCAAGUUUAUUUUCAAGGUGUUUUCUUUCCAUGUUCUUAAUAAUAUUUUGUUUUAUGGUUGUUAGUAACUAGUUUCGUUUGCUAGGGCGAGGCCACGAGCCUUAGUGAGAAUAUGUAGUUUCUUUUCAAUUUGCUUAUGAUAUAUAUUAUGCAUGCAAGUUUUGAAUUAUUAAUCACUAUGCUUUAAACUAUCUAAUUGUCUUGAUGAUUGGCCACCAUUAGGAUAUUUAAAAAGGUAAUUUGAUGCAAUUUUGGUGGCGGGAUGUCCCUGGAAUUGGUGCUGGCUUCUUGUGGUUAAUAUGUGUAACUUCUUAGGAUGGACAACACGUCUUAAGGGUUAUAUGGUUUUUCAGAAGGAUUUCACAAAACUUAAUGAGUCUUGCAUGUUCACAUUCGAUCUGGACACCACAGACGGGCUGCAUGUUAGAUAUACGUUUUAUGUUGGAGGUUCCAAGUAAGGCAUACUUUAGGAAAACCAAACCUUCAAAAUAUGCAUGUGUAAUUCAUAAGUAAUUGGAAGAACUACGUAGGAUUGUUAAGGUGACGGCGAAACCCUAGUGCUUAAAUUUAUUUUCAAAAACUAUUUUCUUUGCUUUUCUUUACUUUCCCAAUUUAUUUAAUUGUUUUUAGUUCAAUUGGUUUUUAAUAUUUUAGGCCAUAAAACCAACCUCUUCUAGACUUUAUUUUCAAAUAAUUAAUUAAGAUUUGGUUUUAACAUAAAUUAUGGCUUUUUUUAUUAGCACCUCCUAAAAUGUUGAAUGCACCCCACAUUAAAAUUUAAUAUUAAAUGACUUAUUUACCCCACUAUGCAAUGACAAUUUUGACCUUAUUAGGUUUUAAAAAAAUAAAAUAAAAAUCUCUAAAUACACCCCAAAUCACUAAACCCUAUUAUUUAUCUUCUCAACUAUCAAAACCCUCUUACCCUCCAUUGUUGAACAAAACCCUAACCAAUGAAACUACAAACAUCUUGAUUGAGAAAAAUUGCUUUUGACGAAUGGAACACAAAAUCAAUGUUUCGGAGCCUUCACAUGAGGUAAGACUAUGUUUCAUCGGUGGUUUGGUUAAUUUCAUAUUCCUUUUUUUUUUCUUCCAUUGGUUAUUCAUUUUCUUCUUUGCAGGUUACAAAUCCAGCCAGUGAUCCUCUUAGAGUAGAUUUGGUUAUAUCCCUUGAAAUGAACAUUGGAGAGCGACAAAAUAUUUUGGAGGUUGGACCAGAAAAUGCAUCGCAGGUUUGUUGGCAUGUACCACUCUGCCUAUUGAUAUUGAGUUGUAUGGUUCUUAAAAUAAUUGAGGUGUAUGAUUCUUAGUAAAUAAAUGAGGAUUUGAUAAUAAUUUUUGGUGUAUUUAAAUACGAUAGCAUACAAGGCAAUACCUCUAUAGGGGACAAUGAGGUUGCAGCAACGAGCGUCGUUGAUCACACAAACGCAUUUAAAACAAACGAGGUAACUAUUUUUAGUAUAUUGAAUGUGCAUCUGUGAAUUUCAUGGAAAUUCUUGCAUUCUUUUAUUCAGCAUAGUGCAUUAGGUUCAUAAUAGGGAAUAACAUAUGGGUUGGAAUCUUAGCAUGUCUACAAACAUUUUGUUAGUGGCAAAUGGCAAUGAUCUUGUAUGUACAGGUGUUCAAAAGUAAAAAUGAUUUCCUUGAUUGGACUCGCGCACAAGGAAAAAAGAAUAAUAUGGUUAUUAUCAUUAAGAGGUAUGAUGCGGGAAAGGUUGACCGAAGGAGGAAGAGAGCUCGAAUAACAUUUGCUUGUGAGAGACAUGGCGAGUAUCGAUCCAUAUUGAGGAAGUCGGAUAUUAAUGACCAAAUUUCUGAUGCAAAUAAUAAGAAGAAUAAAGAACCCAGGAAUACUGGUACUAAAAAAUGCGGAUGUCCAUUUAUGUUGAAAAGAGUCAACGUUGGAGAAGGAGAUGAAUUGAAAUUGGAGGUUGAGUGUGGGGUGCAUAACCAUACUUAUUCACAGUAUCUUGAAGGGCAUUCUUUUGUCGGACGAUUAACUAAAGAGCAAAAUGAACUUUUAGUUGACAUGUCUACAAGUUUAGUGAGACCCAAAGUUAUUUUGAACACCAUAAAGAAAAAAGAUCCACUUAAUGUAACAACGAUGAGGACAAUAUACAAUGCAAGACACUAUCAUCGGACAAAAGAAAAAGCAGGGAGAUCAGAAAUGCAACAGUUGUUAUGUAAGUUGGUUGAGUACAACUAUAUUGAGCAUCAUCGAAGUAUUGGUGUUGAUAAUGCUGUUAGUGACUUGUUUUGGACUCACCCAAUUAAUGUCGAUACCUUACAUUGUUUCCCACAUGCACUUAUCAUGGAUUGCACGUACAAGACUAAUAGGCAUCGUUUUCCACUCCUGGAGAUUGUAGGGGUAACUUCAACUAGUAUUACAUUUUCGGUUACAUUUGCUUUCAUUGACCAUGAGAAGGAAGACAAUUACACAUGGGCAUUGACAAGAUUGAAGACUCUAAUGAAUGAUGAUUGUAUUUCUGGUGUGAUUGUCACUAAUCGAGAUCUUACAUUGUUUCCCACAUGUACUUAUCAUGGAUUGCAUGUACAAGACUAAUAGGCAUCGUAUUCCACUCCUGGAGAUUGUAGGGGUAACUUCAACUAAUAUUACAUUUUUGGUUGCAUUUGCUUUCAUUGACCAUGAGAAGGAAGACAAUUACACAUUGGCAUUGACAAGAUUGAAGACUCUAAUGAAAGAUGAUUGUAUUCCUAGUGUGAUUGUCACUGAUCGAGACUUUAGCAAACUGAACUCAAAUAUAUUGAUUGCAAGGCGAGAGUACAUUUGUAAAAACAAGGUUUACUUUUUAAUGGAGGUUGUGUAAGAAAAAUUACAUUCAAAUUCAUUGCGGAUCUCUUCUUUUUCUAAGACCAAAUCAAAGAAACAAAUAAUUGAAUCAAUGAAUUACUAUAGCAGCUCCAUUUCUGACAAUGGCAAGAGGUCUCUGUGCUAAUCAAACUACCCGAAAUUUAUCCUAAAACUAUACUCGAGCUCCACCUUAUCUUCAAUCUCAAAUGCCUUCUCAAUAUGAUUUCAUCAUAAACCUGCUAUCCUAUUUAUAAGAAAUUAAGCACAAGCUAGCUCAAGUUAUGGUCUUCAAUUAAUAUUAAUUUCGACAAAUCAGUUUCCCAUCUCUUUCAUUGAUAUGAACAUGGCUGAUCUCAUUGGUGUGGCGCAAUAUUUGUUAAAUUAGCCGUUCGGGUUGAUUUCUUUGUAUAACUCAUCUGCCAAUUCUACAACUUGUAGACUUAAUUCCCAUUACAAAAUUAAAAAUAAAAUAAAAUCCAAAACCAAUGUAAGAUAAAUAAAGACUUUUUAUAUCAUAAAAUAAGACUUUCUAACUUGUAUACAAGACUAUAGUGACAAGAUCAAACACAUUGAUGGGUGCGCAAUUUCCAUCAACAUAUGUUCUGUGCGUUUAAACUGAGCGUGGAGUCUUUUUUUAGCAAUUAAAAGUUUUGUAUCAUGUAAUUGUCUUGGUUUGACAAGACCUACAUCUAGAUGAGUUGCUUCUGAAGACUAAUGUAAAACUUUAUGUUGAUAUUUCUUGAGGGUGAAACAUCGUUUGAGAAACGUUUGGGGUCUCAUUACAAUUUUUUCAUUUAUUUUUUAACUUUUGGUUUAAAUAUUCUACUACAAAUACAUUUGUGGCUUCAAUAACUAGUAAAACCACUUUCAAAUAUCUUAGUAUUGGCUUUCAGAACAAAGGGUUUUGGUAGUACAGGUGGAGCCAUGUUGUAUAGUGUAGCUGGAAUUGGGAUGAUCUCUCUCUUUAUUUAUUUAUUUUUUUCCUUUAAUUUGCUUGCUUUGAAUGUGAUGCUCAGUUCCAACCUACUAUCCUAUUUCUAAGAAAUUAAGCACAAGCUAUCUCAAGUUAUGGUCUUUAAUUAAUAUUAAUUUCCUCAAUCUGUUUCCCAUAUCUUUCAUUGAUACUAACAUGGCUGAUCUCAUUGGUGUGACGCAAGAUUUGUUAAAAUAGCUGAUCGGAUUGAUUUUUUCUUUGUACCCGAGAAGAAAUGCAGGAAGGAGGAAUUUAUAAAGACAAUGGAUACCUGCUCUUCGCUGCAAAAAACGACACUUAAAGGACAAUUUUCCCGAGGUUUUCACCGCCGUUUUUACCGUUUGCUGCAAAAAACAAAUACUCUCCCCUUGCGAGCUCCGUCAUCAAUUCCCCUCGCGAACUUUGAGUCCCUCUGAAAAAAUGAUUAAGUGAAAUUUGAAUUUUUCAAACUUUGUGUUUGGUUAUAUCUAACGAUCCCUAAUUCCAAAUUUAUGGUUUAGAUAUAUAAAAAAGAUAUCUCGGGUACUUCAUUGCUAUCCUUUAAGCUCCCCACUUUCAAACAAAGCAAAAAAUUCUAAUUGAGUUGGGUUUUGAACAUGCAGAUUAGUUAGACAACUUAAUUACCAAUCCUUAUUAUUAUUGCAACAAACACACGGAUUACACUAAAAGCUAGUGAAUCAUACACUUGCAGAUGACUUAUCCAAACACAAAGAUAAGACAUGAGUUUAUUAUUAUUGCUAUAAACACACGGAUUACAGCGAAAUUCAAAAACUAAAAACACGGAAAAAAGUAGUGAUGAAAACCAAUGCCACUUUCGCGGGGAACACGAUUGCAUUCGCACAUGCAACAAGCCUUUUAAACCCAUAGGUGACCCAAAUGGGACGAGUGAAGUCUCGUGAGGGUUUCCAGAGACGUUACCCACAAACAUCAUGCAUACUGAUCAUCAACAUCUGACUUGGGAGACUGAGUAGAUAUCCACCCCUCCAGCAUCAGGUUGUUUUUGGUUGAGGCGUAAUUCGAAUCUGUUUUCAAUGAACGGCCUGGUUAUGAGAUCGCUUUGCAAGUGACGUAAUCGGCAGCGCGUGAUUAGGUUGUUGCUGUCAGGUGGUCCGACAGGCUCGACCUUGAACAAUGUGCAAGCCCAAUUGUCUUUGGUUUCAUUUCGGUCAGCAGCUGCGGCCAGGACCAAUAGCCUGUUUUGGUCCACCCUUCUCAAGUAGUUGCCAUUGUAGGAGCAUUUGAUAUGCACGUAAUUCUUGUCGGCGUAGUCCUCAUUGUUUGGCUUCUCUGUGGUGAACUUUAUGAACCUGCUGUUUUCAUUGUCCUCAGAAAACUGGACAAUCUCAUUAAGGUCGCUUUCUGCAUCAAGUUGAUAGCGCAAAUACUUGUUGUUGAUAUCUGCUUUCAGCAGAAAAGGGCUUGGUAGUACAGGUGGAGCCAUGUCGUAUAGUGUAGUUGGGAUUGGGAUGCUCUCUCUUUUUUAUUCUCUAUUGAUGAUCUAAUUUGCUUGCUG
rnacentral:lncRNA from 1 species